UUCAUCCGAAGUUCCACUCGAAUCAAAUUCACUUGCAGCAGUUCCACUCGCGCUUGGCAAAUCAUCCAAUUUCCAAACUUCGGUAGCAAAAUUGAGAGUAAAAGUGUUGGCUUUGGUCUCGCUGGGAUUUGCAUAUACUGGACAUACUCCGUAACGUUUUACCUUGUGACCCUUUUGGUUUUGGUAACAAUUAUUGAAGAACUUAAGUGAGACAGUUGUAUGAUGGUAACCAUCAGGAAAGCCAACAUUCAAGCAAGGUUUAAAACCAAGUAUGACAUGAUCUGAAUCAAGGGAGUAUUUAUUUCUAACACUUGUGGUUGCGGGCCCACUGAAACCUAGAUCAACAUGUUUGGUUUCAGAGAGAGUCUUUAUUUCUAAGUCGAGUUGAGAGCGGCCGAAAACAUUGCAGCAAUAACAAGAACCAACUUUCUUAAAAUUAAGAACCGCACAAAAAGCAAACCCGAUUAAGUUUCUGCAAGAAGAGUGCGGUGGCAGUUGAAUACCUAUCGAAGAUCCUGAACUUUGAUUGUUGAACCAGUCAGGAAUUUCGCUCCCAGGUAAAACAAUUAGGGAUGUCCUGAGUUCAGAAAGUUUCUGUGAAAUGACAUUUAAAAAAAGAAAAUUGUAAAAUGAAAACCAUGAUUUCAGAUAUAACAAAGAGGGACAGAGUAAACAAGAGAGGGAACUUGAUGCGUUCUAAAUGUUCCAUUUUCUCCAAGAUUUCUGGGAAACGCUCAAGGUUCAAGCAGCCAUGAAGAAAAAGCUCAACCAAAGAUUUCAAUUUACAAAACCUAGUUGAAAUCCUCUUCAGCCGUUCGCAAUCCCUCAAAUCCAACUUUUCAAGAUCAGUUAGGCACUCUAUUGAUGAUGGAACUUCUUCUAUUGCAGACUGGCUUAAGUAUAGCCGUGUAAUUUUCCCAGAAAUCUGUGGAAACUCUACGAGAUUAACACAAUAGGAGAAAUUAAUAGUUACUGGACAAACAAAAUGAAGAUUGCUUGGAAAAGACCUAAGACUUUUGCAGCCCACAAAAUCCAACCUACUGAGAUACUUGAAAUUCUGGAUAGAUGAGGGAACACAAGCCAUUUCUCCUUCCCAAAUUUGCUCAACUUUACUAAAACGCAAAUUCAGUCCAACAAGGUUCUUUGGCUUGAAAUUUGAUGGCAGUGUCCUUAAUGGAUAUGUGUCCCAAUGAAGAUAUCUCAAUUUUUUAGGAAGAUAAUCUAGGCCAUUUGGAAGCUGCACUUUAGAGUACGAAAGUUGCUCUUCAAUGCUCAUACUUAGAAGCUUUUCAAUCUCAUACUUAGGUACAUAAAAUUUGAGCAAUCUCAGAUUAGACAUAUUUGUGAAGGCUCCGGGGUCUAAAUUGAUGCCUUUUAUUUUGGACAAAUCCAAAAAUAUGCCUUCAAUUGCAUCGGUCCCCUUAUUAAAAAAAAAAAAAAAACAAAGAAUGGGUAAGCCUAAAACAGAAAAGAAACAUUCGUAAACUUUAUUAACUAAGAGCUCCUAAAACAAAACAAAUUCUACGAUCUUUGAUCUUAUUUUUUUAAUAUAUUAAAUAUCUAUAUGCGAGAAAAGAAAAUUUUGGGAACCAUUGCAAAAUUAAACUAACCGAAAAAAAAAAUCAAAAUUUCUCUAAUUUACAAACCUGUUAUCUUACUAUCUAGAAGUUGAGAAGACAGGGCCUAUUUGAUUGGUAUAAGAUUUCGAUUUUUUUUUUAGUCCAUAGAAUCCAAAAUGUUAGUUCAAAAUUAGGGAAAAAAAUGAAAGUUAUUUUUUUUCCACUAGUUGUAAUUGUAUCCAAGUCAAAUUGAGAUAUGACCCUUUUCGAAAGGAUUUAAUCAUCUUAUAGCCUCCUUAAAGGAGUGAUUGGAGGCCUAACUAGGUAGGCCAAUCAGUCCAUUUUAUUAGCGACUAUUGCUUAAAAACAUUUAUACUCUAAAACACACUUACUUUUUUGAAAAAAAAAUAUAAUUAUAUUGAAGUAGAACCAGGUGGGCCAAUCCUCAUGGCACUCACUUUGUUCUGACACUCUUCACUAAAUUUGAAAAAAAAUAAAAUUAUACUCUUCACACUCUUAUUCAACAUUCCAAAAUUGAUAAAAUCUGGAGUUUUCAUUAAAAAUUUAAAAUUUGAAGACUUGUUCUCUUGACACCCUCAGUCAUUAAUUUUACCUAAUUAUGGUUUUUAUGAUUUUGGUUGUUUUGUUCAUAAAAAUGAUUUUACUAAAGGAUGUUCUGGUAAUAAUAAAAUUUAUAAAAAAAAACAUGGUUGUGCUGGUAUGAUUGGAAAAAUAUGAGUGCAUAACUCCAAACAAAUAAAAGAUAUAUAAAAAAAAAUGGAGGAUUCUUACCAUAUUAUGCUUUAGUACGCGGCGGAUUUCCUUAGGAUCCCACAACCUCUUGCGUUUGCCUGGCUCUUUCUCAGAUUCUUGGCGUCGCCCCAUUUCUUGCAAUAUAUCAUGCAUUUGCAAGCGGUUAUAUGACACUGUUAUGAGUGACUUAUCAACAAGGACAUCCAGUCCAACAGACUCAGAAUCAUCAAGAAUCCUUGCCACAAAAUCUUUAUCCUCUCCCUCAAAGAAACACGCAAUAUCUAGAAAUAUGCUCUGCACCCUGGGCGUUAAUUCAUCAAAACUAAUCUUUAAUUUCUUAUAAAUAGCAUGAAUAUCAGAUUCACAAAUCCGAUUUAAGUCGUGCAAUACUUUUCCCCAAUGGCUUUUCCCCUUGAGGGAGGAACCCAACACUUUAAGAACUAAUGGAUUGCCAUCAGCAUACUUUACAACUCUCCGUGAGUCAGGUUUGAAAUCUUCAGGACAAUGCUUUUCUUUAAAAGCGAAGUUACAAAAAUGCUCGAAAGCCUCAUGAAAAUCCAUUCCAUUAACCCUAUAUAUUUUCUUCUCCUCCACUCCAAAUUUUUCGAGGACUCCUUUAUCCCUAGUGGUUACAACAAUUCUACUUCCUGGAACAAAUUGAUCAAGCUCUCCAAUCAGACCCUCUAAUUGUCCAACUUCAUUCACAUCAUCGAGUACUAUCAACACCUUCAUACGCCGGACCCUCUCUUUAGUAAAAUGUGGAAUAUUGGCACCAGCUACUUCAAGUUUUUCGCUUAAUAUUGUUGAAAGCAUUUCCUUUUGUAGGUCUUCUAGGCCACCCUCUGUUUCUGAUUUUCUCCUAACAUUUUUUGCAAAGUAUUUACCAUCAAACUCACCAGAGAAUUGAUUGAAAAUAGCUUCAGCAAGGGUGGUUUUGCCGAUACCACCCAUGCCCCAAAUUCCAACAAUUUGGACAGUAUCCGACAAAUCCAUACACAAAAAUGGUUUAAUCUGCUCAAUUCGUGAAUUUAAUCCAACUAGGCCGUUGGAUGAGUCCGUUGAGACUGUUAUUUUUUCCAACUUCUUCAAAACAUCUUCGACAAUUUUGUUUACAAGUUCCGCAUCGUGCCUAAUAUAAAGGUGCAAAGAUGCAAAAACAUUGAGUCAAAUCGGGCCAACACAGAAACAGAGAUAAGAUGAAUUAGGAAAGAGAGUUACCUGAAUUUCGUGGAUUCGUGGCCAGCAAGACCGGAUGUUUCUCUCAGUGCAUCCCUCCACCUCUGAACCAUUUCUGGCUUCUCUUUGAACUGUUGUUCGAGCUUACCAAAGCCGACCCCAAAAAUCCCAGUUUGAUGCCGCACAUCGGACGGACUUACGCCAUAGAAAACCGGAAUAAUGAUUUGGCCGUUUGUGUGCUUGCAUUCAAGAAUCUCGACAAGUUCAUACAGGCACCAUUUUGAAGAAGCGUAGUCCGUUGAGAAAAUGACCACCGAAAUUUUUGAACCUUGGAUUGCGUUCAAAAGGGCAGGUGAAAUCUCAUCUCCGCGCCUAAGCUCUUCAUCAUCAAUAAAUGUUCUGAUUUUCUUUCUUUUAGACAAAGCAUCAUAGAGAUGGCAAGUAAAGAUCGCACGAGUGUCCUCCCCUCUAAAAUUGAGGAAGACUUCAUAAAUGCAAGGAGAAGAAGCCAUGAAGGAAAUAUUAGAAAUUUGGUGACAGAAACAGAGAAUUAAUCUUGAGAGCUGAGAGAGGAGAUGUAAGAAUGAACAUGUGUGAAUAUUCUUGCGAGUACAUAGUAAAUAAUUGAAUGGCUCGAGCUUUCUUAGUUUCCUGGAAAUUUCCUGGAGCUUUCGUAUACAUGAUUUGUCAAGUCAAGAAACAUAGUCAUGAUAAUGGGGCAGACCAGGAAGAAAAGGAAAUUGGAAUUUUGUACAAUUUCUCCAGCGAGGAACUUUCACUGUCAUUACCUCACCGUUACAGUUUGGAUUAGGGUAAUUUUUACCCCGCACCCAAAUGUUUUGACAUACAGCACAACGCACCCAAUUCUUUUGCCCAUGAGCACCGCGCACCCAUUUCCGUUUAUUUUUCAGUUAACUGUAACAGAUCAGGGUAAAAUUGGAAUAACGCAUCAAAAUUUAAAAAUAAAAAAAUAGGUAAACUCGAUGUUUGCGCCAAAAUAAUUUCACAUCACUGUGCUUAUGUUCACUGCGUUUGCGUGUGAGACCAAGAAGCAUGGCCACACCUCCAUUGAUGCCAAAAUCGAGGAGGUGGGUGAAGAAGAAUUGGCGCCAAAAUCAUUCACAUAUGAUGUGCAAGGAAAUUAUUUCAGCCUUUAAAUACUUUUUUAUUACAGCAGCAUCAGCUAUUGCUCUGUUUCGAAGAUCUGCUCAAUUUCUAAGACAAUAGUUGGUUUGAGAGUUUAAGGGAAGUGAAUCCACUGAGCGUGCUAUUGAAGAAGUGGAGGUCAGUUUCAUUUCUUGCUCAAUUGUUUUAAUUUAUUCCAUUUUGUUUGCAUGUCAAUUAUUUACACAUUUUUAGCUGGAUUUUGCUUAUCUAUAAAACUUGAAUCAUUGUUAAUCAAAUCAGCUAUAAUUUACGCCUCAAUGUGGUUUGUAAGUUUAAGUUAUGUUGGAUUAUACCUGAAUAAUGUGGUGUUUGCGUUAUUGAUUUCAAUUUCUAUUGAUGAUUUUGAGUAUACAUAUUAGUGGAUGAAAGUUUUUAAUUAGGAUGAUUGGUCACGCAUAUAUGUCAUAGCAACUGUGUUUUUUUGGGUUAUGGUUGUACUGUAGAUCAGUAGUAGUAGUGAUUUGGAUAUAAACGCUAGUGCUUUUAUUGUAAAUGAUAGUGAUGAAGAUCCAGUGUUACAGAAUUUGAUGUAAAAGUUAUUGGUUUUUGGCUAAAUAUCUUAGAUAAAUAUGAUGCUCAUGCAAUCAAAUCCAAUGCUUAUGCAAUUUACACCAUGUUUAUGAUAAGUAAUUAAAAAAAUAAAUGACUAUUCCAGGUGAAAAUGGAUGAUGAUGAUAUUACAACUGUUCUUUGUACAUUCAAGGGCAAGACAUAUAAUGUUGGUGUAAUUGAUCCAGAUAAGUUUAGUAGAGUUUCUGUAAUUAACAAGGUUUUAGUUAGAGUCUAUGGAAGAAAGAUGAGGCCUGAUGAGAAGUUUACACUAAGUGUUUGGGUACCAUGGGUCUAUAAGGAAGUAGAGAUUAUGUCUGAUCAUGACUUAAUAUUCCAGCUGAGAGAGCAUAAUAAGAUGUUGUUCUACUGCAUGCAAUUGUAUAUUGAAGAAAUCCAUGUACCUCAUGAGUUUGUACCUAGAAGGGCUUUGUUUCAGCACUCAGCAGAAGAAAGCUUACAAGGGUAUGCUGAAACAAACUUUCCAGCCACUACUGACCUGCACAAACCUUAUACACAUGCUACAUCCACCAACACAAAUCCUUAUGAAAAUGACAGUAAUGACCAUUCGAACCAUGAACCCCCUGUCAAGAACUCCAGCAGCAUAAUGAUGCAUAAUGUUGCACUUGAUAGCAUCCAAUCACAGACCAAACCAGAUACCAACCCUGACCUAUAUCAAGACUUUUUGGAUACCUAUUUCAGAUCAUCACCACAACAGAAAACACCAUCAGCUGCCCAAACUAAUGCCGAAAAUAGUGAUAGUGAUAACACAUCUUCAUUUGGUACAAAUAAGACUCCUACUGAGCAGCUUCAACAAAACUUUGCCAUCUCUUCUGAGUUGUCCCCUUUAUUGCAGCAACAUGGACAUCAUGCAUCCCAAAAUGAACCUAUACCUUUUCACCAACCUGAGUUCUCAUCUCAACCAAUAACUCAAAACCCUCAGUCACAAGUUGUACAAGCAGAAAACUUCCAGCAACCAGAAGCCACUACACCAGCACUAGUAGAUUAUAACUCAGAUGAUAGCCAUUAUAGUGUAACUGAUAGUGAGGAAGAUCCAGAUCAUCCAUUAGGUGCUCCAAACAUUAAUAAUACUCCUAGGAAACCUUCUGUUAAUGUUGACUUAGGCUCUAUGCCUUCUGAUGAUAGUGAUGAAGAUUGUAUGCUAUCUGAUUGUGAGAGUGAUGACAAUGAGUUUGGGGAAGAAUCUGAUGAAGAGAUUGAUCAAGUGCUGGUCAGAAUGGAUGCUGUUAUGAGAGAGAACAUGUACAUUCCUAGUGAUACACCUGUUCAAUUCUUUAUUGGGCAGUGUUUUAGGAACUUCAGGCAGCUGGCAUGGGCAAUAAGGACUUAUGCUGUGGAAAACAAGUUCAAGGUUUAUAAGCACAAGUUUGAAAAAUCCAGAGUAACUGUUGGAUGUAAUUAUUUCAGGUGCCCAUGGUUUUUACAUGUUGCAAAAACUAGAUUUGGACAAACCUUUAUUGUUAGGAGGCUUCACAACGUACAUACAUGUCAGAGAGACUUAAAGAAUCCUGAAUGCACUGCAGAGUUCAUUGUUGCCAAGUUUGCUGCAACUAUAAUUGAGCAUCCAGAUACAAAGGUUGGGUGGAUUCAAAGUGAACUUAGAAGGAUGUAUGGAGCUAAGAUACACAAGUAUAAAAUUUAUAGAGCAAAGAAGAAGGUUUUACAGAGACAAUGAGCUGAUUAUGAGUCUAGUUACAUGUUGAUCAGAAAUUAUGCUCAGGCCAUACUUACUAAGAUGCCACAGGCCUUGGCAUUGGUUAAGGUUUUCAGGAUGCAUGGUCAACAACCUCAAACUCACUUUGACAGCACUGUUAUAUCUUUCCAUGCCCUCAGAGAUGGCUUCAACCAAGGUUGUAGACCCUUCAUUGGUAUUGAUGGAUGCCAUUUGAAGGGUCCAUAUAAGGGUGUUCUUUUAUCAGCAGUUGCUAUUGAUGCCAACAAUGGAAUCUUCCCACUUGCAUUUUGUGUAUGUAGUGUCGAGAGUACAACCAGCUGGACAUGGUUUCUAAGCCACUUUAGGGAAUUUUUACAAGAUACAAGACAACUGACCUUUAUGUGUGAUAGGCAGAAAGGAAUUCAGAAUGCUCUUGCCUUAGAGUUUCCUAAUGCACAUGUUAGAUUCUGUGCUAGACACAUCUUAGCAAAUAUUAAGUUAAAACAUCCUCAAUCUGACUUUAAAGCAUAUUUCUGGGCAGCAGCAAGAGCAUCAAACAGAAGGGCAUUUGAUGAUGCUAUGCAAAACAUAAGAGCAGCACAUGAGGGUGUAUAUGAGACUCUUAGGAGGAUACCACCAAAUUUCUGGUCAAGGCAUGCCUUUGACAAUAAUUGCAAGUCUGAUCAUUGCACUAACAACGUAACUGAAUCUUUUAAUGCAUGGAUUGGGAUUCAAAGAAAGUUGCCAAUAAUCUCAAUGCUGGAGUGGAUUAGGAAGAAGCUGAUGAAAAGAAUGAUUGGAAGAAGAAAUAAGGCAGAGUCUUGGGACAGUGAUAUACCAAGAAGAAUUUAUGCACAAAUGAUGAAGAAUUUACAGAUUGGCAGUGCAAACCCUAUCUGUAGAGCUAGUAAAUGGCUUUAUGAAGUGGAUGAAAAUACCAAGACUUAUAUCGUUGAUCUUGAACACCAUAUGUGUGACUGCGGACAAUGGCAAGUUAGUGGGAUUCCAUGUGUACAUGCAAUGCCUUGUAUUGUGAAUAGUCAAAAAGAUCAAGCUCAGUUCAUUAGCCAAUGGUUGAAGAAAGAUACUUACCUAAGGUGUUAUUCUGGAUUGAUUAAACCAAUUCCAGAUAGAACGUCAUGGGUAGAUGCUGGUGGUGAUGAAAUACUGCCCCCUUUAGUGAGAAGACCACCUGGACGACCUAAGAUGACAAGAAGAAGAGAAGCUGAUGAGGUACCAGCACAUAAUAAACGAUACAAGAUGCAAUGCACUAUUUGCAAGGGAUUUGGACACAACAGAAGGGGUUGUCCUGUUAACCCUCAUAAUGCUCACAAGACAACAAGACAAUAUAAGGUGAGUGUGUAUGCUUGUAAGAGAAUAUUCAAUUAUUUUUUGAACCAUGUUCCUCCCAUGUGAUGACAGCUAAUGUGCCUUGUUUGUUUGUGCUUUUUUAUAGAAUAACCUGAAGAAGCACGUGACAAGGACAAAUGGGGAGCAAAGUGAAGGUAUAAGAGUAAUUUACUAAGUUAUAUUACUAUAUUACUUUACAGCUGUAUUAGAUAAUUAUAUAGUUGUGUAUCACCAAACUAUAUUAAAUUAACUUAUUUAUUUAACGUUGCUUUAUUGGUAAUUUAUAAGGCCAAGUUCACGGAAUUACCUCAACUAUUUUGGAAAGCCAAGACAAUGACAUGGUCCAAGUAACUGUCUCAGGCCAAAACAUAACAAAGAACCAGCAGACUGCAUCUAACAAACGCAAGAUUGGCAAUCAAGCAGGGCCAUCAAAAGCAAAUGAAGUCAUUGGCAAGAGCAUGAAUGGGGUCAUAUCUGUAGCUCCAUGGGUAGGUGAACAGGGAAGAAAAGUAAUGUCAGCCGCUGGAUUAACCUUCAGCAAAGAGGAUGAAGUCGGCAACUAUACUGAAAUGAAGCAUUUGGACAAAGGGAAGGCACCAGCCUUCCCUUCGUAAAGGGUAAAACCAUAGUUUUCUAUUGAUAUAAAUUAAUAUUGGUUUUGGAAAUGAUAUUUAUAAUUUGUAACUUGUUUUGUAGUGAUUCUUUGGCUAUGAUGGAGACAUUGGCAGCAAACUUAUUAACAAACAGUGGAGGCAACAUUAUCAUUUUUUGACACCUUCCACAAUGCCACAUCAACCCACCAGGCACAAGGUUAAGGUUAUCUGGAUGCUGAUUUCAUUAGGAUCAAGUGGCCAAGUAAUGACCAGGCAUGUCAUUGUUUUCUUUUUCUUUUUUAUUUUGGAGCUGAAAUUGGUGGAAGUUGUUGGACAUUAAGCUUAAGCAUUAUAGAGCUGGAAGCUGUGAUGACCUACUAUAAGUAUGAUUGGAAGGGUUUAUGGCAUUUUGAAAGUUUUUGGGAUUAAGAUACAUAUAGGACUGAUAUCAACCAAACCAACACUUUUUUUUUUUGUUUUUUGGUCACAUGUAUGUAAACACCAGAUUGGAUGUGACUAACAUUGUAAGUUGCUGCCAAUAUGCAUUUAUAGAUAAAAUAACUUAUUGCUAUUAUUGAUAUCAUAUUUGAUUAAAUGGUAUAUGUCAAGAAACGAAUGCAUUUUAUUGAUCAUAAGAUUUCAUUUUACACAUUGUUCUAGCAUUCCUUACAGUACAAUACAAGCAAUACAAGUAUAGUUAUCACUAUAAUCGUGAUUUGAUACUUCUUAUUUUUAUGAAGUAAACCUUCAAUAUUGAUGAACCUGUUGUGGAAGUCCUCAAUGUUAAAUUGUUGAAUCUCACUUGCCCUGUCUGCAGCUUCUUCUUCAAACCUUUGUAACGCUGCUUCAAUUUCUAUAGCCUCACCUGUAGAUGGUUUCCACCAUCUAAAGAAACCACAAGAUGGGUCAUUAGGGCAUGUGUAAUAUAGUUUGUUGGGGUUUGUUUUUGAUUCUGACACUUUGAUUUCUGCCCUUCUUCGACAGUAGCAUACUGUGUUAUAGAACUUGAUGAUGCCCCCAUUGAUUUUAGGUAAAUCCCUUCUUCUGUUAUAAGUUGAUGAACUUGAUGCAUUCCUUGAAGUGGACAUUUUCUUCAAAUUUCCAAUGUCGUGUCUGUUAUAUUCUUUUUGAAAUACAGCACAACGUAUCUGAACUUCAAGUUGUUGUGCUUGUUUUGUGUGUGAAUGAAGCUGCUGUUGAAGUUGUAUUGUUUCGGUGGGUAAAACCAAAUGUUGUACUACUGUAAGUUGUUGCUGAGUAAAAAAAAUGGUGGAGUUUCCAGGUGAGUCAAUGAAAAUCACUGAGGUGUGAAGAGGGUAGGAAUUUAUAUGUGUUAAACAUCACAGCUUGUGGUGAUGCAUCAGCUCAAAUUUAUCAAUUUCUUUUACUGUUCUUGUAACCAUAUAGCCGUUAUUACUGUUGCUCAGAUUUUAUAGCCGUUGGAUUUUUGAUGCGCAUGGUAAUAAACCAAUAUGCUAAGGGCAAUAUAGUCAAUAUAAUUUAACAGUUAUAGUUGGUCUUCGUGUGUAAAUACACCUUUAAAUAAUGGCCAGUGGUAAAUUCCUUAGUUCAAUGACUCACCUGGAUGCAUUUGAAUUCAACGCAAGGGUAUAUUUGUCAUUUAAUCAAAAUAUAGACUGAUCCGUUACAAUUAACUAAAAAAUAAACAGAAAUGGGUGCGCGGUGCUCAUAGGCAAAAGAAUUGGGUGCGUUGUGCUGUAUGUCAAAACAUUUGGGUGCGGGGUAAAAAUUACCCUUUGGAUUAUGAUUUGAGGGUGCAAGUAUUUACCUAGAGUUUACCUCCGCACUAAAUUCUUAAGUUUUGAAAAUUAUGAGACCUUUAUAUUGGGAGAUAUUGUAAUCGAAUCAAAACUUAAAUUUUUUAUAAUGUUAAUAUUUAAUCUUUUAAAAAACAAUAACCUCGCCGUUACAGUUUGGAUUAAGAUUUGAGUAAGUAUUUACCUAAAUUUUACCUCCGUCUGUAAAUUCUUAAGUUUUGAAAAUUAUGAGACCUUUAUAAUCGAAUCAAAAUUUUGAAUUUCAAUAUUAUUAUUCUUUAAAAAAAAUUUUGAGAUAACAGAGUGAUUGAUAAUAUAGGAGAACUUGUCUAGGCAAGCACAUGUAUACACAGAAACGUGAUGGAUUCAAAAAGAAAUUAAAGUGAUAAUGCGAAAUCGCUUGGUGGCCCAGUAAAAUUACGACUGAAUUUUUUUUUUUUUUUUUACAAAAUUCAAGCUCAUAAAUGACAAAUUUCAUUUCCCUUUCACACGUCAUUAACUUUUGUAACAUGGUGUGUGCAUCGUCAAGUGAGGCAAAAGGGUUUCAAUUACAGUUGGAAAACAUGAACAAGAAUGCAUAAUGAAUAAUUCCUUCGAUAAACCGAAAAUUAAGCACAGAAUAAUCCUAAAAUUUAAACUCUAAUAUCUUAUAAUGUAUUGAUUAAAAAUAAUCCUAAGAGCUCCCAAUUGAAACUUUCAUAAGUAUUUUAAUUGUUUUGGAUAAACAAAUUGCACUAGGAUAAAAAUUUGGCAAAUUCAGAGGAUAAUGGAAAAUAGUUAUGCUUCAAUAGGCCAAAGAUUAGAGAACAAAUAAGAAUUAUUUAUUGAUAUACAAAAGAGAAACACUCCAAAAUUUCAAGCAAAAAUAGUUUCAUAUAUCAUUUCGAUUUUGAAAGGGAUGAGAUUUUGAACUUCAAUAGUUUCCUCUAAAAUUAAAAGGUAGCAAUUAAGCUAAAAAGAGCAAUGAAGACUUAUUGGUACCUUAUUAAAGGUAAACAUUAUGGAACUUUCAAUGUCAUUAUCUCACUGUUCAAUUUUUAUUGAGAUUUGUGUAAGCAUUUACCUAAAUCUUACCUCCGCCUUUAAAUUCAUAAGUUUUGAUUAAUUAUGAGACCUUAUAUUGGGAGAUAUUAUAAUCAAACUAAAACUUAAAAUUUCAAUAUCAUUAUUCUUUAAAAAGAAAUUGAGAUAUCAGAGUAAUAUCACAUAGAAAAACUUGCCCACGGACGGUAAGCCAAAAGUCUAGUCAACCACACGCAUAAAGCUAACUAGAACAAGAGAACAGAGAAACGCGUGGGUCCCUAAAAGAAAAGGCAAGCACAUAAAUAACUUUCAAAAUGCCCAAGCAAAUACCGAUGAAAAUCACUGUUUAAGAAUAAUUUAUUAUGUGGUUGAAGCUUUCUUUUUAUCAAUCUUCUUUCUACCCAUUAAUUUUCCCACGACUUUCCCGUUUCAUUUCUUGAAUCUCCAUGGAUUAACUUUCAAUAAACCAUAAAAUAAACUAAGGAAUCAUUUUCUCGAAUACAGCUAUGAUUUUAAUAAAUGGGCGGACCAUCUAGAAUAGUAUAUAUAAUUCUGUUUAAUUAAUAAGUUGAAAAAACCAUCAAGAGAAAUUCUAAUAUUAUGAGCUUGACACGAAUUCUUCACUAAUUCCAAAACAAGGAGCUGUUUUAUAAGAACUGUGGUUGGAUUAUUAAGUUUUACAAUUUGAAUAUAAAUAAGAAAAUAAAAUCAGUCGCGUUGAUGUUUUCGAUACAUUUCGCUGCUAACUUUUUUUUUUUUUUUAUUACAUGAGACUAUUGCUCAAAUUACAACUCAUAUUACAUGAGAAUAUAACUGAUAUUUACAAAUCAGACUAUAACUGGGACCAAUAUACAUCAAUACUAAUGGAGCGCUGCCCAGAUUUUAACCCUCUCAAAUAUUCAAGGGAUGUCUACACCUCACACUUGGGUAAGGAAACAGACUGUCUUCACUUAAAUUUACUUGAGGAAUGAAGACCCCCACAAUACAUUGUGGGGGUUCACCACUCGACCAAAGGCCGAGUGGCUCAUUUCGCUGCUAACUUAAUUAAUUACUUUACUUCAACUUUAUUUCCUUAGGGGCACUUUAUGGUGGGUCCAAGAUGGGACCUACAAUAAUCAAUCCUAAAAUUUAGUAUGGUUACCAAAUAGCUAGUAGCUAGUGUUAUUUUGUGUUUGGUGGAAGAGAUUGAAUAUUUAGUUUUAACUUAACCAUUCAACUAAUUAGAAAAUAAAUAAAAUUAAAUGAAAUGUUUAGAUAUCAAUUUAAAUAUUAAUAUCGGGGAUAUAAAUUAGUUAUAAUAUAGUUCAUUACAUAAAAUUGAUUAAAUUAAUAAUUACCCGUGAACAUAGAUGUAUAUGCUUUCCAAUUUCCAAAGUGCUCAAAGCACUUUUCUCACCAAACUUUCCUCUGAAUUUCCCGUAGCUGACUCCUUUGUUUGCGUUUUGUGAAAUUUCUAGGAACUUUUUUCGAUUUAGAAUAUUGUACAUUUUUCUUUUCAGCUGAGAUUAAUUUAACUUAUAGAAAAUCUUAUCCUUUUUUAAUAUUAUUUAAAUAAAAUUUGUCUAUCUUUUAUUUUAUUAGUCUACUUUUUACCCAUUAAUUAAGACUUUUCAAUUUCUUUUUUACCUGAGGUUUUCAGUGACUAUCUUUCAAUAAACCAUAAAAAUUACUUAGUCAUUUAUCGAACAAUUAGAUGACCAUAUUUCAAAAUAUCAACUAGAAGUUGUCCUGAAAUAUUUAAUUAAUAGUUGAAGAAUUGUGAUUAGUGUGGGCAUCUACAUAAAAAUUAUAUUAAAACACCGCUAAAAGAUAAAAAUAAAAUAAAAUAGUACAAACAUACACCCAUAGGUUAAAACAAAGAAAAAACACGAACCAAUACACUAAAAUGUUUUAGCUGUAGUUAGUUUUCAGUUUCAUUACUUAAGUCCCACGUGCAUGUCACGUGACUGAGGUCAAAAAAUGAUUGUCACAUUAAAGUUCAAAAUACGGAGCAGGGUAAUUAAGGAGUGGAGCUAUUGGCACCCCUCCAUUAUUCUUACAAAACUCCACUUUAAAUCAAAAUAUAAUUAAGAAUAAUUGAAAAUUAAACACUUAUAGAUUUCUUUACAACAUGUUGAGUGAUAAAAAAGCACCAGUCGGGCAUGUCCCCAUUUCUUACCCGGUGCCGAAUCUCCACGGUCGAAUGGUAUGAGUAGACUCUUGGUGAUGUCUUCUAUGUGGAGCACGUAACAACAGACCAGGAACUAGUACCAACCAAAAACGAGUACUGAUCGAAACAAGCAUGACCAGAAACGCAUACCGACCAGAGACUUGUGGGUCCGUAAAAGAAAAGGCAAGCACACAAAUGAAAAAGCCAUUACAUUUCUAUUUUACAUGUCAUUCCUAAUUUUUGUAACACGAUGUGGCAGCAUAUGCACAAUCAAAUGAGGCAAAAGGGAUUCGACUAUCGUGGCAGAACAUGGACGAGGACGCGUGAUGAAUAAUUCCUUCGAUAAAACGAAAAACAAACGCAGAGAAAAGAAUUUCUUAUAUGACAAGAAAUUAAAGUAAUGUGACGGAACAUGAUGAAGAAAUUGCAGAUCGAUCAAUUAUCCCCAUGGACUCCUAUAAAUUCAACCAAAAUAACAAUUCCAAUAUUACCAAAUUCUUGAGUUAAAUUUAUUCAAUGCUUUUUUUUAAGAGAAAUUUUUUCCAAUGCUACUUUCCCUUUUUUGGGGAAAUUAGAACUGCGGCAUGUAUAGAAGACAUUGAGGUAUAAAGCAACAUUAAUUUCAUGGGUUAUGCGUUAUACGCAUAAUAUAUUUUCAGUCCAAAUUCAACUAUGCAAAGAGGCUUGAGAACUUAAAAUUAAGCACAAACUAAACAGACGAAGUAAAUACAUGAUUAUGCAACAUAACAUUAAUUCUCUUAAUUUAUAACCGUUUUGCCACAUGAAUCUUGCACAGUUAAUCCUAAUUGAAGACUAAAAAAGAACAAUUGGAACAAGGUUUUGAAAUAGAAUGAUAGACAAUCGAUAUGAUCCAUUUCCAGUCGUCAACGCUAAUUAACUGCAGUUUCUAGACUCCUAAUUAUACUAGCCAUAAGAAACUGUUUAGAAAACUGGUGAUCAGAUUAGAUUUUGAAAUGAAAUAAUGUUCAUUUUCCCUUCGUUACCCUUUUAUUUAUUUAUUAUUUUUAUACCAAAGAAUUCUAUCAUGAAACGAAUCAAUUUAAUCACCUUUUCCAGCAGCACAAUUUUUCUUUUAUAAAAUUUGACCACAGAGACAAAGAAGAAUUAUUCAUACCUUCAUCAGUAAGGAAAUACUUUUCGGUAUGGCUAGGGUGAGAAAAGGCUUUCCACAAACACUUGUACUUUGUAUUCCUGUAAAUUUUCUUUAAAGUCAAUAAAAAUCAUAAGUUCUUUACAAUAACCAUCUCUUUGAUAAAAAAAGUGCCGUAUUCCUUUAGAAUUUAAAACCGGCAAAAUCGAAUCAGUGUCUUUGAAGAGACAUAAUGGUCAUAAUUCUUUAAAGAGUUGGCUAUGGAAAUCCUUAUCCAAGAUUCUUUUACGCCAUAUUCUUUCGUAAACCAAAAUUCAUUUUGGAAUACUCUGUUGAGAAUGUCAAAUAAAACGGUAUUGAAGGAAGUUUUCAAAGGCAGAAUCCGCACUUGUCAAAGGGAUGAUCUGCAUUUGUCAGAGACACAAUCUGCGUCGAAUGAAUCGACACAUUUCCUUUUGUAUUCGCAUAUGUAAUUUUUGAAAAAAUGUAGCUUCUGCAUCUAUAAAUAACGCUCAGUGUAUAAUGUUUUAUUCAAAAAAAGAAAACAAGUUUCUUCAUACUCGUCGUCCGAACAUACAGAGACCGUCUCUCAUAACUUCAGCCGAAUACUUAUGAUGAUGAUCAUUUGUGAUUUCAUCAGGCAUAGGGUUGAUGGUGAAAAAUUUUGUAUGUGUGAAGAAUUGAGCUGUGGAUAUAGGGGACUUAAGUGUAAUCGAAAGAGAGUUAUUAGGCCAUAGUGUAGAUUGCAUUCAGUUUAUGAGUCGAUAUGCAAAUAAUUUGUUGACGUGGCGAAAUUUGUUAUGGUCGUUACUAUUGUUUCUGGAAAUUUUCUAGAAACCUCAGCAUAAAAGGGGCUUUUGGAUAGCCUCUGGUGUGCGUGUGAUUUCUCUUUCGUUUCCUCAUCAAAUUCUGUAAUUCUUGCUUUGAUAAAAAGCUUGUAAUCUCUUCUGUAAUUGUGAUCAGUGCGUAAUCAUUUUGAGCGAUAAAAGCUUGUAGGUUUUUCCUUCAAACAAUGUCGUUUUGGUCAGUUUGUUAGUUUGAUCUGUUGGUGGAAUUUUCUUUGGUUAUUUGUUCUCAAAUUUCAACCUUAUAUAAAGUUUGAACUCUAAUGGCUUAUAAUGUAUUGAUUAAGAAUAAUCCUAAGAGUUUCCGAUUGAAAUUUUUAAUGACUAUUUUUAUUGUUUUGGAUGCACAAAUUGCAUUAAGAAAAAAUAUUGUCAAAUUCAGAGGAUAACGGGAAAUAAUUAUGCUUCAAAAGGCCAGAGAUUAGAGAAUAAAGAAGCAUUCAUUACUGAUAUAAAAACUGCUUCUAUUUGGAUUUUGAAAGGGGUGAAGUUUUGAACUUCAGUUGUUCCUCUAAAAUCAAAAGCAAUAAUUAAGCAUUCUCAAUUAGAAAGAGCAAAGAAGACUUAUUGGUACCUUACUGAAGCUAACAUUAUGGCACGGUUGUUCAUAUGUAAUGGCUGCUCUGUUAUGCUAGCUUCUCUGUUUUUGCUUCUAUUUUUGCUUACAGUUUUGAAGAUAAAUUCUUGCUCAAAUAACACAUAAUUAAAUAACACUAAUAUGGCUCAUGAAAUCCUAUAAUAGCUAAUUACGCAACUUUCUCCUCCUCCUCAAUUCUGUCUUCCCCUGCUCGGACACUAACUUCAAAAUUCAAUGCCCCGAAAAACAACACAAGAAAUCUUUGAGUUAGUUCGUGACCAGUUUAUAUAUAGUAGCAAUUGAAAAAAGAAAAAGAAGAAAAGAGUUAAUUAUUUUUCAGACCUUCACUUAUUAGGAAGUUUGUUCUGCUAUUGGGUGAGAUCAAGCUCUCAGCAUAUACUUCCACAUGAUACUUUCUAACAUUUUCUUGAAAGCCAUCAAUCAUUAAAUCUUCAUACUUUUUUCCAUCCUUUGGAUCAAUAAGUACAAAUUUCUCAUCUAAAAAAGACAAAAUAAAAUCACUGUCCUUCAUGGAAUCAGAAUUGAGCUUACAAAAACCGAAGUGGACAGUUCCAUUCAGAUUGGUCGCCCGAGAACAAUGAUGAGAAGACUUAAAAUCAGUUUCAAAGGUUUUCCAAGUAUUGUUCCUCUAAACCACUUGUAUAUUUUACCAGAACUCUUGGUUAAGAAAAUCCUAGUCCAUGGAGUAUGAUAUAUCAAUCAUGCAACAAUGACCUACAACAUCUAUGUGGAUUGAUUUUUGCAAAAUAAAGAACAAUGCUGACUGAGGAAUAAGGUGCAUACCCGAUUAGCAAUAUCUCAGCAAGUAACCAACAAUUUUUUAUCUGAUAAGAAAAAAUUACAAUUUCUUGAAUAUACAUGAAACAUUUUGCAGAAAGAACCAUGUCAUAAUUAUUAGUCCAACUGAAGAAUUAUCAAUACUUAUCACAUGAAACGAAAGAUACCCGAGUUCACUUAAUGAAAUUCUCUUUUUUUUUUCUCUAACAUUGAGAUAAGCAAAAACUUUUAACUAAAGACAAUCAUCUAGUGAUCUCAAACAAAUGAGGUUAGUAUGAAACCAUCAUAAUUUGUUCGCUCAUUGCCUAAUUUUAUUAAUGCAAGAGCCUGGAAGCAACUCAAAAAGAAAAUAACCGACAUAGGAAGUGUCAUCUCAUAUCUCACCAAUGAAUGGGAACAGCUUGAUGUGGCUGAGCAAACUGGCAGAAUUGUCAUUUUAACACACGUUCAAGAAACUCAGCAAAUUCUCAUAUCUGUUUAAAUUCCACAGCAAAGAUAGUUACAAGAAAUCUAAUCAAAAUUUAAAAUGUCAGAAGGCAAAUCUUCCAAUUAGGAUCAAAAGAAGAUAAUUAUAAUUUGUCAUUUCAAUUCUGAAUGUACAAUUUUAUUUUUUUAUGUGUGCAUUAAUUAAGAUUCUACCUUCUCUGCAAAAUUGUGAUGGACUUGGUAAAUAAUGAAUUGUAUCGACUUGAAUUUUAUACAACUUAUUGAGAUAAUAAUACGCCAAAUUCAACACCGUCCAUCCCAAAUCACAACAAGAAACUCAAACUUUUAUCCCCUCAAGUGGGUUCUUGAAACUGAAGCUUUAGUGCCAGUACAAUUUUGAAAGAUUGUGAUCAAACUAAAACAUCAAAUAAAAUAAGACGUAACAAAAACACGUCUUCAGAAAAUUAGUAUAGGAAUAAGAUAAGCUACACAGACCUACUUCAAUGAAUUAGAAAAAUUAUGAUAAACUUGAUGCAUUUCGAAAAACAACAAACAAAUAUUCCCAGGAAAACAAAAAAAAGACAACUUUGUUUAAGCUUAGACAAAAAUAACUAAGGACAUAUGAAUGCAUCAUAAUAGUAUCUCUAUGGGUAAUUUUCAGAAAUCUCCCCUAAGGUAUGGUGUAUUCUUAGUUUGAUAGAAAAUAUCUAAGUAUUCUUAUAGACCUCCCCUACUGUUAGUAUUCCAUUUCGUAUAUGUUAGGUAGAUGAGGGUAAGAUCGUAAUUUGAAUAAGUUAAUGAUAAAAAAUCCAGAAAUUUUAAGAUUUUCACAUUGGCCUCUGGGCUUUAUUCAUCUCUUUCAUCCACCAAAACCAGAAAUACAACUCACCUCUCUCCUCCACCUAAAUCGAAGCAAGGUAGCUCAAAACUCAUUUCAAAAAAUUGAUCAAUUACUUGGGUCACAAACUAGAGACAAUGACGACGAAGUUGAUGACGCCAAUAUCGACGACGAAGCUGAUGACGCCAAUAUCGACGACGAAUGAUUCGCAACUGCCAGGUAAGAGAGUAUAGUAGGUUUCGCCAUCGAACGCCCAAUCAUCCAGUUGUUUUGGAGCCGCGUUAUUUUUAUUAGCUAAAAUUAGAAUUUUUAGUGAAAAAUUGAAAGUGGGUCUCAAAAUUUUUUGAGAGCGUAUAUGUUUCUCCUGAUUUUUCGAUCGAUUCGUGUUAGUUGCAGUUAAAUGAUUAAUCCAAUUCGUGUUGAAGAUAGAGCUAACUCGAAUAUCUCUAUAGUCCUGUAAUUGAUUGAAAAUGGGUCUUGAAAAUUGUUUUAGAUUUCAGCUGUGUGCUUCUGAUUUUUUCCAUGGAUUCAUGAUAGAUGAAAAUGGUUGAUGAAGAUUUGCUUGACAUGUAUAUAGAUGGUAUUUUGUUAAAGGGGUUUUAAUUUUUUCCUUUUUUGGUGGUUUCGAUUGUGGUAUUUACAUGCCUUAGGUUGAGAAAAACGAAAAUGGUUUGUUGCACUCUUUUGUGUUGGAUCAGUGAGUUUAGGCGAUUUGAAAUGGUUUGCGGCAUUCAAUUGAUUGUUUUAUUUAUGUGGUUUGAUAUGGGAAAAGUAUAAUAAAAUUCAAUUGUUCCAUAUGUCAAUUUGGAUGUUUUGAAAUUAUGAACUACAAAAAGUUAAAAUUAAUUUCUUAUUAUAUUUUCAAUUGAAAGUUACUAUUGUCUUCUUUUUAGUACUUAGUAUGCAUUUUUCCCCAUCUUCUAGUGGUGGUGUUGCACCCAUUUUGAAUUUGAUCGGCAUCUUCUUCUGUACAUGCAUGUUUCUUGGACUCCAAUUUUUGUUUCAUAUGAUGAAGCUAAUUUAAUUCCUCCUUUUUAAUAUCAACUUUGUUCAUCUAGGUUUGCGAUUUUGAUCUUUCUCAUUUGAAGGCAAACACAUUUAUGUCAUCAAAAUUUCCAAUAUUUUUUAUUUUAUAGUAUCCAAACUGCUUAUGGCAAUAUGAAAUUGAGAAUAUUUCUUUCAUCAUGUUAACCUAAGUGGAUGGUGGAUGAUGUUUGUGUAAGAGAUUUAAGUUAUUUGUAUUAUAGAAUAUGUCUUAUGUUUUGAUUUGCAAUUUCACCAUUAAAUUGGCUUUGUAAAUGAUUAGAAGCUAAAUGCAUAAAAUGAAAACAAUAGUAACAUUUCUGAGUGGGGUAUAAUCAGAUGCUAACAUGGCGAUCCAUGACUUGUAAUUUCUAUUGUCGUUAUAAUUGGACUAGAUCGAGGUAAACUGACUUUUCUUGUUCUGUUUUUUUUUUCAUUUCUUUGUUCUAGAUUUUUCUUUCUUUGUUUUACUUCUGGUUUCUUCUUCAGCAUAUUCAAUAACUAGCAUGAGCAAAUGGAGAGGAAAAGGGUAGAAUAUGCUUUUAAAAAAAAAGAAAAGAAAAAAAGAGAUAGCUCUAAUUCAAAAAUAAGGAGGAGAAAAGGGCAAUGAUUGAAGUUGUGGAGAAGAAAUUCUUAAUGCAUAGGAGAUGACAACAAAGUGUUGCAACUGGGAGCAGUUUUAAAGUGCUAUUCGAUUGCUUUUGUAAUCAAAUUGUCUUUUGUACCUAUUUAUACACACACAUAUUUGUAUUUGUAAUUUGAAUUUUACAUUUUCUCAAGACAACUAUGUUUAUUUUAAAAAAAAUCUAAAUGUAACUAAAAUAUUAAAGUUUUUGUACUUAUUACUCCAUUUGAUGAUUUUUUUUAUUUUUUUGCUGACGAAUAUUCCAUGUCAAUUUUUUUCCCUUCAGCUCGUUUAAGGUGUUUUAUUGUCUGAUGUGAUAUUUGGUGCUCGGGAGGAAGGGUGUUUUAAGUCUUUUUUGGUGUCAGGGGCAAUUUUGUCUUUACAUCAGUCAACAAAUAGUCAAUGGAUGGAAAUGCAAACAGCAGGGGAGGUGUCUGAUAAUACACGGAUACUUUCUAUCAAACUUAUAAUACACAAAAUCUCAGGGGAGGUUUUUGAAAAUUACCCAACUGUGCAAAAUUAUGAAAAAAAUGAGCUAAACAUAUAUAGCAUUUCAGAGGAGUGCUUACUUGACAAAUCACUAAUACAAAGCUGCGAAUGGGCAUUCGGAAUGUUUUGAGAGACUCGUAUGGAUAAAAUAUGUAGUUAUUUAAGUAAUGACAGAAGGAGAAUCGUGUGGCUUGUCAAAGCCGUUAGCUCCAUCUCAUUUGCCUCGUCCUCUCGUUUUGUUUCUGUGGGGACAUAUUUGAUAUUUUGGAUUUUGUCUAAAAUUCGUCAUGUUUUUGGAUACUAACAUCUGCGCCUCUAGACCAAUAGCCAUUUGAUUAAGUGGGAGAACCCUUACACUAGUGUAAGAAUUUGAACUUUUAUAAAAUUAUUUAUGAGAUUAUUUAUAAUUUUUUUUAAUUAUCAAAUAAUUGAGUAGAGUCAGUUUAAUCCUUACGAAAUAUUUACUAUUCAUAAAUAUCUUUUUUUUUCUCUAUCUUACAAUUGAAUAUUCUCUCUCUACUCCAACAUUAUGUAACCUAAAUAUUUAAUUUCACUCUUUUUUAAUUUAUUUUUUUGUCUUUUCUUAGUAUAUUAUAAUCUUUAUUUCAUGUUUUCUAUAUAUAAGAAUUUUUUUAUAUCUAUUAAAUUUUGUGUUUAGUGAAAAUUAAUUUCUUGAUAUUUUUAAUUUUUAUAAUUGAUAAAAAUAUAUCAAUGUUCAUUUUUAAAUGAUGGGUUUUGUUCAUUUUAGUUUGUUAUAUUAAUUUUUUGUAGGUAAAAGAAUAUAUUUGAAUGAAUUGAAGGAAAAUUGUGAAAUUGAGAAGAGAAAGAGAAGAAAAAGUUAAUUAAAUAAUUUUUUCAAAAAUUAUUUAAAUAAUAAAAUUCUUAAUUAAAAACAAAGAUGGAGAGAGAAAUUUAGUGGGUUCAAAAUACUUAUUUUAAAUCCAAAAAAGAACCAAUAAAAGAAAUCAAAAGAUGAUUCUUUUCUUUCUGACAUAUUUCUCUGUACUUUUCUCUCUCUACUGAUUCACAAUUUUUCAUACUUCUAACUAUCAUUUUAUUCAAGUAUUUUGUAUUUUUAAUGACAAUUAUUUAAUUUUUAGUUAGUUUUGAUAUUGAUUAGAGAUUUAAAGUGUAUUUUAGAAGACUUCCGGUCUCUUGAAAAAAGGAAAAAUGGAGAAGAAGAAGUGUUCUUGAUUUUUUGUAGGCGUUAAAGUUAAAUGGUUUGAAAUGAUAUUCUUUUUUAAUUUCACUCAUUAAUCUCAUUCAAGAUAAAAUUAUAAAUGCAAAUAAAUGGGGUUUCAUAAGUAUUUUUAAUAGUGUUAAAAGGUCUACUCACUAAAUAAACAUGUUUAACCCAAACCAAUGCGAUUAGUAAGUUAUUGGGUUGGGUUAAUCAGGUUAAAAAUCAAAAUUAAAAAUUAAAUAAAUAAAAAAGGUAUAAAAACUAUCUGUUACUUGAAAAUAAAAAGAAUUUCUAAUUGUUAGUUCUAAUGUCCCAUAUCCAAAACAUGCAUAUUAAAUAAAUAUUAUAAGUUAGAAAUACAAUAUCCAAGAAAGAAUGAAUGAAAUACCAUAUUUUUGUUGAGAAUUAAGAGUGUGAUUUUAAUUUUGAUAUUGGAGUCUAAAGUGCCACGUUUAAAUAUUCUCUUUUAUAAAAUAAUAAAAAGAGGUUAAAAAUUAGGUUAGCAAUUUAGCCAUUUAGGGUUUAGCAAUUAAGGAUGAACAUAUUAUUGUUGUUGUUGUUAUUAUUAUUAUUAUUUAUAUGUUUACUAAUCCAAUCCAAUCCAAUUAUUAACGAAUUUGAAAAAAUUGAUUCAAUCAAGCCAUAAUAAUUCAUUCAACUCGUCUAAAUUGGAUUAGGUUGAAUUUGGUUUGCCACCCUUGUUUUGAGCAACAAACCUCAAUGUGAUUCCAUGAGCUCUUUGAUUGUUUAUAAAAUUGUUUAUGAAAGUGCAAAAUAAAUUAUUGUAUACAUUAAAAUGUGCAAAACAAUGAAUUAUAUGUACGAACGAGUGCAAACACAUUUUUCAAUAAGAAGUUAAAAGAUAUUUAUGCAUGAAAAAGCCUACGUUUGUAGUUAUUCUAAAUUUUAAAAACAAAAUUUACAUUUAGAUCCCUAAAAUUUACGUAUAAGUACAAAAGUUUCAAAUAUUGUCUAUUAUUUUUUUAACAUGCCUAUUCCUUGUGGAUAAUUCUAUCUCAUCACUAAUGUUGUUUCUUGCUUACAAUUUGUAUAGUGUCUCAAAAUAGACAAUAGGGGGAUUUUGAAUUUUUUAAGUCUCAAUAUAGUCUCUAAUCUUGUGAGAAAGAUUUUCUUUCAAUAAUUUGGAGGUAAACAUAACAUAACUUUUUGGACUAAAGCCUAACUCUGCUGGUUAUGGUGGUAUCCUUUUCAAGACCUGCGUCUUUAGAUUCGAGUUUUAUAGUGUGCAUGCGUAUUUAAUUAAUAAUUUUUUAAAACAAUACAUCAAAUAUUAAUAUCCAUGACAUAAUUUAGUUCUUAAUUUUUUUUUUAAAUACAUCAAAAACAUAAUUUUUUUAACAACUUAUAGGCAUGACAAAUUUCAAGAUAUAAAUAUCAGUCAAAAUAAGUGAAAGAAAUAAUGGUGCCAAUUCUAAUUUCUUAACUAAAUUAAUUAGUGCAUGAGCCCCGAAUACGACACGAGAGUUUGAUGGGCUAACAUGGCACAAGAACCUGAAUAAAUAAUUGAUUUAAGAAAUAAUUCAAUGAAAAAUAUAAUUGAUAAGAAUUCAGUAUUGAAAUGAGUUUUUUAUGAAACACUGAAUUAAUGAUUAUUAAGCAAGAACAAUAAAAAAUAAAUAUUAAUCAUUGAUAAGUUUCAACAAAAGCUUAACACAAUCCUCAAUCCUAAUUCAAAUUAUAAAUGUCAUUCAUAUAUUCAUUAUAAUCAACAACAAAGGUUAUAAAUGUUUAGAAAUUCUAGAGGGAAGGAAGCUAUCGCUGGGCAAUCAACAACUAAAUUUGAUGUAAUUGUGGCACGAGAUGGAAUAUGGAAACUACACCAUAAUUUCAAAUGCCGCCAUAGACAUUGACUUAUCUACAAUAACAAUGAUCUAAUUAAAAUAAAAAUAGAGUUUAUGGGCAUUUAUUAAAAUAAAAAUAGGAGUGAAGUAAAAACAUUUAGAUUUUAAUGUAUGUACGGAAAAAUUUAUCUUUAAAAAUACUUUCUUAAUGUGUGUGUGCAUAUUGAAAUACUCAAACCAAUUUUGGUUAUAUAUAAUUCAACAAAAUUUAAAAUAUGAAAAAUAUAAUGUAGUUAUAGUGGAUAAGCAAUAAGUGAGCACAAUAUAAUUAAUCAAAUACUAUGCUAUCAAAAGUUAAUUUUAGAAAUUCCAAAUCCAAUAGCUAACACAAUUCUUUAAAGAAAUAACAAGGGGCAUUGGGCAAGAGUAAUGAAUGCUUAGUGGGUGCAUUUGAUUGAUAGAUAUAUAAAGGGCCGAAACUUGAUAUUAUAUUACUUUUACAAAAUUUAAUCCAAUCACAUAUUUAAUGAAAACAAAAUGAGUUAGGAUUGUUUAUUUAGAACCCACAUUUUAAUAAGGCUUCAUUUGAUGUAGUUUUUCAAACAUUGAUUAUUUGAGUAAUUACAAAGUACAAUACGUACCAAGUUUGGUAACUUAAUUGACAUCUUCUCAUAUAACCUUCGAUCAAGUCGAUUCUGACCUGACGACUAAUUGGUACAUCACCGUUGUUCUCUAUACUCGCAUGCAUCCGAUCACAAAUCUCACUCCAAUUGUCGUCUUUCUUCGGCGUUUUAGCGCAUCCUUCUUGAAUUUCCCGCAUUUCGUUCCCUCCUGUUACAAGUCUCCGGUCAGGUCAGUUCACUUGACGAUUAAUUCGGCAAAUCUCGAAUCUCUUCUCUAUCCCUCUCGUUUUCUCGUGUCUCCUUUCAGUUUAAGUGAUUGAAUCAAUUUUAUCGCAGUCUUAAGAGAAAUUAAGUAAUGCUCUUGGAUUUAAAAUUUUUUUGCUUUCGACUUUAGAUCUCGAAAGUCAAACUCUGCUACGAAUCCAUAGAUUCUCAAUGUUUAUAAUCUUAUUUGUGUUUGACCAGGUAACUGGAUCGUGAAAUUCGUCGUUUUGUAUCAAUUCAAGCUUUCGCGAGCUCAUGGAAUCCCCUGGUGAGUUGUGGUGAAACGUUAUCGUUUCAAUUUUCGCUUAAUUCUUUAUUGCAUAUUUUUUUCUCUCUAAUAUUUCAGUUUAAUUUAGAAAAGAAAGAGGACCCAAAAAGAGAGAGAGAGAGAGAGAGACUCUACCAUACUCAAUUCCUUGCUCAUUCUGAUUUGGCCUGAAUGUUGGCAUUGACUAUUAUUUGUUUUCAUUUCGAUUUAAUUCUCAUUUAGACAGUCUUUUUUAACUAGCAAUAAUCUUUUUAAGGAAAAUGAUAAUAGGGAUUCUGCAAUAAUCUUUUUAAGGAAAAUGAUAAUAGGGAUUCUGCAAUAAUCUUUCUGCAUUGUUCAAGUUAGUAGACAAUGAAUAGGGUGUUUAUGUUUACCUCAUUUUGAACCCUGAGGGCUUCGUUGAGUAGUUGAUCCAACAUAUCCAGCACCGGUUGAUGUGAGAACAGGAUGCCAUUUAGAUAGGCUUAAACUGAUUUUGGAGGUUUGUAUUCAUUCUAUUGUAUGUCUUGCUUACAAAUUUUUUAUUUUUUAUUUUUAAUUUUGUAUAAUAUGCUCUUUGUUGGUAAAUCUCAUUUGACUUAGAAGAGAUAGUUUUAUCCCAACAGUGGGAUAAAUCAUUGAGAUGCAUGGCAGUGUGAAUAUAGUAGACAAAAUCAUUGAGACAGAUGGUGGUGUGAACAUAGUAAACUUUGUCAAACACAGCUAAGAUAAACAAAUUGUUUCAUUAGCCUUUAUCUUAUCUGCUGUGAUGAUUCAAAUUAAUGCUGUUUGGUAGGUUGCAAAAAACGAAAUGAGCUGACUGUUCAUAUUAUUUAGUCAGAUCUAUUGCAAUAAGUUGAAGUUCACUGUCACAUGGGUUGGGAGUAGCGUGGGCUGUGAGUAGUAGAAUGGAUUUAUGGAGUUGAUACAAGUGCCCAUAAUCUAUCAUGUCAUUCUAGGAUUAAAUGGAUUGCACAUUACUGUAAAGAUGGAGGUUAAAUUUAUAUAAUUCGGAUUGAUUGUAAAAUGGGAGGCAGAGAUGAGUUAGAAAAAAAAUGACCUGUGUCCUUUUUGAGCUGUUUCUAAAUCUCCCUGGUGUGCUUCAUGCUUAACACGUGUCUGUCCAAAUAAUUUUGCUUAACCUGUGCUUGUCUACUUCUUGUGCUAUUCUGUGCCUGGUCCUGAGCUGUGUUGGUAGAUUGACAUAAUUUUGCUCUGCUAAAUGUAUAACUUAUUAAUCAGAGUCCUGUUAUUAUGGUUUGACACUACUGACAUGUUGUGUUGGUAUUUAUUUGUACUUCCCUUGGUUGAAUUAUUUGCUGUCUCCAUGCCAUUCGAUAUGGUGCUACUUGGUUUUUGAUCAUCCAUGACGCUAUAUAUAUGUAAAGGAUGAAUUGAUUGUUUUGGCUUGUAUUCUCACAUUUUAUGAUUGAUCGAUGGAAAGGUCUUCAUGUAUUAAAUUCAACCUCACAAGCGUAAGAUUGACAGAUUGUGGGAAAAUUUUCAGGAAAAGAAACUAGACUUCAUGGAAGCAAUGAAGCUUGAAAUUGAACGUCUGCAGCUGCAUCUUUCUGCAGCUGAAAGGGAUAGAGCUUUAUUGUCAAUUGAAACUGAUCCUGCCUCUAUAAAUCCAAAUGUAUUGCUUGAUGAAUCUUACAUGGGAAGACUGUCGAGUAGCAACCACUCUUGCAUUACUUGGCCAAACUUCCCUAGAAGACAAAAUUGUUGGUGCAAUUGGCCUUGAGAAUAGUGAUGAUAGUGUUUUAGACUUCUGGAAUAUUACUAGAAUCGGAGAGAGUUGUUCUGGUGGCGGGUGCAAGGUUUGUGCAGAAACUAAGGUGCCUGCUCUUGCUUCCUCAACUGCAACAUCUGUUGGAGCUUCACAAUCCCCUUUGUUGUGUUCUCAAUGUGAAAGAAAAGUUUGCAAAGUUUGUUGUGCAGGAAGAGGAGCUCUACUGUUUUCAAAUUAUAAAUCAAGGGAUGUGACCAACUACAAUGGCUUCUCAAGUCAGAGUGGAUGAAGCCAUGGAAGCCAAGUUGAUGUAUCUACCAGUCGUUCACUAACACUGGAUGGCGUUAUCUGUAAACACUGCUGCCAUGAGAUUGUGCCUGAUGCAUUGAUGUUGGACCAUGUUAGGGUCUUGAUUAGCUUGCGAAGAAGUUCCUGUGCAGACAACGCAGUCAUACAAUGCUUUGAAUGAGGUUGUUGGAUCCUGCUUAAAGGAUAGUGUUUCUGAAAGGAUUCAGUCUUCCGAUAACGUGCAAGCUGCUGAAGUCCUUCACCAAUUAUGUGGUGGACAGGAAUCACUUGCUGAAUUUCCAUUUGCUAGCUGUUUGCACUAGGUAUGUUCUUGGUUUGUAUUCAGUUCUCAUCAUGUUAUGUUUUCCUUUUAAAUUUCUUUUCUUGAUUAAAAUUUUUAGAAAUAUGUUUUAGUAUUUGUUCUUAUGAUAUAUGCCCAGAACAUUCAUCCCACUUAUCCAUGAGAAUCCUUGUCUGGUUUGAUUUUCAAUUGAGACAUUUUUGGGAACCCUGAGCAGGUUCCAUAUGCUAAUAAUCUUUGAGGUAAGGUGUUGUAGGAUGCCUUGAGAAGCUAAAAACCUAUUACAAGGAAAAGCUCUUGCAUUGUUUUGUGGAAUCUGUGUUGUGAAAAUAGGUAGAGAAAAAGUUUAUGGAAUAAUUCUCUUAUUUCAUAUGUUCAUGAGACUGUACACAGUCUUUAUAUAGGGAUACAAGAGACUAAGAAAGGAAAGAAAAAAUUAAAGCAGAAUAUUACACACUGAUUUCUAGGAAGCAAUAACUCUAUAUUUACACCAAAUAUACACCUAAAUAUAUAAGGAAAACCAAAUCAAUUUGAUUUGGUCAACCUUUCAACACUCCCCCUCAAGCUGGUCUAAAAAUGUCUUUCAUGGCCAGCUUGCAAACCAAUUUCUCAAAAUGUUUCUUAGGUAGUCCCUUGGUGAGUAUAUCAGCAAUCUGCUCAUUUGUAGGAAUGUAGGGCAUGCAGACCAAACCACUGUCCAGUUUUUCUUUUAUGAAAUGUUUGUCCACUUCAACAUGUUUAGUUCGGUUGUGGAGUACUGGAUUAUGUGCUAUUGCAAUGGCAGAUUUGUUGUCACAAUAUACUUUCAUAGGUAGAGAAUUAUUUGCCUUAAGUUCUUCAAGAACUUUUUUGAUCCAAAAAACCUCACAAAUUCCUAGAGCUACUGCUCUAUAUUCUGCCUCUGCACUACUUCUUGCUACCACAGUUUGUUUCUUGCUGCGCUAAGUGACCAAAUUUCCUCCGACAAAGGUGCAGUAACCCGAAGUGGAUCUUCUAUCGGUUACACUACCAGCCCAGUCAGCAUCAGUGUAGACUUCUACUUGUAGGUGCCCGUUUUUUCUAAACAAAAGACCUUUACCCGGAGAUCCUUUUAAGUAUCUAAGGAUUCUAUAUACAGUUUCAAAGUGUUCUGGUCCUGGAGCAUGCAUAAACUGGCUGACUAAGCUCACUGCAAAGGCUAUGUCCGGGCGUGUAUGUGAAAGGUAGAUUAAUCUACCUACAAGGCGUUGGUACCGAUCUAUGUUGGUCACAUCUUCAAUAUUAGCUGGCUGUAAUUUCAUAUUAGGAUCUAUGGGUGUCUCGGCUGCUUUACAUCCGAGUAAACCUGUCUCUUCAAGCAAAUCAAGAACAUACUUGCGUUGAGACACAACAAUCCCAUCUUUUGAUCUAGCAAACUCCAUGCCCAAAAAAUACUUCAGGUUGCCUAAGUCUUUGAUUUCAAAGUCACGUGCAAGCACUUUCUUUAAUCUGCAAAUCUCAACUAAGUCAUCACCAGUCAAAAUUAUAUCAUCUACAUAUACAAUUAACACGACUAAUUUCCCUUCAAUAGAAUGUUUGUAAAACAUUGUAUGAUCUGCCUGACUUUGGGAGUAGCCGUGUCCCUUUAUAACAUUACCAAAGCGUUCAAACCAUGCUCUAGGAGACUGUUUGAGCCCAUACAAAGACUUAUGUAGUUUACACACUUUACUGUUGCCAUGAUUUCCCUCAAAACCUAGUGGUAAAUCCAUAAAGACUUCUUCUUCUAGCUCCCCAUUCAGAAAAGCAUUUUUAACAUCUAACUGGUAUAGAUUCCAAUCAGAAUGUACAGCCAAUGAGAUAAGGACCCGGAUGGAAUUUAUCUUUGCAACGGGGGCAAAAGUUUCUUGAUAAUCAAUUCCGUAGGUUUGAGUGAAUCCUUUUGCUACAAGCCUUGCCUUAUAUCUCUCAACACUCCCAUCAGCAUUACAUUUAAGUGUAAACACCCACUUUCAACCCACAGUUUUCUUUUCUUUUGGUAAAUCCACAAUCUCCCACGUACCAUUCUUCUUUAGAGCAUUCAUUUCCUCUAAAACUGCUAACUUCCAAUCUGGGUGGUCUAGGGCUUCUUUUAUGGUUUUAGGAAUUGGUAUUUGAGAGAUUUUUGUGGUAAAGGCUCUUUGUUUAUUGGACAACUUUUCAUAGGAAACAUAUCUAGCAAUGGGGUGCUUAGUACAGGUUCGGGUUCCUUUCCUAUGUGCUAUGGGUAAGUCAAGAUCAGGAAAAAAAGUGCUGAAAUGUUUAGGAGAAGAAAUGUUACCUGAAUUUUCUGAGGAAUCAGUGCUUGGAGGCAACGAUUGAGGCUGUAUCGAGUUUAUGAGAGGGUCUUUACUGUUGUGAUGAUACUUUCGAGUAUAAACACGCAGCUCUGGUGGUGGAAUUUUAUCUUGUAGUAUUUCUCCCCCUGUCUCUGGUACAUUAACACUUGGUUCCUGUAGUUCAAGGUUUCCUAGGUUUUCAUUAUUAGAAAUAUCAGUUUUUUGAGUUUGAGUUGGAGUGCCCAGAUCAGGUAAAAACUGAUUAGGCAUAGGUGUAGAAGUAUGCCAAAAAUGAUCUUCACUAUUUUCUUUCUCCCCCUGAAGAGAAUUUUGGCCAAAAAAAGGUUGAUUUUCGAGAAAUAUAACAUCCAUACUGACAUGGAAUUUCUUUGUUUGAGGAUUGAAACAUUUGUAACCUUUUUUAUUAGGUGCAUAGCCCAAGAAAACACAUUUUUCAGAUCUAGGAUCCAAUUUAGAUCUAAGAUGGUUAGGAACAUGAACAAAUACAGUGCACCCAAAGACUCUUAACUGAAUAUUGGAGGUAAUCCUACUAGAAGGAUAUAUAAGUGUGAAGUAUUCUAAAGGUGAUUGAUACUUUAAAACACGGGUAGGCAUCCUAUUAAUCAAAUAACAUGCUGUUAAAACAGCAUCACCCCACAAAUAUUUAGGAACAUGCAUAGAGAGCAUGAUAGCCGACUAACUUCAAGUAAAUGGCGGUUUUUUCGUUCCGCAAUUCCAUUUUGUUGUGGAGUAUCACGACAAGUGGAUGUGUGAAUUAUACCCUUUUCCUUACAAAACACCUCUAGAUAAUUAUUAAAAUAUUCAGUACCAUUAUCUGUAUGGAGUAGACUUAUUUUUGUUUGAAAUUGAUUUUCAACCAUGUUAUAAAAAUCUUUGAAUAACCCCUCAACUUCAGAUUUUUCUCUCAUUAAAUAAACCCAACAAAGCCGAGUAUGAUCAUCUAUGAAUGUUACAAACCAUUUUUUUCCAGUUAAAGUGUUGAUUUUUGAGGGUCCCCAAACAUCACUAUGAAUUAAAUAAAAAGGUUUUGAGGCACGAUAAAUAAGUGCUUUAUAUGAAACUCGAUGACUUUUAGAUAAAAAACAACUUUCACACUGAAAAGUAGUACAAUCAACAUUUUUAAAUAAAUUUGGAAACAAAUAUUUCAAAUAAGGAAAGCUAGGGUGUCCUAGUCUAAGGUGCCAAAGCAUUAUUUGAUCCCUAGCAGAGUUUGAACUAAUACUACUGCUCAAACCUUGAGUUUGUUUAUUCCUUGAUAAGUAGUCAUCAAAAUAGUAAAGACCUUCUCGCAAACUAGCACUGCCAAUCAUCGUCCCCAAGUCCCUGUCCUGAAAUUCACAAUGGGAGUCAAAAAAGACAGCACAACAAUUAGAAUCUUUGGUUAAUUUACUGACAGAUAACAGAUUGCAAGAAAGUUUAGGGACAUGUAGCACAUUUUUAAGCUCAAUGGUUCCAGAGAUUUUUAUUGAUCCUUUUCCAGCUAUGGAAGAUAAGCUUCCAUCAGCAACUCUUACCUUUUUGUUACCAGGGCAAGGAUAAUAGGAAUCAAAUAAACUAGAAAUGCUAGUCAUAUGAUCAGAAGCACCCGAAUCAAUAAUCCAUGGUGCAGUAGUUGAGUGGCUAAAUAGAGCAUUAAUAAUACUACCUGUUUGGGCUAGUGAACCACUAGGAGUACUAGGUGGAGGAUUAGAAGUCAGCAGCUUUAUGAGAUGGUCAAUUUGCUCCUUGCUGAGAUUUUUUUCUAGAUUCUCCACUUCAUUGGCAGACGCACGGCUAUGCUUGCUGUUUUUCCAAUCUGCAGGCUUUCCGUGGAGUUUCCAGCAAGCCUCCCGAGUAUGGCGUGGUUUAUUACAGUAAUCACACCAUACUCGAGGUUUUUGUUGCUGUUGAGUGAUGGAGCGGGUAGCAUUAUCUGCUGUAACAAGGGCAGAUUUUUCCACAGAGACAACGGAGUUCUUUUUUCCCAACAUAACACCUCGACGACUUUCUUCUCUCCUUACUUAAGAGAAAACAUCCUCAAGAGUAGGAAGUGGCUUUCUCCCAAUAAUUCUUCCUCUUACCUCAUCAAAUUCAACAUUGAGCCCAGCCAGGAACUUGAAGAUUCGCUCAUUAUUGACAGUUUGUUUGUGGUGUUUAAAAUCUUCCAUGCUCUCCCACUCGUAGUCGUUGAAUAAGUCCAGAUCUUGCCACAAUCUCUUUAGAGUAUUGAAGUAUUUUGUUAUACUAUAAUCUCCUUGACGGAUAUCUCCAAGAGCAAGCUGCAACUCAUAGAUCUGGGACUGAUUUCCAUAGUCAGAGUACAUCUGACUCACAUUAUCCCAGAGUUCUUUUGCAGUAGAGUAGCACAUAUAAUUUGCACCAAUGUCUUCAUCCAUGGAGUUGACUAACCAUGCCAUAAUCAUGGAGUUUUCGGCAUCCCAAACACCAUAAGAGGGAUCAGAUAUUUCAGGAGCCUUAACAUCUCCGGUAAGAUAACCAAUCUUCCCUCUUCCCCUAAUAUACAUUCUAACCGACUGAGACCAUCUUUGAAAAUUUCCUUCAUUCAGCCGGAUAGUUGUAAUCUGGACAGAAUGAGAUUCAGAAUGGGAAAUUUUUGGUUCUAGUCUUUUUGAGGUGACUGUGGUUUCAGAAGAUUGGUCAGACAUGGUAGGGAAGAGAUCAGAAAGAAAGGGAGCCUAGCUCUGAUACCAUGUGAAAAUAGGUAGAGAAAAAGUUUAUGGAAUAAUUCUCUUAUUUCAUAUGUUCAUGAGACUGUACACAGUCUUUAUAUAGGGAUACAAGAGACUAAGAAAGGAAAGAAAAAAUUAAAGCAGAAUAUUACACAUUGAUUUUUAGGAAGCAAUAACUCUAUAUUUACACCAAAUAUACACCUAAAUAUAUAAGGAAAACCAAAUCAAUUUGAUUUGGUCAACCUUUCAACAUGUGUGCUAGCAAGUCAUGUCUCUAAUAAUUUCAUAGUUUGCUUGAUUGGAAUUUUUUAUCUUGAUAUGGAUUGUUUAUUCUAGAUUCCUUGGUGCUGUAGGUUGAAACAGCAAAAGAUUCAGCACCGAUUUUGUCACUGCUUGCUCCAUUAAAUUCUGGAUCAAGGCACUCAUAUUGGAGAGCUCCACCUUGUACUACUUCUGUUGAAUUUGUUAUUGUUCUCUGUUCUGUUUCUGAUGUCAGUGGGGUUAUCUUGCUUGUUAGUCCUUGCGGCUAUUCUGUGGGUGACACUCCGAUGGUAAGUGCCAUAUUUAUUCCCUUAUUUCCUUGUUGUUCAAUAAAUUUGGUGAUAAGCCAAGUGGCCUUAAUAAUGAAGCCCAGUACCAGGGGUGGUGGGUAAUCGAUAUUCAACUUGUGAAUAUUCCUAAGCAAGCACUGAAUCAACAUAGACCUCGGCAAAAGUUCUCCAUGCUAUUAUAACGAAAGUCAUAUUUUGAAAUGAUUAAAAGAGUCCCUGUGUAGUGCUAUUUCCAAAGAAAUUGCAGCUGGAGGUUUAGUUUCAUGUAGGUUAGUUUCCGAUAAUAAACUUUCCAUUUCAUUAAUUGCUGAUGAAAAAACCAAGUAAGAACAGUUUUGUUGCUCGUCAUUUAUGUAUAUUUUGGUAAACUGUAAUUUUAAAUUCUCAACGAUCUUCCCUUUGUAGGUAAGAAGAUGGUCCACUCACUUGAUAUUUAUGAUUGUAGAUCAGGUUUCUAUUGGUUUGCCUUUAUCAUUCGGAACCCAAGUUUGAUAUUAACAGAGAUCACGUCAAUAAUAUCCUAUUUGGGUAGAUGUGGGUGAGGAUUUAAAAUCAAAUUUGAAAUUGAGGGCAAAGAAGAGAAAAGAAACCGCAAUAAUUAAACAAAAUAUUAGGAACUAUUCUGAUGAGUUUUAAUCUCGAGAGGAACAAUUUUCAAAUGCAAAAUUUAACUGCUAGAGAAAUUGUAGCUUUUUGUCAUUAGUUAAGAGGAAAGAGAAUAAGAACUAUCUGGCCCUUUCCUUCAUGAAUGUGUGUUGAGGUUGCUGUAUUAUUUAGUCAGUAUUUGUAAUUUUCUUCCCUGCAGUGCUCUCUGCCUCCUGAAUUUGCUACUGAGUCCAUAUUUUUCUUUGAGCUGUUGCUUCCUAUUGCUGUUACAGGUACAAAUCUGGGCAAGCAAUAAGAUACACCGGGAGGACAGGUCAUCAAUGGGAAAAUGGGAUGUCCAAUCCCUCAUCACAUCUUCUUCAGAUUUGUAUGGUCCAGAAAAGUCUGCUAGUGUUGAAAAAUUACCUAGGCAUGUAAAAUUUACUUUUAAGAAUCCUGUUAGGUGCCGCAUUGUUUGGAUCACAUUACGUCUUCAGAGACCUGGUUCGGCUUCAGUUAAUUUCGGGAAUGACUUCAGUCUUUUGUCUCUUGAUGAAGAUGAAAACCCCUUUGCACAAGUAGACAGACGUGCUUCAUUUGGAGGAGCAGUUGAAAAUGAACCAUGUAUUCAUGCCAAAAGAAUUCUUGUAGUCGGAAGCCCAGUAAAAAGGGAGGGGCUUACCACAUCACAGAGCUCUGAGCAGCUAAGUAUUAGAAACUGGUUGGAUAGAGCUCCACAAAUGAGUAGAUUCAAGGUAUUAGUUGCUUUCACUCUUUGUUCAUUCAUAAUUCCAGCUUUCUGCUUGAUGCCUUGCCUCUGAUAAACCUCUUUUUUCUCUUCAGGUCCCAAUUGAGGCCGAGAGAUUGAUGGACUACGAUCUCGUCUUGGAACAGUAUCUACCUCCAGCGUCACCUUCGCUUGCCGGAUUCCGUCUAGAUGCUUUCAGUGCAAUAAAACCUAGGGUUACCCAUUCACCUUCCUCAGAUUCAGAUAUCUGGGACAAAUCAGUAACAUUUUUAGAAGACAGGUACAUCUCUCAAGCUGUGUUGUAUUUACAAGUAUCCGCACUCCAGGAACCACAUAACAUGGUAACUAUUGCGGAAUAUCGACUGCCGGAGGCUAGAGCCGGAACGCCAAUGUACUUUGAUUUCCCACGACCGAUACAGUCCCGACGAGUUUCAUUCAAGCUUCUUGGAGAUGUUACAGCAUUUGCAGAUGAACCUUCAGAACAAGAUGAUUCAGGAUUGAGAGCUCCACUUGUGGCCACAGGUUUGUCUUUGUCAAACAGAAUCAAGUUAUAUUAUUAUUGUGAUCCUUAUGAGCUCGGAAAAUGGGCAAGCCUUUCUGGAGUUUGAUCGUUAUUUAUAUGUCAGAGAAAGGGUUUUGGGUUUGAUUUUGAUUUUGAUUUGUAAUUUUUGUCAGUUUAUUGAAAUUUUUUGUUGUAUAAAAGCAGAAUGUAAAGGUAUAAAAAUUCAUUGAUGCUGCAAUGUCUGUGCUUUUGAGAAAGAAAGAAUUCUAUGGCUUUUCUAUGCCAUUGGAUUUUCCACUGCCUGUAAACUUGGGCUGUCGAAUGCUCUGUGAACCUUAAGGGCUAUAAAGUAAUUUUCAAGACUGAAGGAUUUAUUAAUCGAGUUCAAAAGAUUGCAAGUUGGUGAGCGUUGGCAUUUAAAAAAUCAAUUGUUAUUCUCUCAAUAAUCUCUGUCUUCUGCCGACACCCCAUGCUCAGAAACCCAUUGUUCCGACGGACGUGUAACACUUCUAGAAAUUGUUUUGAUCUCUCCUCGUGAAGUGUUUUCUUUUUCGAGUGAAGGUGGUUUUCUACUUGCAUACGUCGGGGGUCUUAUGAUAUGUAAUGUGUGAAAUUUCUUUCUCAUUUUACCAUAAAGAAAAAUGUUGUAAUAAUCUAAAGCUCGAGUCUUAAAUUAUCUUAAAUUUAUAUUUAGAGUGGAGCUAUUCGCAAUCCUACAUUAAAAUUACAAAUAAAAAUAAUUGAAAAUUAAACACUUAUAGAUUUUUUUUACAACAAAUUAUUUAAUUCAUAAUCAAUCCUUUAAAAAAAAAAAUCCAUAUGUUACUUGCUAUCUAACUAAAAUAAAUUUUACAAAUUUAGAAUAAUCUAUUGAUUUCUUUUGAUUUCUUAUUAAUUAAAUAUUUUUAUACAUAAAAUUGCUUUGAAAUUAUAAUUUGAAAUAUGUGUUAUUUCAGCCAAUGAUUAACACUAAAAAACUUAUCACCCAUAUAACUUUUUAAUUUGUGUGUAGGGUAAUAAUAAAAUCAAAAAUAAUUAAAAAAAUAGUACAAUAAUGAGUUUUAACAAUAAAACAAAUCAAAUGAAAAUUGAAAAUUUAGAAAAAAUGUAUCUAAAAAAGGGAACGUUUUUUAAAAUAAAAUGAAUAUAACUAAAAAGGGGUUUUAUGAGAAGAGCAGAGGGGUGCCAAUAGUCCAACUUGUAAUUAAGAAUCUCCCAUUAUAUUGUCAACCAAAAAGACACUUGAAUAAGAAGAAGAAUUUAUCAGUUUGAUUUUAUUUAUAGAUCCAACAUUUCUCAUAUCCUAAACGCCUUUCCGUAUCAAAUUAAAACAGUAGUCGCAAAAUCGUAGUAUUAAAAUCGUAGUGCACAUUCAAUUAACCAACUAAUAGUCUUUGGUAUAAGAUUUUAUAUUAGCUAGCCAAGUAGGUUGUCCAUCCCACUCAGACAUGAACGAAAGCUAAAUUCAUCAAAUGGUGUUAUACUAUUAAAUAUUUUUAUAUUUAAAAUUACUUUGAAAUUAUAAUUUCAAAUUAAAAUAGUAGUAGCAAAAUCGUAGUGCACAUUCAAUUAACCAACUAAUAGUCUAAGAAGCAAAGAGAGGAUUACAAGUUCACAACACCAUUACAAAGGAUUCAAAAUUCCCACACGAAAACAUCAAUGUACAGAUUAUAAACAAUCCGAAUUGGACACAAGAAAAAGCCCUUCAAUGGAUUGCUUUCCUUCCCAAUGCUAUAUACUGUGCAAACUCCGCACUGGCCAAGAAAAUGUUUUCAAUUUAGUGUAUUUUCAAAUUGCUUAUUUUCUCAUAAUAUAAAAAAUAAAAAAGAAUCCUUACAUGUUUCAUCAGCAUGAUUAAAAUCAAAGAAGAAAGCGAAGACGUAAUGUCUCUGACAUAAUAAAAUUACAAAAAUUUCAAGGAAAAAAAAAAGGUUAAAACAUGUAAUCUUCAGAAGCAUAUAAUAAAAGAACACUUCCACAAAUUACUACAAUUUCAUGCAGUAGAGAUUGAAGAGUUGAAUUCCACUAAUUUUAAUAAUGAAAACAACAACAGAGGAUUAACUGAUGCUUUGACUUAUUAGCAGGUUGCUUUGACUUAUUAGUUCUGCAGCUAAGUUAAAUAAAAUAAGCUAUUUUCAAAAGCAAAAUGGAAUACAUAGAUAAAAACAUCAUCUUAAACAAAUCACAAUCUAGAAUUAGAGCAUUUUCGACAUACCUAAGGAACACGAAUACGUGAAAACGGGUGAUUUAUUUGUUAAGGAGUGUUGAUUUGGUCGUCUCUGCAAAUUCUUUAGGGACUCGGUUCCAAUUCCUCUUCAUCAAAACUGUAAUAUAAUUCCCCUUCAUCAGAACUCGAAUCGAUGCAAUAUAAUUCCCCUUCAUCAGAACUCGAAUCAAAUUCACUUGCAGCAGUUCCACUCGCGCUUGGCAAAUCAUCCAAUUUCCAAACUUCGGUAACAAAAUUGAGAGUAAAAGUGUUGGCUUUGAUCUCGCUGGGAUUUGCAUAUACUGGACAUACUCCGCAACGUUUUAUCUUCUGACCCUUUUGGACCUUUAUUAUGUUUCGGUGACACUCAUUGAAGAACUUAAAUGUGGCAGUUGAAUGAUGGUCACCAUCAGGAAAGCCAACAUUCAAGCAAGGUUUAAAACCAAGUAUGACAUGAUCUGAAUCAUGGGGGUCUUGAAUUGAGUGCAAAUUGUAACCCAGAUGAACAUGUUUGGUUUCAGAGAGAGUCUUUAUUUCUAAGUCGGAUCGACAGUAAACGUAAAAAUAACGAAAACGAUCAGAAUAAAGUUGCUUAAAAUCAAGAACAGCACAAAAAGCAAACCCGAUUAAGUUUCUGCAAAAAGAGUGCGGUGGCAGUUGAAUACGUAUCGAAGAUCCUGAACUUUGAUUGCUGAACCAGUCAGGAAUUUCGCUCCCAGGUAAAACAAUUUGGGAUCCCCUGAGUUCAGAAAGUUUCUGCGAAACGACAUUUAAAAAAAGAAAAUUGUAAAAUGAAAACCAUGAUUUCAGAUAUAACAAAGAGGGACAGAGUAAACAAGAGAGGGAAUUUGAUACCUCGUUGUAUGCAUUUUCAUAGCCCAGUCUCAGUGAUGCUGCAAUUGCCAUACGUAGUGAAUCUGCCAAAAUCUUGUUGUUUGCUUUUCCAUCAAGUUUCAAGCAGUUAGUAAACUCAAAACAAAUUGGUUGUGGCGUCACAUAUUCCGGAUGCCAUUCACGAAGGUCAGGAGAGGGUUUGGAUAGCUUUUCGAGUACGGAUGCAUCUAGUUCUUGUACACAUGACGGAAUCUCUGGCAAAGAUUGAAGCCGGUUGCAGUUCAUUGCUUUUAGUGACUGUAGACACAAUGGAAGUUCUGGUAAUGACCGAAGCAUGUUACAAUCCUCCAAGUGAAGAGUUUCUAGACCCAAUGGAAGUGCUGGUAAUGACUGAAGCAUGUUACAACGCCUCAAGUAAAGAGAUUUUAGACACAAUGGAAGUUCUGGUAAUGACUGAAGUAUCUUACAAUCCCUCAAUUCAAGAUAUUUUAGACACAAUGGAAGUUCUGGUAAUGACUGAAGCAUAUUACAAUCCUCCAAGUUAAGAUAACUUAGCCACGACAGUUGCUUGAUACUUGCAGGUAAACUCUCAAAGUUAUUUCCACUUAAAUUGCCAAUGUUAUCCGGCAACUUGUCAAGUAUAGAGCAACCACUUACGGACAAAAAUGAAAGCCCCGGUAGAUUUUCAAAUGGCGAUGGCAGCUCUGUAAUUGCCGUCCAGACUAAAUAGAUGCAAUUUAAAUGUUCCAUUUUCUCCAAGAUUUCUGGGAAACGCUCAAGGUUCAAGCAGCCAAAAAGAAAAAGAUCAACCAAAGAUCUCAAUUUACAGAACCUAGUUGAAAUCCUCUUCAGCCGUUUGCAAUGCCCCAAAUCCAACACUUCAAGAUCAGUUAGGCACUCUAUUGAUGAUGGAACUUCUUCUAUUGCAGACUGGCCUAAGGAUAGCUCUGUGAUUUUCCCAGAAAUCCGUGGAAACUCUUUGAGAUUAACACAAUAGGAGAAAUUAAUAGUUACUGGACAAACAAAAUGAAGAUUGCUUGGAAAAGACCUAAGACUUUUGCAGCCCUCAAAAGACAACGCACUGAGAUACUUGAAAUUCUGGAUAGAUGAGGGAACACAAGCCAAGUUUGUAUAAUCCAAAAGAUUUGUUUCAACAUUUGGGGUUUCUAAUGGGCCUGGCAUCUUAAUGAAAUGUCGAGAAUGAUUGAGGUUAAUAGAUUUUAACUUGAAAGCUUCCUGCAAUAACAGAUAUAUAAAGACUAUAUUAAUUAAAAAGCAACAUUGAAUUCAACAAUUAAUUGCACGUAUGUUUAAAGAAAGAAAAAAAUUAAUGUUUUAGUUUUAGUACAAAACUUACCUUUUCUCCUUCCCAAAGUUGCUCAACUUUACUAAAACGCAAAUUCAGUUCAACAAGGUUCAUUGGCUUGAAAUUUGAUGGCAGUGUCCUUAAUGGAUAUGUGUCCCAAUGAAGAUAUCUCAAUUUUUUAGGAAGAUAAUCUAGGCCAUUUGGAAGCUGCACUUUAGAGUAUGAAAGUUGCUCUUCAAUGCUCAUACUUAGAAACCUUUCAAUCUCAGGUACAUAAAAUUUGAGCAAUCUUAGAUUAGACAUUUUUGUGAAGGCUCCUGGGUCUAAAUUGAUGCCUUUUAUUUUGGACAAAUCCAGAAAUAUGCCUUCAAUUGCAUCGGUCCCCUUAUUAAAAAAAAAAAAAACAAAGAAUGAGUAACCCUAAAACAGAAAAGAAACAUUCGUAAACUUUAUUAACUAAGAGCUUCUUAAACAAAAACAAAUUCUGCAAUCUUUGAUUUUAUUUUUUUAAUAUAUUAAAUAUCUAUAUACGAGAAAAGAAAAUUUUGGGGACCAUUGCAAAAUUAAACUAACCGAAAAAAAAUUCAAAAUUUCUCUAAUUUACAAACCUGUUAUCUUAAUAACUAGAAGUUGAGAAGACAAGGCCUAUUUGAUUGGUAUAAGAUUUCGAUUUGUUUUUUAGUCCAUAGAAUCCAAAAUGUUAGUUCAAAAUUAGGGAAAAAAAAUGAAAGUUAUUUUUUUUCCACUAGUUGUAAUUGUUUCCAAGUCAAAUUGAGAUACGACCCUUUUCGAAAGGAUUUAAUCAUCUUAUAGCCUCCUUAAGAUACAUUUAAGCUAAAAGGAGUGAUUGGAGGCAGAACUAGGUGGGCCAAUCAGUCCCUUUUAUUAGUGACUGUUGCUUAAAAAAAAUUAUACUCUAAAACACACUUACUUUUUUGAAAAAAAAUAUAAUUAUAUUGAAGUAGAACCAGGUGGGCCAAUCCUCAUGGCACUCACUUUGUUCUGACACUCUUCACUAAAUUUGAAGAAAAAUAAAAUUAUACUCUUCACACUCUUAUUCAACAUUCCAAAAUUGAUAAAAUCUAGAGUUUUCUUUAAAAAUUUAAAAUUUGAAGACUUGUUCUCUUGACAUCCUCAGUCAUUAAUUUCACCUAAUUAUGGUUUUUAUGAUUUUGGUUGUUUUGUUCAUAAAACAAUUUUACUAAAGGAUGUUCUCGUAAUAAUAAAAAUUAUAAAAAAAACAUGGGUGUGCUGGUAUGGUUGGGAAAAUACGAGUACAGAACUCCAAACAAAUAAAAGAUUUAUAUAAAAAAAAAUGGAGGAUUCUUACCAUAUUAUGCUUUAGUACGCGGCGGAUUUCCUUAGGAUCCCACAACCUACUACGUCUGCCUGGCACUUCCUCAGAUUCUUGGCGAACAGUCUCUUGGCCCAUUUCUUGCAAUAAAUCAUGCAUUUGCAAGCGGUUAUCUGACACAGUUAUGAGUGACUUGUCGACGAGGACAUCCAGUCUGUGAGACCCAGAAUCAUCAAGUAUCCUUAACACAAAAUCUUUAUCCUCUCCCUCAAGGAAACACGCAAUAUCUAGAAACAUACUCUUCACCCUGGGCGUUAAUUCUUUAAAACUAAUCUUUAAUGUAUCAUAAAUACCAUGAAUAUCAGAUUCACAAAUCCGAUUUAAGUCGUGCAAUACAUUUUCCCAAUGGCUUUUCCUCUUGAGAUACAGGGAGGAACCCAACACUUUAAGAACUAAUGGAUUGCCAUCAGCAUACUCUACAACUCUCCACGAGUCACGUUUGAAAUCUUCAGGACGAUGCUUUUCUUUAAAAGCGAAGUUACAAAAGUGCUCGAAAGCCUCAUCAAAUUUCAAUCCAUUGACCCUAUAUAUUUUCUCCACUCCAAAUUUUUCGAGGACUCGUUUAUCCCUGGUGGUUACAACAAUUCUACUUCCUGGACCAUAUUGAUCAAGCCCUCCAAUCAAACCCUCUAAUUGUUCAUCUUUAUUCACAUCAUCGAGUACAAUCAACACCUUCAUGCGUCGGACCCUCCCUUUAGUAAAUUGUGGAAUAUUGGGACCAGCUACUUCAAGUUUUUCACUUAAUAUUGUCGAAAGCAUUUCCUUUUGUAGGUCUUCUAGGCCACCCUCUGUUUCUGAUUUUCUCCUAACAUUUUUUGCAAAGUAUUUACCAUCAAACUCACCAGCGAAUUGAUCGAAAAUAGCUUCAGCAAGGGUAGUUUUGCCUAUACCGCCCAUACCCCAAAUUCCAACAAUUUGGACAGUAUCCGACAAAUCCAUACACAAAAAUGGUUUAAUCUGCUCAAUUCGUGAAUUUAAUCCAACUAGGCCGUUGGAUGAGUCCGUUGAGACUGUUAUUUUUUCCAACUUCUUCAAAACAUCUUCGACAAUUUUGUUUACAAGUUGCGCAUCAAGCCUAAUAUGAAGGUGCAAAGAUGCAAAAACAUUGAGUCAAAUCGGGCCAAGACAGAAACAGAGAAAAGAUGAAUUAGGAAAGAGAGUUACCUGAAUUUCGUGGAUUCAUGGCCGGCUAGAUGGGAUGUUUCUGUCAGUGCAUCCCUCCACUUCUGAACCAUUUCUUGUUUAUCUUUGAACUGUUUUUUGAGCUCAUCAAAACGGUCUCCAAAUGUUCCGUUUUGAUGCCGCACAUCAGAUGGACUUACUCCAUAGAAGAAUGGAAUAAUAAUUUGGCCGUUUGUGUUCUUGCAUUCAAGAAUCUUGACAAGUUCAUUCAGGCACCAUUUUGAAGAAGCGUAGUCCUUCGAGAAAAUGACCACCGAAAUUUUUGAACCUUGGAUUGCGUUCAAAAGGGCGGGUGAAAUCUCAUCUCCUCGCCUAAGCCCUUCAUCAUCAAUAAAUGUUUUGAUUUUCUUUCCUUCAUACAAUUUAUCAUAGAGAUAGCAAGUAAAGCUCUUACGAGUGUCCUCCCCUCUAAAGUUGAGGAAGACUUCAUAAUUGGCACAAGAAGAAGAGGAAGCCAUGAAGGAAAUUUUAGAAAAUUGGUGACAGAAACAGAGAAUUAAUCUUGAGAGUUGAGAGAGGAGAUGUAAGAAUGAACAUGUGCGAAGAUUCUUGCGAGUACAUAGUAAAUAAUUGAAUGGCUGGAGCUUUCUUAGUUUCCUGGAAAUUUCCUGGAGCUUUCGUAUACAUGAUUUGUCAAGUCAUGAAACAUAAUCAUGAUAAUGGGGCAGACCGAAAAGAAAAGCAACAAUUCAAAUAUUUGAUUCAACCAGUAUAAAAAGGAAGGAAAAGCAAAGAAAGGAAAUGUUGAAAGUAGAGUUAGGGAAUUAUAAAAAGCUGAAGGAAAUUGGAAUUUUGUACAAUUUCUCCAGCGAGGAACUUUCACAGUCGUUACCUCAUUGUUACAGUUUAGAUUAAGAUUUGAGGGUGCAAGCAUUUACCUAGAUUUUACCUCCGCACUAAAUUCUUAAGUUUGAAAAAUUAUGAGACCUUUAUAUUGGAAGAUAUUAUAAUCGAAUCAAAACUUAAAAUUUUAAUAUUGUUAAUCUUUAAUCUUUAAAAAAAAUUACCUUGCCGUUACAAUUUGGAUUAAGAUUUGAAUAAGCAUUUACCUAAAUUUUAUCUCCGCCUGUAAAUUCUUAUGUUUUAAAAAUUAUGAGACCUUUAUAUUGGGAGAUAUUAUAAUCGAAUCAAAAUUUUGAAUUUCAAUAUUAUUAUUCUUUUAAAAAAAAUUUGAGAUAACAGAGUGAUUGAUAAUAGAGAACUUGUCUAGGCAAACACAUGCAUACACAAAAAUGUGAUGGAUUCAAAAAGAAAUUAAAGUGAUAAUGUACGUGGAUCCUUAAAACAAAAAGCGAAAUCGCUUGGUGGCCCAGUAAAAUUAAGACUGAAUAUUUUUUACACGAGAAGUGUAGCUCAUAAAUGGCAAAAGCCAUUUCAUUUCACUUUUACGCGUCAUUGACUUUUGUAACAUGGUGCAUGCAUCGUCAAGUGAGGCAAAAGGGUUUCGAUUACAGUGGGAAAACAUGAACAAGAAUGCAUAAUGAAUAAUUCCUUUGAUAAAGCGAAAAUUAAACACAGAAUAAUCCUAAAAUUUAAACUCUAAUAUCUUAUAAUUUAAUGAUUAAAAAUAAUCCUAAGAGUUCCCAAUUGAAACUUUCAGAGAUAAUAGAAAAUAGCUAUGCUUUAAAAGGCCAAAGAUUAGAGAACAAAGAAGAAUUAGGUAUUGAUAUAAAAAUUAUUAAUUUUUUUGAUUUCAAGCAAAAAUAGUUUCAUAUACCAUUUCGAUUUUGGUAGGGGUGAGGUUUUGAACUUCAAUAGUUUCCUCUAAAAUCAAAAGGUAGUAAUUAAGUUAGAAAGAGCAAAGAAGACUUAUCGGUACCUUAUUGAAGGUAAACAUUAUGGAACUUUCAAUGUCAUUACCCCACUGUUUAAUUUUUAUUGAGAUUUGUGCAAGCAUUUACCUAAAUCUUACCUCUGCCUGUAAAUUCAUAAGUUUUGAAAAUUAUGAGACCUUAUAUCGGGAGAUAUUAUAAUCGAACUAAAACUUAAAAUUUCUUUUCUUUUUUUUUUUUUUUAUCAUAAAAGGGCUCUUAAGAGAGCUAAGGCAACACUAAAUGGGAGUGUGCAACCCCAUGAACAUCAUUAAUCAAUAUGUUUAGCGUAUUUGGAGGAAUAGAUUGAAAGCAAUGUAAACCCAAAGGAAAAGAAAAGCUGUACGAAGUAAGGAAAUCUGCUGCUACAUUGGUUUCUUGGUAGAUAUGAUCCACUUUGAUCAGCCAAUCACGCCGAAGGAGUUCUUCGAUGGCCUGAAUGAGAGUAAAAUGCUCAUUGACGGGAGGGUUUGAGUUAGAGAUUAACUUCAUAACACACAUGCUGUCCACUUCCACGUAAAACUUAAAAUUUCAAUAUUAUUAUUCUUUAAAAAAAAAUUGAGAUAUCAGAGUAAUAUCACAUAGAAAAACUUGCCCACGGACGGUAAGCCAAAAGUCUAGUCAACCACAUGCAUAAAGCUAAGUAGAACAAGAGAACAGAGAAACGCGUGGGUCCCUAAAGAAAAGGCAAGCACAUAAAUGAAAAAGCCAUUACAUAUCUAUUAACACGGUGUGGCAGCAUAUGCACAAUCAAGUGAGGCAAAAGGGAUUCGAUUAUCGUGGCAGAACAUGGACGAGGACGCGUGAUGAAUAAUUCCUUCGUUAAAACCAAAAACAAACGCAGAGAAAACAAUUUCUUAUAUGACAAGAAAUCAAAGUAAUGUGAAGGAACAUGAUGAAGAAAUUGCAGACUGAUCAAUUAUCCCCAUGGACUCCUAUAAAUUCAACCAAAAUAACAAUUCGAAUCUUACCAAAUUCUUGAGUUAAAUUUAUUCAAUGCUUUUAUUUUUUUAGAAAAUUUUUUUCCAAUGCUACUUUUCCUUUUUUGGGGAAAUUAGAACCGCGGCAUGUAUAGAAAACAUUGAGGUGUAAAGCAACAUUAAUUUCAUGGGAUAUGCGUUAUACGCAUAAUAUAUUUUCAGUCCAAAUUCAACUAUACAAAGAGGCUUGAGAACUUAAAAUUAAGCACAAACUAAACAGACGAAGUAAAUACAUGAUUAUGCAACAUAACAUUAAUUCUCUCAAUUGAUAACUGUUUUUGCUACAUGAAUCUUGCACAGUUAAUCCUAAUUGAAGACUAAAAAAGAGCAAUUGGAAGAAGGUUUUGGAAUAGAAUGGUAUACAAUCGAUAUGAUCCUUUUCCAGUAGUCAACGCUAAUUAACUGCAGUUUCUAGACUCCUAAUUAUACUAGCCAUAGCAAACUAUUUAGAAAACUGGUGAUCAAAUUAGAUUUUGAAAGGAAAUAAUGUUCAUUUUCCCUUCGCUGCCUUUUCUUUUCUUUUCUUUUUAUAGCAAAGAAUUAUAUCAUGAAAAGAAUCAAUUUAAUCACCUUUUCCAGCAGCCCAAUUUUUCUUUUAUAAAAUUUGACCACGGAGACAAAGAAGAAUUAUUCAUAACUUCAUCACUAAGGAAAUACUUUUCGGUAUGGCUAGGGUGAGAAAAUGCUUUCCACUAACACUUGUACUUUGUAUUCUUGUAAAUUUUCUUUAAAGUCAAUAAAAACCAUAAGUUCUUUGCAAUAACCAUCUCUUUGAUCAAAAAGUGCCGUAUUCCUUUAGAAUUUAAAACCGGCAAAACCGAAUCAGUGUCUUUGAAGAGACAUAAUGGUCGUAAUUCUUUAAAUGAGUUGGCUAUGGAAAUCCUUAUCCAAGAUUCUUUUAUGCCAUAUUCUUUCGUAAACCAAAAUUCAUUUUGAAAUACUCUAUUGAAAAUGUCAAAUAAAACGGCAUUGAAGGAAGUUUUCAAAGGCAUAAUCCGCACUUGUCAAAGGGAUGAUCUGCACUUGUCAGAGACACGAUCCGCGUCGAACGAAUCGACACAUUUCCUUUCGUAUUCGCAUAUGUAAUCUUUGAAAAAAUGUAGCUUCCGCAUCUAUAAAUAACGCUCAGUGUAUAAUGUUUUAUUCAAGAAAAGAAAACAAAUUUCUUCAUACUCCUUGUCCGAACAUACAGAGACAGUCUCUCAUAACUUCAGCCGAAUACUUAUGAUGAUGAUCAUUUGUGAUUUCAUCAGGCAUAGGGUUGAUGGUGAAAAAUUUUGUAUGUGUGAAGAAUUGAGCUGUGGAUAUAGGGGACUUAAGUGUAAUCGAAAGAGAGUUAUUAGGCCAUAGUGCAGAUUGCAUUCAGUUUAUGGGUCGAUAUGCAAAUAAUUUGUUGACGUGGCGAAAUCUGUUAUGGUCGUUACUAUUGUUUCUGGAAAUUUUCUAGAAACCUCAGCAUAAAAGGGGCUUUUGCAUAGCCUCUGGUGUGCGUGUGAUUUCUCUUUCGUUUCCUCAUCAAAUUCUGUAAUUCUUGCUUUGAUAAAAAGCUUGUAAUCAUUUCUGUAAUGUGUGAUCAGUGCGUAAUCAUUUUGAGCAAUAAAAGCUUGUGGGUUUUUCCUUCAAACAGUGUCGUUUUGGUCAGUUUGUUAGUUUGAUCUGUUGGUGGAAUUUUCUUUGGUUAUUUGUUCUCAAAUUUCAACCGUAUAUAAAGUUUGAACUCUAAUGGCUUAUAAUGUAUUGAUUAAGAAUAAUCCUAAGAGUUCCCGAUUGAAAUUUUUAAUGACUAUUUUUAUUGUUUUGGAUAUACAAAUUGCAUUAAGAAAAAAUAUUGUCAAAUUCAGAGGAUAACGGGAAAUAAUUAUGCUUCAAAAGACCAGAGAUUAGAGAAUAAAGAAGCAUUCAUUACUGACAUACAAAAGAGAAACACUCCAAAAUUGCAAGCAAACUAGUUUCAUAUACUAUUUGGAUUUUGGAAGGGGUGAAGUUUUGAGCUUCAGUUGUUCCUCUAAAUAGCAAAGAAGACUUAUUGGUACCUUACUGAAGCUAACAUUGUGGCACGGUUGUUCAUAUGUAAUGGCUGCUCUGUUAUGGUAGCUUCUCUGUUUUUGCUCACAGUUUUGAACAUGAAUUCUUGCUCAAAUAACCCAUAAUUAAUUAACAUUAAAAUGGCUCGUGAAAUCCCAUAAUAGCUAAUUACGCAACUUUCUCCUCCUCCUCAAUUAUGUCUUCCCCUGCUCGUACAAUAAAUUCAAAAUUCAAUGCCCCGAAAAACAACACAAGAAAUCUUUGAGUUAGUUCGUGACCAGUUUAUAUAUAGUAGCAAUUGAAAAAAGAAAAAGAAGAAAAGAGUUAAUUAUUAUUCAGACCUUCACUUAUUAGGAAGUUUGUUCUGCUAUUGGGUGAGGUCAAGCUCUCAGCAUAUACUUCCACAUGAUACUUUCUAACAUUUUCUUGAAAGCCAUCAAUCAUAAAAUCUUCAUACUUUUUUCCAUCCUUUGGAUCAAUGAGUACAAAUUUCUCAUCUAAAACAGACAAAAUAAAAUCACUGUCCUUCAUGGAACAUAAUGGCUGCAAUGCCUGAACUGAAUUGGCUAAUGAAACAUAGUCUUCUUUUCUUUCUCGACAUGGAACAUAGUCUUCUUUUCUUUCUCGACACAUGUCUCUGUACUUUUCUCUCUCUACUGAUCCACACUUUUUCAUACUUCUAACUAUCAUUUUGUUUUUUUUUUUUGAGUUGUGAUUUAUUCAAUUAUUUUGUAUUUUUAAUGACAAUUAUUUAAUAUUUAGUUAGUGUUGAUAUUGAUUAGUGAUUGAAAGUGUAUUUUAGAAGACUUCCGGUCUCUUGAAAAAAGGAAAAAUGGAGAAGAAGAAGAAGUGUUCUUGAUUUUUUUGUAGGCAUUAAAGUUAAACGGUUUGAAAUGAUAUUUUGUUUUAAUUUCACUCAUUAAUCUCAUUCAGGAUAAAAUUAUAAAUGCAAAUAAAUGGGGUUUCAUAAGUAUUUUUAAUAGUGUUAAAAGGUCUACUAACUAAAUAAACAUGUUUUACCCAAACCAAUCCGAUUAAUAAGUUAUUGGGUUGGGUUGAUCAGGUUAAAAAUCAAAAUUAAAAAUUAAAUAAAUAAAUAAGGCAUAAAAACUAUAUGUUACUUGAAAAUAAAAAGAAUUUCUAAUAGUUAGUUCUAAUGUCCCAUAUCCAAAACAUGCAUAUUAAAUAAAUAUUAUAAGUUAGAAAUAAAAUAUCCAAGAAAUAAUGAAUGAAAUACCAUAUUUUUGUUGAGAAUUAAGAGUGUGAUUUUAAUUUUGAUAUUGGAGUCUAAAGCAAUAGAUAGUACAAUGAAAUCAUGAAUGCUACGUUUAAAUAAUCUCUUUUAUAAAAUAAUAAAAAGAGGUUAAAAAUUAGGUUAGCAUUUAGGGUUUAGCAGUUAAGGAUGAACAUAUUAUUAUUGUUGUUGUUGUUGUUAUUAUUAUUAUUAUUAUUAUUAUUAUUAUUUACAUAUUAAUUAAUCCAACCCAACUCAAUUAUUAACGAAUUUGAAAAAAAAUGACCAAAUUAAUCCACAAUAAUUCAUUCAACUCGUCUAAAUUAGAUUAGAUUGAAUUUGAUUUGCUACACCUACAUUGAGCAACAAACCUCAACGCGAUUCUAUGAGCUCUUUGAUUGUUUAUAAAAUUGAUUUAGAGUACAUAAUGGAGUGUAUCGACAAUGAAAGUGCAAAACAAAUUAUUGUAUACAUUAAAAUCUGCAAAACAAUGAAUUAUAUGUACGAACGAGUGCAAACACAUUUUUCAAUAAGAAGUUAAAAGAUAUUUAUGCAUGAAAAAGCAUACGUUUGUAGUUACUCUAAAUUUUUUAAAAAAAAUUUACAUUUAGAUCCCUAAAAUUUACGUAUAAGUACAAAAGUUUCAAAUAUUGUCUAUUAUUUUUUAACAUAUGCCUAUUCCUUGUGGAUAAUUCUGUCUCAUCACUAAUGUUGUUUCUUGCUUACAAAAAACAAAUGUCAUCUCCUUUUACAAUUUUUAUAGCGUCUCAAAAUAGACAAUGGGGGGAUUUUGAAUUUUUUAAGUCUCAAGAUAGUCUCUAAUCUUGUGAGAAAGAUUUUCUUUCAAUAAUUUGGAGGUAAAGAUAACAUAAUUUUUUGGAUAGUGUGCAUGUGUAUUUAAUUAAUAAUUUUUUAAAAAAAUACAUCAAAUAUUAAUAUCCAUGACAUAAUUUAGUUCUUAAUUUUUUUUAAAUACAUCAAAAACAUAAUUUUUUUUAACAACUUAUAGGCAUGACAAAUUUCAAGAUAUAAAUAUCAGUCAAAAUAAGUGAAAGAAAUAAUGGUGCCAAUUCUAAUUUCUUAACUAAAUUAAUUAGUGCAUGAGCCCCGAAUACGACACGAGAGUUUGAUGGGCUAACUUGGCACAAGAACGUGAAUAAAUAAUUGAUUUAAGAAAUAAUUCAACGAAAAAUAUAAUUGAUAAGAAUUCAGUAUUGAAAUGAGUUUUUUUGUGAAACACUGAAUUAAUGAUUAUUAAGCAAGAACAAUAAAAAAAUAAAUAUUAAUCAUUGAUAAGUUUCAACAAAAACUUAACACAAUCCUCAAUCCUCAUUCAAAUGAUAAAUGUCAUUCAUAUAUUCAUUAUAAAUCAACAACAAAGGUUAUAAAUGUUUAGAAAUUCUAGAGGGAAGGAAGCUAUCGCCGGACAAUCAACAACUAAAUUUGAUGUAAUUGUGGCACGAGAUGGAAUAUGGAAACUACACCAUAAUUUCAAAUGCCGCCAUAGACAUUGACUUAUCAUAAUAACAAUGAUCUAAUUAAAAUAAAAACAAAGUUUAUGGGCAUUUAUUAUUUUGCCAUUCCUCAUUUGCAAAUAGGGAUAUAAUUAUAAUUUUACCUAGUCAAAGCAAUCGGUAGUUUUCUUCAUUAUAGGAGUGAAGUAAAAACAUUUAGAUUUCAAUGUAUGUACGGAAAAAUUUGUCUUUAAAAAUACUUUCUUAAUGUGUGUAUGCAUAUUGAAAUACUCAAACCAAUUUUGGUUAUAUAUAAUUAAACAAAUUUUAAAAUAUGAAAAAUAUAAUGUAGUUAUAGUGGAUAAACAAUAAGUGAGCACAAUAUAAUUAAUCAAAUAUUAUGCCAUCAAAAGUUAAUUUUAGAAAUUCCAAAUCCAAUAGCCAACACAAUUCUUUUUUUUUUAAAAAAGUUGACACAAUUAAUAAAAUUAGCGACAUGAAUUUCACGCCAUUGAUAAUCAGCAAUUAGUAUUACUUUCUAAACUUGCUUCAACUGGUCGUUGAUGUCCGGGUCACCAAAAGUAUAAGCGAUAAUAAGGGGCAUUGGGCAAGAGUGAUGAAUGUUUAGUCGGUGCAUUUGAUUGAUAGAUAUAUAAAGGGCCGAAACUUGAGAUUAUAUUACUUUUACAAAUUUUAAUCCAAUCACAUAUUUACUGAAAACAAAAUGAGUUAGGAUACUUUAUUUAGAACCCACAUUUUAAUAAGGCUUCAUUUGAUGUAGUUUUUCAAACAGUGAUUAUUUGAGUAAAGUUUCCUCAAUAGAGUUUUUAUCAAAUAAAUUUUAUUUAUUUGGUUGUCGAUAAGAACUUUUAUUAAAAAUUAUAAAAUUAUUUAAAUAAACAUAUUUUUUAAAAUUACAUUAUAAAAAGAAUUAAAUAAAGUUAUAAAAGUAAAAUAUAUUUUAGAUAUUUUAAUAUUUAAGAAAAAAAUUUUGAAUCUCUACUUUCAGAAGCUCAAAUUUUUAGUUUUUAGUUGUAGAGACAAAAUAUCUUAUUUAAUCUUUAAAAGUUCUGCUAAAAACAAUCAAAUAACUAUAAAAUUUUUAAUAAGAGUAUAUAAAAUUAAAUAAGCAUUUAUUAAUAAUCACUUUAGUGUACUUAUCUAAUGACCAUAAGUGUUUAUUUAAUCUCAUAAGUUCUUAUUUAAUCUCAUGAGCUCUUUUCAAUUUUUUUUGUUGUUUGCUUUUUUUAGUAGAGUUUUUGAAAAUUAAAUAAACUAUUUUGUCUCUAUUAGGAAAAACUCAAAUUUUAGGUUUUUGUGAGUAAAUGUUUAAAUUUUUUUUAAAAUAUUAAAAUAUUAAAGUAAAAGUUGUAGAGACAAAAUAUCUUAUUUAAUGUUUAAAAGUUCUGCUAAAAAUAAUCAAAUAACUACAAAAAUUUUAAUAAGAGCAUAUAAAAUUAAAUAAGCAUUUAUUAAUAGUCACUUUAGUAUACUUAUCUAAUGACCAUAAGUGUUUAUUUAAUCUAAUGAGCUCUUUUUAAUUUUGUUUGUUUGUUUUUUUAGUAGAGUUUUUGAAAAUUAAAUAAACUAUUUUGUCUCUAUUAGGAAAAACUUAAAAUUUAGGUUUUUGUGAGUAAAUGUUUAAAUUUUUUUUAAAAUAUUAAAAUAUCUUUUCUUUAUUUCAUAAUCUUAUUUCAUUCUUCACAACAUAACUUUAAAUAACUCACCUAUUAAAAUAAUUUCACAAUUUAUAAUAAAAAUUUUAAUUGACAAUCAAAUAACAAAUUUUUUUUUAUAAAAACUCUAAUAAUAAAAAUUCUACUUAAAUAAAUUAUAUUUGAAAAGGUAUACCAAACGAACCUAACAUAAAAACAAAAAUUUUUACAUCCACACAAUUAAGCUUAAAACAAUUUCAAAUGAAUUUUAGACUACUCAAAGUACAAUACGUACCAAGUUUGGUAACUUAUUGGGGUCCGCUUGUAAUACAGCGUCUGUAUCUCAUACAGCCAAAUUUAAUAAUUUAUUAAGAAAAAGGGCAACCAUUAGAUAGAAGUAGAUACAUCCAACGGUUAAAAUGUUUGAUUACUCAUUUUGGCGACCGGAUAUGCCAGUUAUUAUUUCAUCAAUUAACUUACCUAAAAAAUCACAGCCGUUGGAUUGAGAUGCCUCUCUUUCCCUCAAAAUAACAGCCUUCGUAUUCUCUCUGCUAUUGUUUUCUCCUACAUCCAGAAUUUUGGAUGAAUGAACUUGGUAUUCAACAAUAUUCACCACCCAUCACAGCAAAGAGCAAAGAUGUAGUCAAAGGAGUGCCAUUUAUUCAGGCUAACUCGAUCUGUCACUCUCGCUUCAAUUCGUCACUCAUUUUCUCGCGCUCAGCUUCAAUCUAUCACUCUCAGCUUCAGUUCGUCACUCACAGCUUCAAUUUUUCACUGUCGUGAAUCAUCUCUCUUGCUGUAUCUCUCUCUUAUGUCUUCCAAUAAUUUCGGUGAGCUCUCUCUCUAAUUUAAUAUAUGAUUAAAAAUCUUAUCAUCUUAUCAUGUCAUUUAAAUAUGCUUGAAGUUUCAAUUUAGUUUAUGAAUAUUACUUGAAAUUUCAGUUUCAAUAAUUUGAUUUUGCAAUUGAGAAAUUAUUACUUGAAAUAUUGAGAUGAUUUCUAGGGAUUGAUAAUUGAAUGAUAAUUGCUAAGGCUUGUCAUUUUUUGUUUUUGAACAGAUAGAGUUACAAUUAAGUCAUACUGCAAUAUUUUAUCUUGAGAUUCUAUUAUUCACAAAAAGAAAAAAAUCAUAAAUUGAAAAAAAAAAAAAAGAGGUUACGAGCAUCAAGCAACUGCAAGUAAUGGGGUUUGUUUUGAUGAGCUGCGAAUUGGGGCCUGUCAUUUUCUUGAAGUAUCUUCAAUAUAAGUGGAAGGAGAUUUCUUCUCUCCAAAAAAUUAUUGUAUAUUUCCUUUUAAAUUCUAGAUUCGCAUGUAGCUGAUUUUUUAUGUUUGAAGGAUUUUAUUAAAGAAUGUGCUGCUGCUAGUGGCAUGAAUUAAUGUAGUCUCGCUAGUAUUCGUGAUUUGGGGUAAGGAUCGAAUUGAACAAUUAUAUUUCUAUUAUUCUUAUAUUCGAAUCCAGUGAUAUUGUGGUGGUUUUAUGAUAAUAUUCAAUUGUUUUGUGCCUCAAAUCAGCCAAUGAGUUGGGUAUGUGCUGGGUAUAUGCCGUAUGGGCUUGUUGUUGAAUUUGCUUGACCUUGGAUGUGAUUCUUGCCGUGUUUAUAAGAAAUAGACACAGGUCUUUGUGUGGUAAUAGAAUUGUCUAAGGUGCCUUACAAUAAAUUUAAGAGUCUUAAGUAACUAUGCUUUGUAACCUUAAACCUUUAUUUGUACGACUUGGUGUUCUUGGUUGUGAAAGAAUGUUAAAUGUUGACCUAUUUUCAUCGGUGAAGAUAAAUGAAGUUAGGGAAGGUUUGUAAUCACUAUAACCCUGACAAUUUUUUUGGUGGGCCGUGAUAAUUUUAUUCAUGGCAUGUACUUUGUUUUUAUCAGAAGGCCCUGUUUGCUUGUAGUCUCAAAUCUAGGGUAAUAUUUUAAAUAAGUUCUGCAAUAUAUGUUUUGCUAUUUUUCUUUUUUGUUUUUAUUUUAAUUAGUUUUAGUAUUACUUGGAGGGGAAUUCUGAUCUGCUGAAGUUUAUCAAGCUGGUGCAGUGGUGCAGCAAGCAGACCUUUAUCUUAAUCUUAUGAUUGUGCUAAGUGGAAUUUUGUGUAAGUUACAACAAUAUAAUUUUUUAAAGAGCUGACAAGACGCUCUCUCUUUUUUUUGGAAUGUUGAGCAAAACUUUUCUUUCUUAUUAGGUGUUUAUAAUAAUUCAUAGCAUGGGUUUUGUCAUAUUGGUUUCAAUGCAUUGAUUUGAUCUUGGUUACAACCCAUCAGCCCUUACUCCUCAUUCCCAGCAGCUUUUAAUGCCUUUUUUUUAAGCAUUGUACUUUGUUUCAUGAUGAAAUUUGUUUAUAUGACGCAAAGUUGAGGACACGGUAAUAGUCAUUAUUUUAAUUUAUGCAACAAAGAUCAUUAUCCAUUAAAUUUUAUGUUGUUGAAAUAUUUAGAUUUUGUAAAUUUUGUUGUAAGAAAUGAGGGCUCUUGAUCCCAUCCCUUUAUUAUAUACAAUUUUUUUUCACUCUGUCAUUCAUUUAUUGUGUGUUAGAGGUAUUAGUCAUGUGCAAAAGUAAAGAUCUUUAUUUUGUUAUUUUUGUCAUCUUGUGCUUCAUUGGUAUAAAUGAGGAAAAAAAAGAAUAAAAUAAAAUAAAAUUAUAGUUUGUGCAUGAAUUCCACCAUAUAUGAAAUGUUUAAUAGAUUAAAAAGUAAGGAGUACACAGUGACUUUGAAUAGCAGGUGGGGGAACUCAUUUUGUUUUAAAAAAAAUUAAUACAUAUUGAUAGAAUAAUUAUCCUUCACUUAAUUAUUUAAAAAUUUUAUUUUGGAAGAAUACAAAUGGACAGUCACCAAUGAAAGCGUAAACGACUACCAGGGGGCUUACAGAAAAAAUUGCUCCUAUUCUAAAAGUAGAUGGUCAGGACAAAGUUCCAACAACUUCAACUUAUGGAUUUGUCUCUUACUUGUAAGGUAAUCUCUUCUUGUAGGGUGUUUAAUUGAAUUAAAAACAGAAUAUUAUUUGCAUUAUAGAGUACAGGCAUAAAUUCAUUAUCUAUGUCAGUUCAUUCAUGAUUUUACUCCAAAUGGAGUAAUAGAUCACCAUUAAUUUAUUGAUACAUCGUCCAUGUUUGUUUUCGUCUUCAAUUUUUAUAUUACAAUAUCUAAUCUAUUUAGUAUUCGUAAAAAAACAUACGAGAAAAAGUUGGAAAAACACUUUAGGGGUGAUUGUGUACACUUUCGUAUGGCACAAAUAGCGUUAGGCUUUGUUUUUUAAGUGGACGACGUGUCCAUUUUUUGUGUUACAUCUUACUCAUUAAUAUAUUUUUGAGUUUCUUAUGGAAAAAAAAUUGAAAAAACACUUUAAGUGAAAAAAAUUUGUAUUUCAAUUUAUAUGUAACAGUGAAUUGGAAAAUAAAUUCUACCAAUAAUUAAAAGAAUACUUUUCUUUUAAUUAUUAAAAAGAUAAGGUAGUUACUCAUUACCCAUAUAAAUGGACAGUUUUAAUUUGUUCCAUAUCUAUACAACAGAAGAGCUUCAGACACGGUUUGCAGCGUUCCACGAUCACUUCCAUUCUAAGCAGCAGCGUCUUCCGUCUUUUUGCACACCAACAGCAGAUUCUAGAUGGCCAGAAGCUCAUCUGCCGCACUCUCGGGAUUUCGCUGCCAUCCUCAUCUUCAUCUCCACUACCUCCUCAGUGAUUAUCCCCUGGUUUUAUGCUCAGAAAUUAUGAUUAUUAUGUAUCUUGUUUUCAGAUUUGUCAAUACUUGUUAUAUUUUGAUUAUGCAUUAUGGACAUUUUUCAUAAGAUAGCUUAAUUUUGUGGUUUGUGUUGACGAUUUCCAUGUAUGGAUGUUUGGAUAGGUAAUUUCGCCUUCCAUGCAUUCUUCAUUCCUGCAUCCUGUGGGAGAAAAUUGGAAAAAGUGGUUUUUGAUGAGAAACGGGGAGAAGGAUGAGAUAUAUAUUUUUGAAGUGUCACAUUAUUUCAAAAACAAACCCCAAAUUUAAUUUCUCUUACCGAUCAUGAGUUAAAAUAUAAAAAUUAACGUUUACUCAUCACACUGUUAUAAGUAUCAAAGCAUUACUUAUAGAAAAAUUAUCGUCACCUAUCCUACAUUUGUGAUUGAAUAGUGGCACAAUUUUAAUUGGGAUAUUUAACAUUACUCUUUGUAAUUGUUUGGUCUUAUUUGAAGUUUGUAAAUUUUUCAUAACUAUGACUUCAACAGCAUAUUUCAGGUUGCAUUUAAUCGUUGCUAUAAUUAGGUACUUUGAAAUAAUUUAUUGGCCACGAUUACAGUCAUUGUUAUUAGUCACCCCUCUUUUUUCUCUUUUGGCCAACCAGCUCUUGGAUAUUUGGGAACCGAUGACAAUAGUUGGGAAAUUAUGUAAUAUUGGUGUGUUUGCGAAAUAAAUCAAGAGAUUUGCCUUGCCGAAGUUAAAAGAGAUAUUGUGGCCUGAAUUUUUUUUUUUUUUCUCUAGGGGCCAUGGCUCUCAAGGACAAGGCAUGAAUCAUGCAUUAUAAUUGCUCGAAAGGGUUAGUAAAAUAGCAAUCUAAAAUACCCAAGUUGGAUCUGCUGUUGAAUCACAAAAAGAACAUAAUUGGGAUAUGAAGUCAUGGUUGCAAGUGUUGGACCCUUAGGUUACGUUUGGCACGUAGGAUUGGAUUGAACUAAUUACUAAAAUUGGAUUGAAUUAUAUUCGAUUGGAUUAAACUGGAUUAUAUUAUAUAGUUCUAUGGUUAGUACAAUAUCGGAUUAAACUAUGUUAAAUUAUAUUUAAAUAAUAUUAAAUAGCAUUUAAGUUGGUAUUUUAAUAUUAAUAUCAAUUAUUCAUGAAAUUUCAUAAUCAUAAUUAAAAUAAAUUUAAAAAACAAUUACCAGGAAAAUUAAAUAUAUUGUAAAUAAGUUACUGGGUAGUCAUAAUACAGUAAACAAAUGAACAUAGAUAAAAAAAUUAAAUUUUAAAUAAUUUUUAUCAAAUUUUAAAAAAAAAUUAUAUAAAAUCAAUUAUUUAAUGGUAUUAUUAAUUUUCAUGAUUAUUUUUAAUAGUAUAUAACAAUGAUUAUUAAAUUUAAUACAAUCAAAUAAUGCAAUAAAUAAUUAAACAUUUAAUUUUAUCAAUAAAUUACUAAAUAUACAAGUGGUGAAAAUUUAAUCUCCAGAGUUAGUACAAGUAAAGGUAUUAAUUUAAUUAGAUCAUAGAUAAUAAAUAAAAAUAAGUUUUAAGUAAAUCAUAUUAAAAAUUAAUUAAUUAAUUAAUACUAGGUGUAAAUAAAAAAAAUGAUAUAAAUAAAAAUCUCAUAAAUGGACAACUUUUUUCUUUAAUCUUAUCCCAACUAAACCCAUGCGUAAAUUAGGAUUAUCAAUUCCAUGAUUUUAGGAUUAAAUUUAAAUUACUACCCCCUUAAUCCAAUCCAACUAAGCUUGCCAAACAUUGGAUAAAUAUUUAAUUCCAAAAUUAGUCUAAUCCCAUACUUAAUCCUAGAAUCCAAACAUGGCAUUAGCACCUUAUAUAACAAAGUGUCACUGAAAUACAGCAAAACGUUAUAAACAAGAACUUAUUUCUGUACAAAAUGUUAUUUACUUUUUGUGAACUUCCAAAUACCUACUAUAUGAUUUGCAAACCCUACAAAAGUCUACCUUGCAUGCUCUUUCUAACGUGAAAUUUGAUUUUUAUUAAAUUUUUGAUGUGUUCACUAAUAAAUAAUUGGAAUCUAAAAAAAUUAGAAAAAAAUAGAAUUAGAAUGAGCUACAAUAAAAAUGAGGAAUAACAAAAAAAAUGAUAUUUGUUGAGAUGAAUGAAACACAAUUGAAAUACUCUAUAUCGCUCUUAAUAUGUUCACUUUGUGAACAUAAAUUAGAAUUAGUUGUUAUAACUUAGUAAUUUAUCCUCAAUCAAUUAUUAUCAUUAUUACUAUUUGUUAUAAUAAUUGUAAUUAUUAUUUUUGAUAAUUUUAAUACUAAGAAAAUUAUUGUUAGGGGUGGAAACACCAUAUAGAGAAGGAACAAUUAAAUUUAUAAAAUUUAGUGGGGAUAAAAUAGUCACUUAAGACAGCAAGCGUCUCCCAUUCUCACCUCCACGAGCAUGAAAACACUAGUAAUCAUUCUUAAAUUUUGAUGGAAUCUGUUGCUUUUAUUCUAAUAACGAACGCAAAACCUAUGGAAUUAGUUGGAAUAACGAAUGCAAAACCUCUGGAAUUACAAUUGAAAUACGUCAACCCAAAAUGGAGAAAGCACAACUAAAAUUAGAGACCUACAAAACCAAAAAUAAACUUAUAGAAAACAAACCCGGUACCUAAUCUCAAUAAUUGGAAUCUCAACCAGUUAAUGGAAAUAUUCAACUCAAAAUUAGGGAAAAAUUAGAUGAAACACGUGAACCAUUGAGAGAGAAAGUAUGACGAAAAUUAGAAACUCAUUUAACGAAAAAUAAUAUUUACUUGGAAUCUAACCCAUGAUACUGGUACCUAAGGAACUUUAUAGGAAUAUGAAACGCAAAACCAGUGGACCAAUAAGUUGAAACAUGUGAACCAAAAAAUGAAAAACUAUAACCAAAUCUUGAGACUAAUCAAACCAAGCAAAAGUAAUAUUGAUAUUUAACCCAUAUAAUUGGAAUUUUACCAAAUUAGUUGGAAUAACGAAUGUAGAACUUGUGGAAUUACAAUUGAAAUACAUCAACAAAAAAUGGAGAAAGCACAACCAAAAUUAGAGACCUACAAAACCAAAAAUAAAUUUAUAGAAAAUAAAUUUGGUACCUAACCACAAUAAUUGGAAUCUCAACCAGUUAAUGAGAAUUCUCAACGCAAAACUAUAGGAAAAAUUAGCUGAAACACAUGAACCAUUAAGAGAGAAAUUAGAACGAAAACUUGGAACUUAUCCAACGAAGAAUGCUCGUGACUUGGAAUCUAACAACAAAUAUUGGUACUUGACUAAUUUAGUAGGAAUAUCAAAUGCAAAACUCAUUGACCAAUAAGUUGAAACAUGUAAACCAAAAGAUGAAAAAGUAUAACCAAAACCUGAGAAUAAUCAAACCAAGAAAAAGUAAUAUUGAUUUUUAACCCAUAUAAUUGGAAUUUUACCAACUUAAUUGGAAUAACGAAUGCAAAACCUGUGGAUUUACAAUUGAUAUACGUCAACCCAAAAUGGAGAAAGCACAACCAAAAUUAGGGACCUACAAAACCAAAAAUAAAGUUAUAGAAAACAAACCUGGUACCUAACCUCAGUAAUUGGAAUCACAACCAGUUAAUAGGAAUAUUCAAUGCAAAAUUGGGGAAAAAAUUAGAUGAAACACGUGAACCAUUAAGAGAGAAAGAACAACGAAAACUAGGAACUUAUCCAACAAAGAAUGAUAGUUACUUGGAAUCUAACAGUAAAUAUUGGUACUCGACGAAUUUAAUAGGAAUAUCAAACGCAAAAAUAGUGGACCAAUAAGUUGAAACAUGUGAACCUAUAGAUGGAAAAGAAUUACCAAAAUUUGUAACUAAUCAAACCAAAAAAAGUAAUAUAGAUAUCUAACCCAUAUAAUUGGAAUCUCGACAAAUUAGUUGAAAUAUUAAACAAAAAACUAGUGGAAUAAUAGUUGAAACACAUGAACCAAAUGUGGAGAAAGUUUAACCAAAUUUUGAAACUUAUCCAAUGAAGAAUGCUAGUUACGUGGAAUCUAACAACAAAUAUUGGUACUCGACGAAUUUAAUAGGAAUAUCAAACGCAAAAAUAGUGGACCAAUAAGUUGAAACAUGUGAACCUAUAGAUGGAAAAAUAUUACCAAAAUUUGGAACUAAUCAAACCAAAAAAAGUAAUAUCGAUAUCUAACCCAUAUAAUUGGAAUCUUGACAAAUUAGUUGAAAUAUUAAACGAAAAACUAGUAGAAUAAUAGUUGAAACACAUGAACCAAAUGUGGAGAAAGUUUAACCGAAUUUUGAAACUUAUCCAACGAAGAAUGCUAGUUAUUUGGAAUCUAACAACAAAUAUUGGUACUCGAUGAAUUUAGUAGGAAUAUCAAACGCAAAAAUAGUGGACCAAUAAGUUGAAACAUGUGAAUCUAUAGAUGGAAAAGCAUUACCAAAAUUUGGAACUAAUCAAACCAAAAAAAGUAAUAUCGAUAUCUAACCCAUAUAAUUGGAAUCUCGACAAAUUAGUUGAAAUAUUAAACUAAAAAUUAGUGGAAUAAUAGUUGAAACACAUGAACCAAAUAUGGAGAAAGUUUAACCAAAUUUUGAAACUUAUCCAACGGAGAAUGCUAGUUACUUGGAAUCUAACAAAAAAUAUUGGUACUCGACGAAUUUAGUAGGAAUAUCAAACGCAAAAAUAGUGGACCAAUAAGUUGAAACAUGUGAACCUAUUGAUGGAAAAGCAUUGCCAAAAUUUGGAACUAAUAAAACCAAAAAAAGUAAUAUCGAUAUCUAACCCAUAUAAUUGGAAUCUUGACAAAUUAGUUGAAAUAUUAAAUGAAAAACUAGUAGAAUAAUAGUUGAAACACAUGAACCAAAUGUGGAGAAAGUUUAACCGAAUUUUGAAACUUAUCUAACGAAAAAUAAAUUUAAUUGGAAUUUAACCCAAAAUAUUAGUGUUUAACGAGUUUAGUGGGAAUAUUAAACAUAAAACUAGUGGAUCGGAAAAUGGAGAUAAGCAAACCAAUUAGUGAGAAAGUUGAAUCAAAAUUAGGUAUAUGUGAAAUUAACUUGGAAUGUCACCUAAUAUAUUGAUAUUUAACCAAAAGAAUCGAGACAUGCUCAUUUUAAUUUUUUUAAACUUUUGUUGCAAUUAAAAAUAAUUUUUUCACUUAAAUAUUGUUUGUGUUAAAUAUUUACAAAAUUUCCUUAAUUUUUCCUGUUUCAUUUUAUUUUUUCUACAUUAAAAAUAAUUUUUUAAAAAUUAUUAAAUGAACAACCGGUAAAAUACCGGUUGUUCAAGUUUCCUUUUUACUGUUGAAGGGGCUGUAUUUUAUACAGCACUGUACUAUAGGAAGACUCAACUUAUUGACAUCUUCUCAUAUAACCUUCGAUCAAGUCGAUUCUGACCUGACGACUAAUUGGUACAUCACCGUUGUUCUCUAUACUCGCAUGCAUCGGAUCACAAAUCUCACUCCAAUUGUCGUCUUUCUUCGCCGUUUUAGCGCAUACUUCUUGAAUUUCCCGCAUUUCGUUCCCUCCUGUUACAAGUCUCCGGUCAGGUCAGUGAUUGAAUUUCCCGCAUCUCUAUCCCUCCCGUUUUCUCGCGUCGUUUCACUUCAAUUUCUCGUGUCUCCUUUCAGUUUAAGUGAUUGAAUCAAUUUUAUCGCAGUCAUAAGAGAAAUUAAGUAAUGCUCUUGGAUUUAAAAUUUUUUUGCUUUCGACUUUAGAUCUCGAAAGUCAAACUCUGCUACGAAUCCAUAGAUUCUCAAUGCUCAUAAUCUUAUUUGUGUUUGACCAGGUAACUGGAUCGUGAAAUUCGUCGUUUUGUAUCAAUUCAAGCUUUCGCGAGCUCAUGGAAUCACCUGGUGAGUUGUGGUGAAACGUUAUCGUUUCAAUUUUCGCUUAAUUCUUUAUUGCAUAUUUUUUUCUCUAAUGUUUCAGUUUAAUUUAGAAAAGAAAGAGGCCCCAAAAAGAGAGAGAGAGAGAGACUCUACCAUACUCAAUUCCUUGCUCAUUCUGAUUUGGCCUGAAUGUUGGCAUUGACUAUUAUUUGUUUUCAUUUCGAUUUAAUUCUCAUUUAGACAGUCUUUACUAACGGUCAAUAAUAGUUUAAGGAAAAUGAUCAUAGGGAUUCUGCAAUAAUCUUUCUGCAUUGUUCAAGUUAGUAGACAAUGAAUAGGAUGUUUAUGUUUACCUCAUUUUGAACCCUGAGGGCUUCGUUGAGUAGUUGAUUCAACAUAUCCAGCAACGGUUGAUGUGAGAACAGAAUGCCACUUAGAUAGGCUUAAACUGAUUUUGGAGGUUUGUAUUGGUUCUAUUGUACGUCUUGCUUACAAAUUUUUAAUUUUUAAUUUUGUAUAAUAUGCUCUUUGUUGGUAAAUCUCAUUUGACUUAGAAGAGAUAGUUUUAUCCCAACAGUGGGAUAAAUCAUUGAGAUGCAUGGCAGUGUGAAUAUAGUAGACAAAAUCAUUGAGACACAUGGUGGUGUGAACAUAGUAAACUUUGUCAAACACAGCUAAGAUAAACAAAUUGUUUCAUUAGCCUUUACCUUAUCUGCUGUGAUGAUUCAAAUUAAUGCUGUUUGGUAGGUUGCAAAAAACGAAAUGAGCUGUCUGUUCGUAUUAUUUAGUCAGAUCUAUUGCAAUAAGUUGAAGUUCAUUGUCACAUGGGUUGGGAGUAGCGUGGGCUGUGAGUAGUAGAAUGGAUUUAUGGAGUUGAUACAAGUGCCCAUAAUCUAUCAUGUCAUUCUAGGAUUAAAUGGAUUGCACAUUACUGUAAAGAUGGAGGUUAAAUUUAUAUAAUUCGGAUUGAUUGUAAAAUGGGAGGCAGAGAUGAGUUAGAAAAAGAAUGACCUGUGUCCUUUUUGAGCUGUUUCUAAAUCUCCCUGGUGUGCUUCAUGCUUAACACGUGUCUUUCCAAAUAAUUUUGCUUAACCUGUGCUUGUCUACUUCUUGUGCUAUUCUGUGCCUGGUCCUGAGCUGUGUUGGUAGAUUGACAUAAUUUUGCUCUGCUAAAUGUAUAACUUAUUAAUCAGAGUCCUGUUAUUAUGGUUUGACACUACUGACAUAUUGUGUUGGUAUUUAUUUGUACUUCCCUUGGUUGAAUUAUUUGCUGUCUCCAUGCAAUUCGAUAUGGUGCUACUUGGUUUUUGAUCAUCCAUGACGCUAUAUAUAUGUAAAGGAUGAAUUGAUUGUUUUGGCUUGUAUUCUCACAUUUUAUGAUUGAUCGAUGGAAAGGUUUUCAUGCAUUAAAUUCAACCUCACAAGCGUAAGAUUGACAGAUUGUGGGCAAAUUUUCAGGAAAAGAAACUAGACUUCAUGGAAGCAAUGAAGCUUGAAAUUGAACGUCUGCAGCUGAAUCUUUCUGCAGCUGAAAGGGAUAGAACUUUAUUGUCAAUUGGAACUGAUCCUGCCUCUAUAAAUCCAAAUGUAUUGCUUGAUGAAUCUUACAUGGGAAGACUGUGUCGAGUAGCAAACACUCUUGCAUUACUUGGCCAAGCUUCCCUAGAAGAGAAAAUUGUUGGUGCAAUUGGCCUUGAGAAUAGUGGUGAUAGUGUUUUAGACUUCUGGAAUAUUACUAGAAUCGGAGAGAGUUGUUCUGGUGGUGGGUGCGAGGUUUGUGCAGAAACUAAGGUGCCUGCUCUUGCUUCCUCAACUGCAACAUCUGUUGGAUCUUCACAAUCCCCUUUGUUGUGUUCUCAAUGUGAAAGAAAAGUUUGCAAAGUUUGUUGUGCAGGAAGAGGAGCUCUACUGUUUUCAAAUUAUAAAUCAAGGGAUGUGACCAACUACAAUGGCUUCUCAAGUCAGAGUGGAUCAAGCCAUGGAAGCCAAGUUGAUGUAGCUACCAGUCGUUCACUAACACUGGAUGGCGUUAUCUGUAAACACUGUUGCCAUGAGAUGGUGCUUGAUGCAUUGAUGUUGGACUAUGUUAGGGUCUUGAUUAGGUUGCGAAGAAGUUCCUGUGCAGACAACGCAGCAUACAAUGCUUUGAAUGAGGUUGUUGGAUCCUGCUUAAAGGAUAGUCUUUCUGAGAGGAUUCAGUCUUCCGAUAAUGCGCAAGCAGCUAAAGUCCUGCACCAAUUAUGUGGUGGACAGGAAGCACUUGCUGAAUUUCCAUUUGCUAGCUUUUUGCACUCGGUAUGUUCUUGGUUUGUAUUCAGUUCUCAUCAUAUUAUGUUUUCCUUUUAAAUUUCAUUUCUUGAUUAAAAUUUUUAGAAAUGUGUUUUAGCAUUUAUUCUUAUGAUAUAUGCCCGGAACAUUCAUCCCACUUAUCCAUGAGAAUCCUUGUCUGGUUUGAUUUUCAAUUGAGACAUUUUUGGGAACCCUGCGCAGGUUCCAUAUGCUAAUAAUCUUUGAGGUAAGGUGUUGUAGGAUGCCUUGAGAAGCUAAAAACCCAUUACAAGGAAAAGGUCUUGCAUUGUUUUGUGCAAUCUGUGUGCGAGCUAGUCAUGUCUCUAAUAAUUUCAUAGUUUGCUUGAUUGGAAUUUUUUAUCUUGAUAUGGAUUGUUUAUUCUAGAUUCCUUGGUGCCACUGUAGGUUGAAACAGCAAAAGAUUCAGCACCGAUUUUGUCACUGCUUGCUCCAUUAAAUUCUGGAUCAAGGCACUCAUAUUGGAGAGCUCCACCUAGUACUACUUCUGUUGAAUUUGUUAUUGUUCUCGGUUCUGUUUCUGAUGUCAGUGGGGUUAUCUUGCUUGUUAGUCCUUGCGGCUAUUCUGUGGCUGACACUCCGAUGGUAAGUGCCAUAUUUAUUCCCUUAUUUCCUUGUUGUUCAAUAAAUUUGGUGAUAAGCCAAGUGGCCUUAAUAAUGAAGCCCAGUACCAGGGUUGGUGGGUAAUAGAUAUUCAACUUGUGAAUAUUCCUAAGCAAACACUGAAUCAACAUAUACCUCGGCUAAAGUUCUCUAUGCUAUUAUAACAAAAGUCAUAUUUUGAAAUGAUUAAAAGAGUCCCUGUGUAGUGCCAUUUCCAAAGAAAUUGCAGCUGGGGGUUUAGUUUCAUGUAGGUUAGUUUCCGAUAAUAAACUUUCUAUUUCAUUAAUUGCUGAUGAAAAAACCAAGUAAGAACAGUUUUGUUGCUCGUCAUUUUUGUAUAUUUUGGUAAACUGUAAUUUUAAAUUCUCAACGAUCUUCCCUUUGUAGGUAAGAAGAUGGUCCACUCACUUGAUAUUUAUGAUUGUAGAUCAGGUUUCUAUUGGUUUGCCUUUAUCAUUUAGAACCCAUGUUUGAUAUUAACAGAGAUCACGUCAAUAAUAUCCUAUUUGGGUAGAUGUGGGUGAGGAUUUAAAAUCAAAUUUGAAAUUGAGGGGAAAGAAGAGAAAAGGAACCACAAUAAUUAAACAAAAUAAUAGGAACUAUUCUGAUGAGUUUUAAUCUCGAGAGGAACAAUUUUCAAAUGCACUGCUAGAGAAAUUGUAGCUUUUUGUCAUUAGUUAAAAGGAAAAAGAAUAAGAACUAUCCGGCCCUUUCCUUCAUGAAUGUGUGUUGAGGUUGCUGUAUUAUUUAGUCAGUAUUUGUAAUUUUCUUCCCUGCAGUGCUCUCUGCCUCCUGAAUUUGCUUCCUAUUGCUGUUACAGGUGCAAAUCUGGGCAAGCAAUAAGAUACACCAGGAGGAAAGGUCAUCAAUGGGAAAAUGGGAUGUCCAAUCCCUCAUCACAUCUUCUUCAGAUUUGUAUGGUCCAGAAAAGUCUGCUAGUGUUGAAAAAUUACCUAGGCAUGUAAAAUUUACUUUUAAGAAUCCUGUUAGGUGCCGCAUUAUUUGGAUCACAUUACGUCUUCAGAGACCUGGUUCGGCUUCAGUUAAUUUCGGGAAGGACCUCAGUCUUUUGUCUCUUGAUGAAGAUGAAAACCCCUUUGCACAAGUAGACAGACGUGCUUCAUUUGGAGGAGCAGUUGAAAAUGAACCAUGUAUUCAUGCCAAAAGAAUUCUUGUAGUCGGAAGCCCAGUAAAAAGGGAGGGGCUUACCACAUCACAGAGCUCUGAGCAGCUAAGUAUUAGAAACUGGUUGGAUAGAGCUCCACAAAUGAGUAGAUUCAAGGUAUUAGUUGCUUUCACUCUUUGUUCAUUCAUAAUUCCAGCUUUCUGCUUCACUGAUAAACCUCUUUUUUCUCUUCAGGUCCCAAUUGAGGCCGAGAGAUUGAUGGACUACGAUCUCGUCUUGGAACAGUAUCUACCUCCAGCGUCACCUUCGCUUGCCGGAUUCUGUCUAGACGCUUUCAGUGCAAUAAAACCUAGGGUUACCCAUUCACCUUCCUCAGAUUCAGAUAUCUGGGACAAAUCAGUAACAUUUUUAGAAGACAGGUACAUCUCUCAAGCUGUAUUGUAUUUACAAGUAUCCGCACUCCAGGAACCACAUAACAUGGUAACUAUUGCGGAAUAUCGACUGCCGGAGGCUAGAGCCGGAACGCCAAUGUACUUUGAAUUCCCACGACCGAUACAGUCCCGACGAGUUUCAUUCAAGCUUCUUGGAGAUGUUACAGCAUUUGCAGAUGAACCUUCAGAACAAGAUGAUUCAGGAUUGAGAGCUCCACUUGUGGCCACAGGUUUGUCUUUGUCAAACAGAAUCAAGUUAUAUUAUUAUUGUGAUCCUUAUGAGCUUGGAAAAUGGGCAAGCCUUUCUGGAGUUUGAUCGUUAUUUAUAUGUCAGAGAAAGAGUUUUGGGUUUGAUUUUGAUUUUGAUUUGUAAUUUUUGUCAGUUUAUUGAAAUUUUUUUGUUGUAUAAAAGCAGAAUGUAAAGGUAUAAAAAUUCAUUGAUGCUGCAAUGUCUGUGCUUUUGAGAAAGAAGAAUUCAAUGUCUUUUCUAUGCCAUUGGAUUUUCCCACUGCUUGUAAACUUGGGCUGUCGAGUGCUCUGUGAACCUUAAGGGCUAUAAAGUAAUUUUUUAGACUGAAGGAUUUAUUAAUCGAGUUCAAAAGAUUGCAAGUUGGUGAGCGUUGGCAUUUAAAAAUCAAUUGUUAUUCUCUCAAUAAUCUCUCUCUUCUGCCGACACCCCAAGCUCAGAAACCCAUUGUUCCGACGGACGUGUAACACUUCCAGAAAUUAGCCUUUUCUUCUAUAUGAAGGUUGAUCUCUCCUCGUGAAGUGAAGGUGGUUUUCCAAUUACAUACGUCGGGGGUCUUAUGAUAUCUAAUGUGUGAAAUUUCUUUCUCAUUUUACCAUAAAGAAAAGUUCUGUAAUGAUCUAAAGUUGGGAGUCUUAAAUUAUCUUAAAUUUAUAUUUAGAGUGGAGUUAUUGGCACCCUACAUUAUUCUUACAAAAUUCUAUUUUAAAUAAAAUUAUAAUUAAAGACAAUUGAAAAUUAUAGAUUUUUUUACAGCAAAUUACUUAAGUCAUAAUUAAUCCUUAAAAAAAAAUCUAUAUGUUACUUCUUAUUUAAUUAAAAUAAAUUGUACAAAUUUAAAAUAAUUUAUUGUUUUCUUUUGAUUUUUUAUUGAUUAAAUAUUUUUAUACUUAAAAUUACUUUGAAAUUAUAAUUUAAAAUAUGUGUUAUAUGCAAUAGUUCGAUUUACCGAACCACAAAGGGAGCCAAUGUGGUUUUGCCAAAAUCACAUACUGUAGCAUAAUAACAGAUAUUAUUAUUGUAUAAUAGAUGGGUUUAGAAAAAUUGAAGAACCAAGUAAGUUAUUUGAAAAAUGUCGAUUCUCGUACCAAACCCAUGUUUUAUGCCAAUUGUUUUUGGAUUGGAGUGCAGGCAUUAACAAUGAUGGAGAUGGAGGAACUGUAGCAUUAGUCAUAUGAAGAGUACGUGUCAGGUUUGAUUUUCAUGUGAUUUGGUUAGUGACGACGAAAACGACGACGUCGUAGUUGAAAAGCGUUUGAAUUAAUGUUGCGUUAAAAAAAAAAUUUAACUUGUUCCACUAAUUAAGUCAACAUUACUGAUGUCUUAUCACCCUCGGCCAACUUAACAAUUGGUGUCCUUUGGACAAUUAAAUAUGAUUUAUUCAAAAAAAAUAAAACUAUUAAAUAUUAAAAAUUAGGUCCAUUAAUAAUAAUAAUAAUAAUACUAAGAAUUAAGAAGAUCUAAUUACAUAUCAAAAUGACUCAAACAAAUUAAUUAAUUUCAUAUUAGCUAGCCAAGUAGGUUGUCCAUCCCACUCAGACAUGCACGAAAGCUAAAUUCAUCAAAUGAAUUACUUAAGGAGUAUUUGAUAAUUUUGAAAUUAUAAUUUCAAAUUAAAAUAGUAGUAGCAAAAUCGUAGUGCACAUUCAAUUAACCAACUAAUAGUCUAAGAAGCAAAGAGAGGAUUACAAGUUCACAACACCAUUAAAAAGGAUUCAAAAUUCCCACACGAAAACAUCAAUGUACAGAUUAUAAACAAUCCGAAUUGGACACAAGAAAAAACCCUUCAAUGGAUUGCUUGCCUUCCCAAUGCUAUAUACUGUGCAAACUGCGCACUGGCCAAGAAAAUAUUUUCAAUUUAGUGUAUUUUCAAAAUGCUUAUUUUCUCAGAAUAUAAAAAAAAAAAAAACAAAAAAAGAAUUCUUACAUGUUUCAUCAGCAUGAUUAAAAUCAAAGAAGAAAGCGAAGACAUAAUGUCUCUGACAUAAUAAAAUUACAAUUUCAUGCAGCAGAGAUUGAAGAGUUGAAUUCCACUUAUAGACACCGACCUCUUGUUUUGUCUAAUGUUAAUAACGAAAACAACAACAGAGGAUUAACUGAUGCUUUGACUUAUUAUCAGGUUGCAAUGAAUUAUUAACUGAUGCUUUGACUUAUUAGUUCUGCUGCUAAGUUAAAUAAAAUAAGGUAUUUUCAAAAGCAAAAUGGAAUACAUAGAUAAAACAUCAUCUUAAACAAAUCAUAAUCUAGAAUUGGAGACAUACCCAAGGAGAAAGAAUACGUGAAAAUGGGUGAUUCAUUUGUUAAGGAGUGUUGAUUUGGUCGUCUCUGCAAAUUCUUUAGGGACUCGGUUCCAGUUCCUCUUCAUCAAAACUGUAAUAUAAUUCCCCUUCAUCAGAACUCGAAUCGAUGCAAUAAAAUUCCCCUUCAUCAGAACUCGAAUCAAAUUCACUUGCAGCAGUUCCACUCGCGCUUGGCAAAUCAUCCAAUUUCCAAACUUCGGUAGCAAAAUUGAGAGUAAAAGUGUUGGCUUUGGUCUCUCUGGGAUUUGCAUAUACUGGACAUACUCCGCAACGUUUUAGCUUAGUGAAGAACUUAAAUGAGGCAGUUGUAUGAUGGUAACCAUCAGGAAACCCAACAUUCAAGCAAGGUUUAAAACCAAGUAUGACAUGAUCUGAAUCAAGGGAGCCAGUGCACACCAUGAAACCCAGAUCAACAUGUUUGGUUUCAGAGAGAGUCUUUAUUUCUAAGUCGAGUUGAAAGCGGACGUAAAUAUUGCAGCAAUAACAAGAAUGAAGGUGCUUAAAAUCAAGAACAGCACAAAAAGCAAACCCGAUUAAGUUUCUGCAAGAAGACUGCGGUGGCAGUUGAAUACAUAUCGAAGAUCCUGAACUUUGAUUGCUGAACCAGUCAGGAAUUUCGCUUCCAGGUAAAACAAUUAGGGAUCCCCUCAGUUCAGAAAGUUUCUGUGAAAUGACAUUUAAAAAAAAAAAUUGUAAAAUGAAAACCAUGAUUUCAGAUAUAACAAAGAGGGACAGAGUAAACAAGAGAGGGAAUUUGAUACCUCGUUGAUUGCCUUUUCAUAGCCCAGUCUCAGUGAUGCAAUUGCCACAUGCCGAAUUCUUAGUUGUGAAUCUGCCAAAAUCUUGUUGUUUGCUUUUCCAUUCAGUUUCAAGCAGUUAGUAAACCCAAAAUAAAUUGGUUGUGACUCCAGAAGUCCGGUUGCCCAUUGACGAAGGUCAGGAGAGGGUUUCGAUAGCUUUUCUAGUACGGAUGCAUCUAGUUCUUGCAGACAUGACGGAAUCUCUGGCAAAGAUUGAAGCCGGUUGCAGUUCGUUGCAUCUAGUUCUUGUAGACACAAUGGAAGUUCUGGUAAUGACCGAAGCAUGUUACAACCCGUCAAGUGAAGAUAUUUUAGACACAAUGGAAGUGCUGGUAAUGACUGAAGCAUGUUACAACGCCUCAAGUCAAGAGAACACAGCCGCGACAGUUGCUUGAUACUUGCAGGUAAACUCUCAAAGUUAUUUCCACGUAGAUCCAAGCUUUUCAGUGAGGAUAGAUAGGCAAUCUCUUGUGGAAUUUCCAUUACAGCACAGUUCAUUAUGUAUAGAAGUCCCAAAGAAGAUAAACCUAAUAAUAAUGAUCGAGGCAAUGAUACCAAACCUUUGCAGCGAGAGAAAUCAAGAAUUAAAAGUGCGUUUGAAUCUGCAACAGAGGAUGGUAGUUGACUAAUAGCUGAUCCAGCUGCUGAGAUGUGACGCAAAGAUUCUAAAUUGCCAAUGUUAUCCGGCAACUUAUCAAGUUUAGAGCAAUCACUUACGAACAAUUCUUCAAGCCCCGGUAGAUUUUCAAAUGACGAUGGCAGCUCUGUAAUUGCCGUCCCGUCUAAAUUGAUGCGUUUUAAAUGUUCCAUUUUCUCCAAGAUUUCUGGGAAGCGCUCAAGGUUCAAGCAGCCAUUAACAAAAAGAUCAACCAAAGAUCUCAAUUUACAAAACCUAGUUGAAAUCCUCUUCAGCCGUUUGCAAUCCCUCAAAUCCAACACUUCAAGAUCAGUUAGGCACUCUAUUGAUGAUGGAACUUCUUCUAUUGCAGACUGGUCUAAGUAUAGCCGUGUAAUUUUCCCAGAAAUCUGUGGAAACUCUAUGAGAGUAACACAAUAGGAGAAAUUAAUAGUUACUGGACAAACAAAAUGAAGAUUGCUUGGAAAAGACCUAAGACUUUUGCAGCCCUCAAAAGACAGCGCACUGAGAUACUUGAAAUUCUGGAUAGAUGAGGGAACACAAGCCUUUUCUCCUUCCCAAGGUUGCUCAACUUUACUAAAACGCAAAUUCAGUUCAACAAGGUUCUUUGGCUUGAAAUUUGAUGGCAGUAUCCUUAAUGGAUAUGUGUCCCAAUGAAGAUAUCUCAAUUUUUCAGGAAGAUAUUCUAGGCCAUUUGGAAGCUGCACUUCAGAGUAUGAAAGUUGCUCUUCAAUGCUCAUACUUAGAAACCUUUCAAUCUCAUAAAACUUACUUGGAAACCUUUCAAUCUCAUAAAACUUAGGUACAUAAAAUUUGAGCAAUCUCAGAUUAGACAUAUUUGUGAAGGCUCCGGGGUCUAAAUUGAUGCAUUUUAUUUUGGACAAAUCCAGAAAUAUGCCUUCAAUUGCAUCGGUCCCCUUAUAAAAAAAAAAAAACAAAGAAUGAGUAAGCCAAAAAUAAAAAAGCAACAUGCGUAAACUUUAUUAACUAAGAGCUCCUUAAACAAAAACAAAUUCUGCAAUCUUUGAUUUUAUUUUUUUAAUAUAUUAAAUAUCUAUAUGCGAGAAAAGAAAAUUUUGGGGACCAUUGCAAAAUUAAACUAACCGAAAAAAAAUUCAAAAUUUCUCUAAUUUACAAUCCUAUUAUCUUAAUAUCUAGAAGUUGAGAAGAGAGUGCCUAUUUGAUUGGUAUAAGAUUUCGAAAUUUUUUUUUUUUAGUCGAUAGAAUCCAAAAUGUUAGUUCAAAAUUAGGGAAAAAAAUAAAAGUCAUUUUUUUUCCACUAGUUAAAACUGUAUCCAAGUCAAAUUAAGAUACGACCCUUUUUAAAAAGAUUUAACCAUCUUACAGCCUCCUUAAGGUACAUUUAAGCUAAAAGGAGUAAUUUGAGGCAGAACUAGGUGGUCCAAUCAGUCCAUUUUAUUAGUGUCUGUUGCUUAAAAAAUUUAUACUCUAAAACACACUUUUUUGGAAAAAAAAAUAUAAUUACAUUGAAGUAGAAUCAGGUGGGCCAAUCCUCAUGGCACUCACUUUAUUUUGACACUCUUCACUAAAUUUGAAGAAAAAUAAAAUUAUACUCUUCACACUCUUAUUCAACAUUCCAAAAUUGAUAAAAUCUGGAGUUUUCUUUAAAAAUUUAAAAUUUGAAGACUUGUUCUCUUGACACCCUCAGUCAUUAAUUUUACCUAAUUAUGGUUUUUAUGAUUUUGGUUGUUUUGUUCAUAAAAAUGAUUUUACUAAAGGAUGCUCUGGUAAUAAUAAAAUUUAUAAAAAAAAAUGGGUGUGCUGGUAUGAUUGGAAAAAUAUGAGUGCAUAACUCCAAACAAAUAAAAGAUAUAUAAAAUAAAUGGAGGAUUCUUACCUUUUUAUGCUUGAGUACGCGGCGGAUUUCCUUAGGAUCCCACAACCUGCUGCGUUUGCCAGGCUCUUUCUCAGAUUCUUGGCGAACAAUCUGUCGCCCCAUUUCUUGCAAUAAAUCAUGCAUUUGCAAGCAAUUACCUGAUAUUGAUAUGAGUGACUUAUCAAUAAGGACAUCCAGUCCAUCAGACUCAGAAUCAUCAAGAAUCCUUGCCACAAAAUCUUUAUCCUCUCCCUCAAAGAAACACGCAAUAUCUAGAAACAAACUCUUCACCCUAGGAAUUAAUUCAUUAAAACUAAUCUUUAAUAUUUCAUAAAUAUUAUGAAUAUCAGAUUCACAAAUCCGAUUUAAGUCGUGCAAUACAUUUUCCCAAUGGCUUUUCCUCUUGAGGCACAGGGAGGAACCCAACACUUUAAGAACUAAGGGAUUGCCUUUGGCAUACUCUACAACCCUCCGUGAGUGCCAGUUGAGAUUUGUAGGACAAUGAUUUUCUUUAAAAGCGAAGUUACAAAAAUGCUCGAAAGCCUCUUCAAAUUCCAAUCCAUUAACCCUAUGUAUUUUCUUCUCCUCCCCUCUAAAUUUUUCGAGGACUCCUUUAUCCCUGGUGGUUACAACAAUUCUACUUCCUGGACCAAAUUGAUCAAGCUCUCCAAUCAGACCCUCUAAUUGUCCAACUUCAUUCACAUCAUCGAGUACUAUCAACACCUUCAUACGCCAGACCCUCUCUUUAGUAAAAUGUGGAAUAUUGGCACCAGCUACUUCAAGUUUUUCGCUUAAUAUUGUGGAAAGCAUUUCCUUUUGGAGAUGUUCUAAUCCACCUCCUGUUUCAGAAUUUCUCCUAACAUCUGACAUAAAGCAGCUACCAUCAAACUCACCAGUGAAUUGAUCGAAAAUAGCUUCAGCAAGGGUGGUUUUGCCUAUACCGCCCAUGCCCCAAAUUCCAACAAUUUGGACAGUAUCCGACAAAUCCAUACACAAAAAUGGUUUAAUCUGCUCAAUUCGUGAAUUUAAUCCAACUAGGCCAUUGGAUGAGUCCGUUGCGACUGUUAUUUUUUCCAAAUUCUUCAAAACAUCUUCGACAAUUUUGUUUACAAGUUCCGCAUCGUGCCUAAUAUAAAGGUGCAAAGAUGCAAAAACAUUGAGUCAAAUCGGGCCAAGACAGAAACAGAGAUAAGAUGAAUUAGGAAAGAGAGUUACCUGAAUUUCGUGGAUUCGUGGCCAGCAAGACCGGAUGUUUCUCUCAGUGCAUCCCUCCACCUCUGAACCAUUUCUGGCUUCUCUUCGAAGUGUUGUUUCAGCUGAUCAAAACCGUGCUUAAAAAUUCCAGUUUGAUGCCGCACAUCGGAUGGACUUACUCCAUAGAAAACCGGAAUAAUGAUUUGGCGGUUUGUGUGCUUGCAUUCAAGAAUCUUGACAAGUUCAUUCAGGCACCAUUUUGAAGAACCGUAGUCCUUUGAGAAAAUGACCACCGAAAUUUUUGAACCUUGGAUUGCGUUCAAAAGGGCAUCUGAAAUCUCAUCUCCUCGCCUAAGCUUUUCAUCAUCCAUAAAUGUUUUGAUUUUCUUUUUGUCAUACAAAUCAUCAUAGAGAUGGCAAGUAAAGAUCCUACGAGUGUCCUCCCCUCUAAAAUUGAGGAAGACUUCAUAAAUGCAAGAAGAAGAAGAAGAAGAAGAAGCAGCCAUGAAGGAAAUUUUAGAAAAUUGGUGACAGAAACAGAGAAUUAAUCUUGAGAGUUGAGAGAGGAGAUGUAAGAAUGAACAUGUGUGAAGAUUCUUGCAAGCACACAGAAAAUAAUUGAAUGGCUGGAGCUUUCUUAGUUUCCUGGAAAUUUCCUGGAGCUUUCAUAUACAUGAUUUGUCAAGUCAAGAAACAUAAUCAUGAUAAUGGGGCAGACCAGGAAGAAAAGAAAACUUGAUUCAACCAAUAAAGGAAGGAAAAGCAAAGAAAGAAAAUUUGAAAGUAGAUUCAGAGAAUUAUAAAAAGCUAAAGGAAAUUGGAAUUUUGUACAAUUUCUCCAGCGAAAAUUAAGCAUAGAAUAAUCCUAAAAUUUAAACUCUAAUAUCUUAUAAUGUAUUGAUUAAAAAUAAUCCUAAGAGUUCCCAAUUGAAACUUUCAUAAGUAUUUUAAUUGUUUUGGAUAAACAAAUUGUACUAGGAUAAAAAUUUGGCAAAUUCAGAGGAUAAUGGAAAAUAGUUAUGCUUCAAUAGGCCAAAGAUUAGAGAACAAACAAGAAUUAGUUAUUGAUACACAAAAGAGAAACACUCCAAAAUUUCAAGCAAAAAUAGUUUCAUAUACCAUUUCGAUUUUGGAAGGGGUGAGGUUUUGAACUUCAAUAGUUUCCUCUAAAAUUAAAAGGCAGCAAUUAAACUAGAAAGAGCAAUGAAGACUUAUUGGUACUUUAUUGAAGGUAAACAUUAUGAAACUUUCAAUGUCAUUACCUCAUUGUUCAAUUUUUAUUGAGAUUUGUGUAAGCAUUUAGCUAAAUCUUACCUCCGCCUUUAAAUUCAUUAGUUUUGAUUAAUUAUGAGACCUGGGAGAUAUUAUAAUCGAACUAAAACUUAAAAUUUCAAUAUCAUUAUUCUUUAAAAAGAAAUUGAGAUUUCAGAGUAAUAUCACAUAGAAAAACUUGCCCACGGACGGUAAGCCAAAAGUCUAGUCAACCACACGCAUAAAGCUAACUAGAACAAGAGAACAGAGAAACGCGUGGGUCCCUAAAAGAAAAGGCGUGGGUCCCAAAAGUCUAGUCAACCAUACCGAUGAAAAUCACUGAUUAAGAAUAAUAUAUUAUGUGGUUGAAGAUUUCUUUUUAUCAAUCUUCUUUCUACCCAUUAAUUUUCCCACGACUUUCCGGUUUCAUUUCUUGAAUCUCCAUGGAUUAACUUUCAAUAAACCAUAAAAUAAACUAAGGAAUCAUUUUCUCGAACACAGCUAUGAUUUUAAUAAAUGGGCGGACCAUCUAGAAUAGUAUAUAUAAUUCUGUUUAAUUAAUAAGUUGAAAAAACCAUAAAGAGAAAUUCUAAUAUUAUGAGCUUGACACGAAUUCUUCACUAAUUCCAAAACAAGGAGCUGUUUUAUAAGAACUGUGGUUGGAUUAUUAAGUUUUACAAUUUGAAUAUAAAUAAGAAAAUAAAAUCAGUCGCGUCGAUGUUUUCGAUACAUUUCGAUGCUAACUUAAUUAAUUACUUUACUUCAACUUUAUUUCCUGACGGACACUAUAUGGUGGGUCCAAGAUGGGACCUACAAUAAUCAAUCCUAGAAUUUAGUAUGGUUACCAAAUAGCUAGUGUUAUUUUGUGUUUGGUGGAAGAGAUUGAAUAUUUAGUUUUAACAUAACCAUUCAACUAAUUAGAAAAUAAAUAAAGUUAAAUGAAAUGUUUAGAUAUCAAUUUAAAUAUUAAUAUCCGGGAUAUAAAUUAGUUAUAAUAUAGUUCAUUACAUAAAAUUGAUUAAAUUAAUAAUUACACAUGAACAUAGAUGUAUAUGCUUUCCAAUUUCCAAAGUGCUCAAAGCACUUUUCUCACCAAACUUUCCUCUGAAUUUCCCGUAGCUGACUCCAUUGUUUGCGUUUUGUGAAAUUUCUAGGAACUUUUUCUAUUUAGAAUAUUGUACAUUUUUCUUUUCAGCUGAGAUUAAUUUAACUUAUAGAAAAUCUUAUCCUUUUUUUAAUAUUAUUUAAAUAAAAUUUGUCUAUCUUUCAUUUUAUCAGUCUACUUUUUACCCAUUAAUUAAGACUUUUCGAUUUCUUUUUUUCCUGAGGUUUUCAGUGACUAUCUUUCAAUAAACCAUAAAAAUUAAUGAGUCAUUUAUCGAACAAUUAGAUGACCAUAUUUCAAAAUAUCAACUAGAAGUUGCCCUGAAAUAUUUAAUUAAUAGUUGAAGAAUUGUGAUUAGUGUGGGCAUCUACAUAAAAAUUAUAUUAAAACACCGCUAAAAGAUAAAAAUAAAAUAAAAUAGUACAAACAUACACCCAUAGGUUAAAACAAAGAAAAAACACGAACCAAUACACUAAAAUGUUUUAGCUGUAGUUAGUUUUCAGUUUCAUUACUUAAGUCCCACGUGCAUGUCACGUGACUGAGGUCAAAAAAUGAUUGUCAGAUUAAAGUUCAAAGUACGGAGCAGGGUAAUUAAGGAGUGGAGCUAUUGGCACCCCUCCAUUAUUCUUACAAAACCCCACUUUAAAUCAAAUUAUAAUUAAGAAUAAUUGAAAAUUAAACACUUAUAGAUUUCUUUACAACAUGUUUAGUGAUAAAAAAGCACCAGUCGGGCAUGUCCCCAUUUCUUACCCGGGGCCGAAUCUCCUCGGCCGAAUGGUAUGAGUAGACUCUUGGUGAUGUGUUCUAUGUGGAGCACGUAAAACAGACCAGGAACUAGUACCAACCAGAAACGAGUACUGAUCAGAAACAAGCAUGACCAGAAACGCAUACCGACUAGAGACUUGUGGGUCCCUAAAAGAAAAGGCAAGCACAUAAACGAAAAAGCCAUUACAUUUCUAUUUUACAUGUCAUUCCUAAUUUUUGUAACACGGUGUGGCAGCAUAUGCACAAUCAAAUGAGGCAAAAGGGAUUCGACUAUCGUGGCAGAACAUGGACGAGGAUGCGUGAUGAAUAAUUCCUUCGAUAAAACGAAAAACAAAUGCAGAGAAAAGAAUUUCUUAUAUGACAAGAAAUUAAAGUAAUGUGACGGAACAUGAUGAAGAAAUUGCAGAUCGAUCAAUUAUCCCCAUGGACUCCUAUAAAUUCAACCAAAAUAACAAUUCCAAUAUUACCAAAUUCUUGAGUUAAAUUUAUUCAAUGCUUUUUUUUUUUAGAGAAAUUUUUUCCAAUGCUACUUUCCCUUUUUUGGGGAAAUUAGAACUGCGGCAUGUAUAGAAGACAUUGAGGUAUAAAGCAACAUUAAUUUCAUGGGUUAUGCGUUAUACGCAUAAUAUAUUGUCAGUCCAAAUUCAACUAUACAAAGAGGCUUGAGAACUUAAAAUUAAGCACAAACUAAACAGACGAAGUAAAUACAUGAUUAUGCAACAUAACAUUAAUUCUCUUAAUUUAUAACUGUUUUUGCCACAUGAAUCUUGCACAGUUAAUCCUAAUUGAAGACUAAAAAAGAACAAUUGGAACAAGGUUUUGAAAUAGAAUGAUAUACAAUCGAUAUGAUCCAUUUCCAGUCGUCAACGCUAAUUAACUGCAGUUUCUAGACUCCUAAUUAUACUAGCCAUAAGAAACUGUUUAGAAAACUGGUGAUCAGAUUAGAUUUUGAAAAGAAAUAAUUUUCAUUUUCCCUUCGCUACCUUUUUUUUUUAAUUAUUUUUAUACCAAAGAAUUCUAUCAUGAAAAGAAUCAAUUUAAUCACCUUUUCCAGCAGCACAAUUUUUCUUUUAUAAAAUUUGACCACAGAGACAAAGAAGAAUUAUUCAUACCUUCAUCAGUAAGGAAAUACUUUUCAUUAUGGCUAGGGUGAGAAAAGGCUUUCCACAACACUUGUACUUUGUAUUCCUGUAAAUUUUCUUUAAAGUCAAUAAAAACCAUAAGUUCUUUACAAUAACCAUCUCUUUGAUAAAAAAGUGCCGUAUUCCUUUAGAAUUUAAAACCGGAAAAAUUGAAUCAGUGUCUUUGAAGAGACAUAAUGGUCGUAAUUCUUUAAAUGAGUUGGCUAUGGAAAUCCUUAUCCAAGAUUCUUUUACGCCAUAUUCUUUCGUAAACCAAAAUUCAUUUUGGAAUACUCUGUUGAGAAUGUCAAAUAAAACGGCAUUGAAGGAAGUUUUCAAAGGCAGAAUCCGCACUUGUCAAAGGGAUGAUCUGCACUUGUCAAAGACACGAUCCGCGUCGAAUGAAUCGACACAUUUCCUUUCGUAUUCGCAUAUGUAAUCUUUGAAAAAAUGUAGCUUCUGCAUCUAUAAAUAACGCUUAGUGUAUAAUGUUUUAUUCAAGAAAAGAAAACAAGUUUCUUCAUACUCGUCGUCCGAACAUACAGAGACCGUCUCUUAUAACUUCAGCCGAAUACUUAUGAUGAUGAUCAUUUGUGAUUUCAUCAGGCAAAGGGUUGAUGGUGAAAAAAUUUGUAUGUGUGAAGAAUUGAGCUGUGGAUAUAGGGGACUUAAGUGUAAUCGAAAGAGAGUUAUUAGGCCAUAGUGCAGAUUGCAUUCAGUUUAUGAGUCGAUAUGCAAAUAAUUUGUUGACGUGGCGAAAUUUGUUAUGGUCGUUACUAUUGUUUCUGGAAAUUUUCUAGAAACCUCAGCAUAAAAGGGGCUUUUGCAUAGCCUCUGGUGUGCGUGUGAUUUCUCUUUCGUUUCCUCAUCAAAUUCUGUAAUUCUUGCUUUGAUAAAAAGCUUGUAAUCUCUUCUGUAAUGUGUGAUCAGUGCGUAAUCAUUUUGAGCAAUAAGAGCUUGUGGGUUUUUCCUUCAAACAGUGUCGUUUUGGUCAGUUUGUUAGUUUGAUCUGUUGGUGGAAUUUUCUUUGGUUAUUUGUUCUCAAAUUUCAACCGUAUAUAAAGUUUGAACUCUAAUGGCUUAUAAUGUAUUGAUUAAGAAUAAUCCUAAGAGUUCCCGAUUGAAAUUUUUAAUGACUAUUUUUAUUGUUUUGGAUAUACAAAUUGCAUUAAGAAAAAAUAUUGUCAAAUUCAGAGGAUAACGGGAAAUAAUUAUGCUUCAAAAGGCCAGAGAUUAGAGAACAAAGAAGCAUUCAUUACUGAUAAACAAAAGAGAAACACUCCAAAAUUGCAAGCAAACUAGUUUCAUAUACUAUUUGGAUUUUGGAAGGGGUGAAGUUUUGAACUUCAGUUGUUCCUCUAAAAUCAAAAGCAUCAAUUAAGCGUUCUCAAUUAGAAAUAGCAAAGAAGACUUAUUGGUACCUUACUGAAGUUAACAUUGUGGCACGGUUGUUCAUAUGUAAUGGCUGCUCUGUUAUGCUAGCUUCUCUGUUUUUGCUUACAGUUUUGAACAUAAAUUCUUGCUCAAAUAACCCAUAAUUAAAUAACACUAAUAUGGCUCGUGAAGUCCCAUAAUAGCUAAUUACGCAACUUUCUCCUCCUCCUCAAUUAUGUCUUCCCCUGCUCGGACACUAACUUCAAAAUUCAAUGCCCCGAAAAACAACACAAGAAAUCUUUGAGUUAGUUCGUGACCAGUUUAUAUAUAGUAGCAAUUGAAAAAAGAAAAAGAAGAAAAAAGUUAAUUAUUAUUCAGACCUUCACUUAUUAGGAAGUUUGUUCUGCUAUUGGGUGAGAUCAAGCUCUCAGCAUAUACUUCCACAUGAUACUUUCUAACAUUUUCUUGAAAGCCAUCAAUCAUAAAAUCUUCAUACUUUUUUCCAUCCUUUGGAUCAAUAAGUACAAUUUUUUCAUCUAAAACAGACAAAAUAAAAUCACUGUCCUUCAUGGAACACAAUGGCUGCAAUGCCUGAACUGAAUUGGCUAAUGAAAUUUGAGUCCAGGAUUCUCUCAGCCCAUAUUCUUUCAUAAUCCAAAAUUCUUUUCUUUCUCGACAUGGAACAUAGUCUUCUUUUCUUUCUCGACACAUGUCUCUGUACUUUUCUCUCUCUACUGAUCCACACUUUUUCAUACUUCUAACUAUCAUUUUGUUUUUUUUUUUUUUUGAGUUGUGAUUUAUUCAAUUAUUUUGUAUUUUUAAUGACAAUUGUUUAAUAUUUAGUUAGUUUUGAUAUUGAUUAGUGAUUGAAAGUGUAUUUUAGAAGACUUCCGGUCUCUUGAAAAAAGGAAAAAUGGAGAAGAAGAAGAAGUGUUCUUGAUUUUUUUGUAGGCAUUAAAGUUAAACGGUUUGAAAUGAUAUUUUGUUUUUAUUUCACUCAUUAAUCUCAUUCAGGAUAAAAUUAUAAAUGCAAAUAAAUGGGGUUUCAUAAGUAUUUUUAAUAGUGUUAAAAGGUCUACUCACUAAAUAAACAUGUUUUACCCAAACCAAUCCGAUUAAUAAGUUAUUAGGUUGGGUUGAUCAGGUUAAAAAUCAAAAUUAAAAAUUAAAUAAAUAAAAGGCAUAAAAACUAUCUGUUACUUGAAAAUAAAAAGAAUUUCUAAUAGUUAGUUCUAAUGUCCCAUAUCCAAAACAUGCAUAUUGUGAGGUUUGCUGGUGAAUCAAACUCAUCAGAACCAAAUGAUGACGUUUUGGCAAUUGAAGGAGCACUUAAAAGACACGUGAAACGCACGUCUGUUGUCACUUAAGAUUAAAGCUUGAAACGGCAGUUCAACCAUGUCGUUUAAAGGAAGCUUAGAAGUGAUGCACGUGACAGAUGUGUGAAGCAGCUCAUCUCAGUUCGUUAAGUUUGUUAUGCUACGUGUAAGCAAUCAGUUCGAUCUGGGUUUAGCUGGUUAGUUGCUCUGUUAGUUAUAAGAGCAGGCUGAUGAAACGAUUUGGGUUAAGCUUGUGAAUUCAUAUCAGAGAGAGAGAGAUUUCAGUGAAAGGGUUAAGAGUUCUCUGAAAUCUUGUAAACCAUUCUCUGUAAGAAAGAUCCUCCAUUGUUGAAUAAUAAAAGCUCUGCAGAAAACUUUUCCUGUGGAUGUAGAUUGUACCAAUUUGGUACAACUGAACCACGUAAUUGAUUCUUGUGUUGUCUGUGAUUUGUUUGUUUCUUGAUUCUCUAUUCUUUCUAGUUCUUGGGUACAUUGUUUUCACUUGGCUAGAUUCAUUCCUCAAUCUGUGCAUCUUGUAUAGUUCUUUAUCAAAGGUCCUGGGAAGUGUUUUAUUUGUCUUGCAUGUUAUAUAGCAAAUUAAAACACUACACAUAUUAAAUAAUAUAUUAUAAGUUAGAAAUACAAUAUCUAAAGAAAGAAUUAAUGAAAUAACAUAUUCUUGUUGAGAAUUAAGAGUGUGAUUUUAAUUUUGAUAUUGGAGUCUAAAGCAAUAGAUAGUACAAUGAAAUCAUGAAUGCUACGUUUAAAUAAUCUCUUUUAUAAAAUAAUAAAAAGAGGUUAAAAAUUAGGUUAACAUUUAGGGUUUAGCAGUUAAGGAUGAAUAUAUUAUUAUUGUUGUUGUUGUUAUUAUUAUAAUAAUAAUUAUUAUAAUAAUAAUUAUUAUUUAUAUGUUAAUUAAUUCAAUCCAACUUAAUUAUUAAUGAAUUUGAAAAAAUUGACCCAAUUAAUCCACAAUAAUUCAUUCAACUCGUCUAAAUUAGAUUAAGUUGAACUUAAUUUGCUACCCCACAUUGAGCAACAAACCUCAACGUCAUUCUACGAGCUCUUUGAUUGUUUAUAAAAUUGAUUUAGAGUACAUAAAGUGUAUCGACAAUGAAAGUGCAAAACAAAUUAUUGUACAUAUUAAAAUGUGCAAAAACAAUGAAUUAUAUGUACAAACGAGUGCAAACACAUUUUUCAAUAAGAAGUUGGAAGAUAUUUAUGCAUGAAAAAGCCUACGUUUGUAGUUAUUCUAAAUUUUAAAAACAAAAUUUACAUUUAGAUUCCUAAAAUUUACAUAUAAGUAUAAAAGUUUCAAAUAUUGUCUAUUAUUUUUUUAACAUGCCUAUUCCUUGUGGAUAAUUUUGUCUCAUCACUAAUGUUGUUUCUUGCUUACAAAAACCAAAAGCCACCUCCUUUUUGCAAUUUUUAUAGCGUCUCAAAAUAGACAAUAGGGGGAUUUUGAAUUUUUUAAGUCUCAAUAUAGUCUCUAAUCUUGUGAGAAAUAUUUUCUUUCAAUAAUUUGGAGGUAAACAUAACAUAACUUUUUGGACUAAAGCCUAACUCUGCUAAUAAGUAAUUGGUGGUAUCCUUUUCAAGACUUGAGUCUUUAGAUUCGAGUUUUAUAUAGUGUGCAUGUGUAUUUAAUUAAUAUUUUUUUUCAAAAAAAAUUACAUCAAAUACUAAUAUUCAUGACAUAAUUUAGUUCAUAAUUUUUUUAAAUACAUCGAAAAAUAUAAUUUUUUAACAACUUAAAGGCAUGACAAAUUUCAAGAUAUAAAUAUCAGUCAAAAUAAGUGAAAGAAAUAAUGGUGUCAAUUCUAAUUUCUUAACUAAAUUAAUUACUGCAUGAGCCCCGAAUAUGACACGAGAGUUUGAUGGGCUAACUUGGCACAAGAACGUGAAUAGUUAACUCAUUUAAGAAAUAAUUCAACAAAAAAUAUAAUUGAUAAGAAUGCAAUAUUGAAAUGAAUUUUUUACGAAACAUUGAAUUAAUGAUUAUUAAGCAAGAACAAUAAAAAAAUAAAAUAAAAAUAAAGAUUAACCAUUGAUAAGCUUCAACAAGAACUUAACACAACCCUCAAUCCUAAUUCAAAUUAUAAAUGUCAUUCAUAUAUUCAUUAUAAAUCAAUAACAAAGGUUAUAAAUGUUUAGAAAUUCUAGAGGGAAGGAAGCUAUCGCCGGGGAAUCAACAACUAAAAUUGAUGUAAUUGUGGCACGAGAUGGAAUAUGGAAACUACACCAUAAUUUUAAAUGCCGCCAUAGACAUUGACUUAUCUACAAUAACAAUGAUCUAAUUAAAAUAAAAAUAGAGUUUAUGGGCAUUUAUUAUUUUGACAUUCCUCAUUUGCAAAUAGGGAUACAAUUAUAAUUUAUUUAGUCAAAGCAAACAGUAAUUUUCUUCAUUAUAGGAGUGAAGUAAAAACAUUUAGAUUUUAAUGUAUGUAAGGAAAAAUUUAUCUUUAAAAAUACUUUCUUAAUGUGUGUAUGCAUAUUGAAAUACUCAAACCAAUUUUGGUUAUAUAUAAUUAAACAAAUUUUAAAAUAUGAAAAAUAUAAUGUAGUUAUAGUGGAUAAACAAUAAGUGAGCACAAUAUAAUUAAUCAAAUAUUGUGCUAUCAAAAGUUAAUUUUAGAAAUUCCAAAUCCAAUAGCUAACACAAUUCUUUAAAGAAAAAAAAAAGGUUGACACAAUUAAUAAAAUUAGCGACAUGAAUUUCACGCCAUUGAUAAUCAGCAAUUAGUAUUACUUUCUAAACUUGCUUCAACUGGUCGUUGAUGUCCGGGUCACCAAAAGUAUAAGCGAUAAUAAGGGGCAUUGGGCAAGAGUGAUGAAUGUUUAGUGGGUGCAUUUGAUUGAUAGAUAUAUAAAGGGCCGAAACUUGAGAUUAUAUUACUUUUACAAAUUUUAAUCCAAUCACAUAUUUAAUGAAAACAAAAUGAGUUAGGAUACUUUAUUUAAAAUACACAUUUUAAUAAGGCUUCAUUUAAUUAAAUAAAAUUAUAAAAGUAAAAUAUAUUUUAGAUAUUUUAAUAUUUAAGAAAAAAUUUUCAAUCUUUACUUUCAGAAGCUCAAAUUUUUAAUUUUUAGUUGUAGAGACAAAAUAUCUUAUUUAAUGUUUAAAAGUUCUGCUAAAAACAAUCAAAUAACUACAAAAAUUUUAAUAAGAGCAUAUAAAAUUAAAUAAGCAUUUAUUAAUAAUCACUUUAGUGUACUUAUCUAAUAACAAUAAGUGUUUAUUUAAUCUAAUAAGUUUUUAUUUAAUCUAAUGAGCUCUUUUUAAUUUUUUUUUAGUAGAGCUUUUGAAAAUUAAAUAAACUAUUUUGUCUCUAUUAAGAAAAACUUAAAAUUUAGGUUUUUGUAAGUAAAUGUUUAAAUUUUUUUUAAAAAUAUUAAAAUAUUAAAAUAUCUUUUCUUUAUUUCAUAAUCUUAUUUCAUUCUUCACAACAUAACUUUAAAUAACUUACCUAUUAAAAUAAUUUCACAAUUUCUAAUAAAAACUCCGAUUAACAAUCAAGCAAUAAUUUUUUUUUUUUUUUUGUAAAAAUUCUAUUUGUAAAAACUCUAAUAAUAAAAAUUCUACUUAAAUAAAUUUUAUUUGAAAAGGUAUACUAAACGAACCUAAGAUAAAAACAAAAAUUUUUAGAUCCAGACAAUUAAGCUUAAAACAAUUUCAAAUGAAUUUUAGACUAAUCAAAGUACAAUACGUACCAAGUUUGGUAAUUUAUUGACAUCUUCUUAUAUACCUUCGAUCAAGUCGAUUCUCACUUGACGACUAAUUGGUAGUUUGGUACAUCACCGUUGUUCCCUAUACUCGCAUGCAUCCGAUCACAAAUCUCACUCCAAUUGUUGUCUUUCUUCGGCGUUUUAGCGCAUCCUUCUUGAAUUUCUCGCAUUUCGUUCCCUUACAAGUCUCCGGUCAGGUCAGUUCACUUGACGAUUAAUUCGGCAAAUCUUGAAUCUCUUCUCUAUCCCUCUCGUUUUCUCGUGUCUCCUUUCAGUUAAAGCGAUUGAAUCAAUUUUAUCGCAGUCUAAGAGAAAUUAAGUAAUGCUCUUGGAUUUAAAAUUUUUUUGCUUUCGACUUUAGAUCUCGAAAGUCAAACUCUUCUACGAAUCCAUAGAUUCUCAAUGUUUAUAAUCUUAUUUGUGUUUGACCAGGUAACUGGAUCGUGAAAUUCGUCGUUUUGUAUCAAUUCAAGCUUUCGCGAGCUCAUGGAAUCACCUGGUGAGUUGUGGUGAAACGUUACCGUUUCAAUUUUCGCUUAAUUCUUUAUUGCAUAUUUUUUUCUCUAAUAUUUCAGUUUAAUUAGAAAAGAAAGAGGACCCAAAAAGAGAGAGAGAGAGAGAGACUCUACCAUACUCAAUUCCUUGCUCAUUCUGAUUUGGCCUGAAUGUUGGCAUUGACUAUUAUUUGUUUUCAUUUCGAUUUAAUUCUCAUUUAGACAGUCUUUACUAACGGUCAAUAAUAGUUUAAGGAAAAUGAUAAUAGGGAUUCUGCAAUAAUCUUUCUGCAUUGUUCAAGUUAGUAGACAAUGAAUAGGAUGUUUACGUUUACCUCAUUUUGAACCCCGAGGGCUUAGUUGAGUAGUUGAUUGAUUCAAUCUUGCAAUGUGUUCCCACAAGGUUUUGAGUUUGAUUCCUAAUUAUGUGGACCUUAGUUUCGAAUUUGAGUUUGUUAGGUGGGUUGAUGGGGUUUUUGGGUAUUAAAAAGGGAGAAGAAAAAAGUUGCUUGCUUCAUUUUGUACAAACCUGUUGACUUUUUAUUUUUUUCUUUUUAUUUUUGUACUAUUUUGUUUUACAGUUGGUGGUUCAAGACAGACAUCUGUUAUUGUUGUAACUUUGGAUACUGGUGAAGUAUAUAUUGUAACCAGCUUGUAUUCUAGGACUGACACUCAAGUGAUAUAUAUUGAUCCAACUACUGGUGCACUUCGCUACCAUGGGAAAUGGGGCUAUGAUGUUUUUGGAUCUGAAAAUGAAGCAGUAGAUUACAUAACAAAUGGAUCACGAUGGAUGUGCAAGAGUACAACUUUUGCCAAGGCGAUAUUGGGUUAUACUGCCCUGGGAAGCUUUGGGCUGCUUCUUGUUGCCACAAGGUUAACUGCCAGCAUUCCAAAUCUUCCUGGUGGAGGAACUGUAUGCACGGUUACAGAGAGCCAAUGGAUCAAAAUUCCACUUCAAAAUCCUCAACCCCAGGGUAAAGGAGAAGUAAAGAAUGUUCAAGAGUUGCCUGAUCUUGACAUUGAUGGGAAGCACUACUUUUGUGAGACAAGAGAUAUCACUCGACCUUUCCCCAGCCGCAUGCCUUUGCAAAAUCCUGACGAGGAAUUUGUUUGGAAUGAAUGGCUUUCGAUGCCUUUUAAAAGCAUUGGUUUACCUCAGCAUUGUGUCAUUCUUCUGCAGGUUUUGCUUCAUACUCGGUAUCUUCAAAAUUUAUGCUCAUUAAACUUCUUUCAUUCCCCACCCUCUCACUAUCCCUCCACCUAAUUUUGUUUCCAAAAGUUUGUUUGAUAGUCUAUUGCCACUAUAUGUAAAUGUAUCAUUUCCAUUCUGAGCAUGAUAUUUUAUUCAUCAUCACUUGUUAUUCUAAUCUUUAGAUGAAAGAAUAUUUCGUAUUAACAUUUUUCAUGGGCCAGUACCUAUUUUAUGGUCCAUUGUAGAUACUAAAAUGACCAACUUUAUUUCUUGGUCAUAAAAAGUUGCGACAGAAAUUUUAAACAUGUGAAUAUUUAAAUCUGAUAAUUCAUUAAAGAUUUCAACCUAAUAGAUUGAAAACUUAGAUUCAUUCCAUGAAUGAAAGAUAAUAAAGCAUCAGCCGAUGGAAUAUGGGAAAUAGAAACACUUUCCCUUCUAUUAAGAAGAGCCUGCUUCAGAUGAUCCUCAUUUUCUUCAUCCACAGGCCAACCUAGAACAUACCACACCAAGGUAAGAAAGAAAAGGGGUAGCAGGAUUGCCUAGUUUGACAAUUAGCAAAGCCCCAAAUGUUCCUCUUUUACUUUUCUUUUAGAAAGGUAGACAUGUUUGACAGAUUUGGGACAUUGCAUCAUCCCUUUCUGCUGCACAUGGUUGCAAUGUUUUACUUCUCACGUGAAAGCCUAGAAAUCCCAAUCCAAUAAUAAAAGGCCAUUUUAGAGUCAAUGUACAAAAACUUCCUUCCUUGUCUCUAUAUCCUCUUUUACAAUCCAUUCUUAGUUGAAUUGAGAUUAUGCUACAGCUGCUUCUUCAAGUUAACAUUGUUAUGCAAUUCAAUGGUGAUUUACGUGUGUACUUGUCCUAAGCAUGUGAUUUGAAAAUAAUAUGUUAAUAUUGUUUUCACUGGAUAUUAAUGUAUAGGGAUUUGCAGAAUGUCGAAAUUUUGGAAGAUCAGGUCAGCUAGAAGGGGUUGUUGCUCUUAUAGCUCGUCGUAGUAGGCUGCAUCCUGGUACUCGAUACUUGGCUAGGGGGAUUAAUUCUUGUUUUAGUACAGGUAAGAUAAUCUUUAACAUCUCCAGACCUGGAAAUUACAUUUUUGUUGUUGAGAUUCACUUGGUUCUUCUAUACAAUCAAAAAAAUUAAGGAUUUAGUUUUUUUUUUUUUUAAACGGAAUUUUCUUUUCCUUUCAGUACUCUUUGCAUUCUGUGUAUGCUGUUUAUUCUGAUUGUCAUUGAUCUCAUGCCUUUACAAGGAAACAGGUAAUAGUUUCAGUGGUAAAUUCAAGUGGAAUUGGUUUUGAUUCUGUUGUUUAGAAAGAUGGAUUGUAGAACUACAGAACAUUAAUCGUGCCACCUCAUGGCUCAUGCAUGCUUUUGGAGUAUUCUUUACCUGUAGAAUUUUUGUUUUUGUAGUUGACUUGGAAUAUAACUUUACCAUUUUUUUCAAAUAAUAAGAAUCAAUGAGUCUCAUCAAUAUUAAUCAAUAAUGAGCUAAAGAUAUAUAACUUGUGUCUCAGAACUAUAUAUGAUAUGCUUGUGAAGGUGUAUUAUUUUAAGUAGAGAUACCAAAUGCUACAGGGAGAAGCAAAAAAGAACAUUCUCCAGUGAAAACCUUCUGACAGAUUACAUUUUUGGGAUAAAAAAGAAACAUUGAGAUCAUCAGCCACACUUUUUCUUCUUGUACUGUUUAAUUAGUUUAGAGGCCUUUUAGUUGGUUUUGCUUGCCUGGAGGUGUCAUACAGUUCACUUUUUGAAUACCCUGGUUUUCUACAGAUUAGAACUUGGUUUCCUUUCACUCCACAGCUUUUGCUUUCCUACAUCACGUCCUUUGGGAUAAUUGAAUAAUGAAUGAAUGAAAACAAUCAAAUAAUUUCUGACAAUUAGUUAAUAACUUUUAUUUUGUAUGACCCUUUUGAUAUGUGUGGUCCUUUAAUUUACGGUUGAAAUAUAAAUAUGAAAAAAGUCUGCCAAUUAGUUUUACAAAUGACUUUUGUGCCAUAGAAUAUAUAUAUUUUUUUUUUGCCGAAAAACAAAACAAAUUCAUAAACAACAUUGUAUUUCACCAAUUAACAGUGCAAGUGUCAUUAUAGUUUCCACAUAUUAGUUCUGUUUUCGUUAGUUUCAUUUUCAUUCUGUUAUGUAACUGAUGUUUCAUUGCUAUAAAAUUAAUUGUCUGUUUCUCUUCACAACUGUUAUUUUGAAUGAUUUUUUCUGAAUUUUAUAAAGAAUUUGUAUAUGACAGGAAAUGAAGCAGAGUGCGAGCAACUUGUAUGGAUUCCUAAAAGGUCUGGUCAGAGUGUUCCUUUCAAUGCAUACAUCUGGCGGCGAGGGACUAUUCCAAUAUGGUGGGGUGCAGAAUUAAAGCUUACUGCUGCUGAAGCAGAAAUUUAUGUUGCAGAUCGGGAUCCUUAUAAAGGAAGUCUGAAGUAUUAUCAGAGGUUGAGUAAUCGAUAUGAUGCUCGAAACUUUGACUUAGCUGUUGGGGAAAAUCAGAAGAAAAAGCCUUUUAUUCCAAUUGUAUGCAUUAACUUGCUUAGGAAUGCGGAAGGGAAAUCAGAAUCUAUUUUAGUUCAGCAUUUUGAGGAAUCUUUGAACUAUGUCAGAUCAACUGGAAAACUUCCUUAUACUCGAAUAAUUUUAAUAAAUUAUGACUGGCAUGCCAGUACAAAAUUAAAAGGUGAACAACUUACAAUUGAAGGAUUAUGGAAGCAUCUAAAAGCACCCACUCAGGCCGUAGGCAUUUCUGAAGGGGACUAUUUGCCAUCACGGCAACGACUUAAUGAUUGCCGAGGUGAAGUCAUCUGCAAUGGUGACUUUGUGGGUGCCUUUUGCUUAAGAUCCCAUCAGAAUGGAGUGAUACGCUUUAACUGUGCAGACUCUCUUGAUCGGACCAAUGCUGCUAGUUAUUUUGGUGCUCUGCAAGUAUUUGUGGAGCAAUGUAGGCGGCUUGGGUUCUCCCUUGACAGUGAUUUUGCAUAUGGCUAUCAGUCAGCUAAUAACUAUGGUGGAUAUACUGCUCCUUUGCCACGAGGAUGGGAGAAACGAGCUGAUGCAGUGACAGGAAAAACAUAUUAUAUCGAUCACAACACUAGGACCACAACAUGGAUUCAUCCAUGCCCAGACAAACCUUGGAAGAGAUUUGAUAUGACAUUUGAGGAGUUCAAGCAAUCAACAAUUUUAUCACCAGUGUCUCAGCUAGCAGAUCUUUUUCUGCUUUCUGGUGAUAUCCAUGCAACCCUUUAUACUGGUUCAAAAGCAAUGCAUAGCCAAAUUCUUAAUAUAUUCAAUGAAGAACCAGGAAAGUUCAAACAAUUUUCUGCAGCACAAAAUAUGAAAAUUACCCUGCAGAGAAGAUACAAAAAUGCAGUUGUCGAUAGCUCUCGUCAGAAACAGCUGGAGAUGUUUCUUGGAUUGAGGCUUUUCAAGCAUCUUCCAUCUGUUUCAGUUCAACCUCUACAUGUAUGAUACUGUAGAACUUCAGAUUACCUAUUCAUACAAUCUGAGUUCAAUGAUUAUCAAUUUUCAUGAGGGAUGGAGACAAUAUUACACUAGCUACUUGUUUCUAACCUAAGCAUCCCUAACUUCUGCACAUAAAUAAAUGAUGCGCAAAGCAUACCAUAGCUAUAUCAAUGCCCAUUUCCUGUUUGAUGUUGACCAAUAAUGUUUGGAAGUUAGCUAUUGCAUGGUAAGAUGAUUUGAAGCUUCAUUUAAAGCUUCUAAGCCAGAGCUUCUAAGUCAUCUGGCUUAGAGAAUUUAAAUGUCCUCCAAAAGUCUGGAAUCACUGUUGCAUCUCAGCCUGAUUGAUAUUUGUUAUUGUUAACUUGGAAAUAUUUUGUUAAUCUUUCGGAUUGAACAACGUCGUGCUAUGAUCAUUAUUCAAGAAAUGACCUCAAGAACUUGUUGCAGUUGAGUGAUUUUUUGGUAAUGAUGAAAAUUAUUCAUGUUUAGGAACAGCUCUUUAGGGGAAAAGCAUAUAUGGGCUGGCUGGCCCUUUUUGGUGUAUUUGAUGAACCAUUUCAUAUCAUGCUGGUAACUGCAGGUUCUUUCUCGACCAUCUGGUUUCUUUCUCAAGCCAGUUCCCAACAUGUUCCCAAGUUCUGAUGGUGGAGCUAGUCUUCUAAGCUUCAAAAGAAAAGACAUGAUCUGGGUAUGGGUUGCAGCUAAACUUAGUCCUUUGUAGCAUUCCUAAUUCUCUGAUUGUCUUUUCUUUGUAGCAUUCUUAAUUCUCUGAUUGUCUUUUCUGUCCUUAAUGGAAUUCAUGCAUUUUUGGUUCUUUAGGUAUGUCCACAAGGCACAGAUGUGGUUGAACUUUUCAUCUACCUUGGUGAACCUUGUCAUGUCUGUCAGCUUCUUCUCACCAUAUCCCAUGGUGCAGAUGAUUCAACAUAUCCAGCAACAGUUGAUGUGAGAACAGGACGCCACUUAGAUGGGCUUAAACUGAUUUUGGAGGUUUGUAUUGGUUCUAUUGUACACCUUGCUUACAAAUUUUUUAUUUUUAAUUUUUAAUUUUGUAUGAUAUGCUCUUUGUUGGUAAAUUUCAUUUGACUUAGAAGAGAUAGUUUUAUCCCAACAGUGGGAUACAUCAUUGAGAUGCAUGGCAGAGUGAAUAUAGUAGACAAAAUCAUUGAGACCCAUGGUGGUGUGAACAUAGUAAACUUUGUCAAACACAGCUAAGAUGAGCAAAUUGUUUCAUUAGCCUUUAUCUUAUCUGCUGUGAUGAUUCAAAUUAAUGCUGUUUGGUAGGUUGCAAAAAAACGAAAUGAGCUGACUGUUCGUAUUAUUUAGUCAGAUCUCUAGCAAUAAGUUGAAGUUCAUUGUCACAUGGGUUGGGAGUAUCGUGGGCUGUGAGUAGUAGAAUGGAUUUAUGGAGUUGAUACAAGUGCCCACAAUCUCUCAUGUCAUUCUAGGAUUAAAUGGAUUGCACAUUACUGUAAAAAUGGAGGUUAAAUUUAUAUAAUUCGGAUUGAUUGUAAAAUGGAAGACAGAGAUGAGUUAGAAAAAGAAUGACCCGUGUCCUUUUUGAGCUGUUUCUAAAUGUCCCUGGUGUGCCUCAUGCUUAACACGUGCCUUUCCAAAUAAUUUUGCUUAACCUGUGCUUGUCUACUUCUUGUGCUAUUCUGUGCCUGGUCCUGAGCUGUAUUGGUAGAUUGACAUCCAGCUUGAACUUUUAGGUAUAUCUUUUGUACAUAAAUUCUGAAUACCCAUGGACUUAGCGUGAUAUAAAGUCAAGGAUCCAUUUAGCUGAGUCCUUCAAGUUUUGUUAGUAUGUCUUCGGAUUAUAAAUAUGUAACAAAAUGAGGUGUAGAAUACAUUUAAAAAGAAAAGGAUAAAAAAACAAAAGAAAUGAAAAGAGGUGUUUAGAAGUAAUAGCUAAACUAGAUACACUCUCACUAAUUAGCGAUUCUGAUGAACAGUGCCCAUAGCUUCUUUUAUACCUUGAAGUUGCAGAAAUUGAUUCUUGGUGAAUUAAGUCACUUACAGACAUAACUUUUUCUUCCAUCUAAUUUUUAUUAGGUUAGAUAGGAGAAGACUUGUUUCAGGGUGUCCUGACCCUAGUAUUAGUUUUCUUGUCAGAUUUUUCAUGAAAAUUUACAAUGCACGUGACAUACAACUUCUAGUAAUCCUAGGACUUUGUUCACAGGGUGCUUCUAUUCCUCGUUGUGGAAAUGGGACAAACCUUUUGAUACCUUUACCAGGAUCAGUUAGUGCUGAGGAUAUGGCUAUUACUGGAGCUGGUGCACGACUUCAUGAUCAAGAUGCACCAACCCUUCCACUGUUGUAUGAUUUUGAAGAAUUAGAGGGAGAAUUGGAUUUUCUUACUCGUUUUGUGGCAGUUACCUUUUAUCCUGCUAUUUCUGGAACAAGUUCCAUGACUCUUGGUGAGGUAGAAAAUAUUUUCAUAAAAUGUUAAUUGAUUUAUCUACGCACUUUAUUCUUAAAUUAGUAUUUUAGACCAUGAGCUUUGUGGAGUGGGUUUGCUGUAACUGCUGCUGGUGACAACAUAAUUGUUAAUAUUAUUACAGAUAGAGAUUCUUGGAGUUUCUCUUCCAUGGAGGGGGGUAUUCAAUAAUGAAGGCCCUGGUGCUAGAUUAAUUGAGCUUGGCAAAAAGUUUCAGAAGGAAACCGAUCCAUUUUUGUCAAAUUCAGUUACAAAUACGGUUCUGUUUUCCAAUGAAAAUGUGUCAACAUCAAUGCAAACAGAAGCUGCUUCCAAUCCUUGGGUUGACCUGUUGUCUGGAGGGGACACAUUUUCUGAUCCUCUUUCAGAGCCGUUUUCUAACCCUCUUUCUGAGCCGUUCUCUGAUCCUCUUUCUGAGUCGUUCUCUGAUCCUCUUUCUGAGCCAGUGACAAGAAAUGUUGCAUCUGGAGGGGCUGAUUUGCUUGAUUUCUUGGACCAGCCUAUAGUUGAAGAUCAUGGUGUGGAAACUUAUAAAAGAUCUUCAACACAGGAUGGCUGUUCUCUGGCUAGUGGUGCCCAGCAGUACAUAAGCUGUCUAAAAUCCCUUGCAGGGCCACGCGAGGUAUAGUACUGCUCUCUUGUGUUUUUUGCAGCUCUACAUCUUAGUAACCUCAUCUUUUUAAUGGAGUAAAUUCUAGAAGUUCAACAAAUUUUGCUUUGCUAAAUGUAUAACUUAUUAAUCAGAGUCCUGUUAUUAUGGUUUGACACUACUGACAUAUUGUGUUGGUAAUUUAUUUGUACGUCCCUUGGUUGAAUUAUUUGCUGUCUCCAUGCCAUUCGAUAUGGUGCUACUUGGUUUUUGAUCAUCCAUGACACUAUAUAUAUAUAUAUGUAAAGGAUGAAUUGAUUGUUUUGGCUUGUAUUCUCACAUUUUAUGAUUGAUCGAUGGAAAGGUCUUCCUGUAUUAAAUUCAACCUCACAAGCAUAAGAUUGACAAAUUCUGGGCAAAUUUUCAGGAAAAGAAACUAGACUUCAUGGAAGCAAUGAAGCUUGAAAUUGAACGUCUGCAGCUGAAUCUUUCUGCAGCUGAAAGGGAUAGAGCUUUAUUGUCAAUUGGAACUGAUCCUGCCUCUAUAAAUCCAAAUGUAUUGCUUGAUGAAUCUUACAUGGGAAGACUGUGUCGAGUAGCAAACACUCUUGCAUUACUUGGCCAAGCUUCCCUAGAAGACAAAAUUGUUGGUGCAAUUGGCCUUGAGAAUAGUGAUGAUAGUGUUUUAGACUUCUGGAAUAUUACUAGAAUCGGAGAGAGUUGUUCUGGUGGUGGGUGCGAGGUUCGUGCCGAAACUAAGGUGCCUGCUCUUGCUUCCUCAACUGCAACAUCUGUUGGAUCUUCACAAUCCCCUUUGUUGUGUUCUCAAUGUGAAAGAAAAGUUUGCAAAGUUUGUUGUGCAGGAAGAGGAGCUCUACUGUUUUCAAAUUAUAAAUCAAGGGAUGUGACCAACUACAAUGGCUUCUCAAGUCAGAGUGGAUCAAGCCAUGGAAGCCAAGUUGAUGUAUCUACCAGUCGUUCACUAACACUGGAUGGCGUUAUCUGUAAACACUGCUGCCAUGAGAUUGUGCUUGAUGCAUUGAUGUUGGACUAUGUUAGGGUCUUGAUUAGCUUGCGAAGAAGUUCCCGUGCAGACAACGCAGCAUACAAUGCUUUGAAUGAGGUUGUUGGAUCCUGCUUAAAGGAUAGUCUUUCUGAGAGGAUUCAGUCUUCCGAUAACGUGCAAGCAGCUGAAGUCCUUCACCAAUUAUGUGGUGGACAGGAAGCACUUGCUGAAUUUCCAUUUGCUAGCUUUUUGCACUCGGUAUGUUCUUGGUUUGUAUUCAGUUCUCAUCAUAUUAUGUUUUCCUUUUAAAUUUCUUUUCUUGAUUAAAAUUUUUAGAAAUAUGUUUUAGCAUUUAUUCUUAUGAUAUAUGCCCAGAACAUUCAUCCCACUUAUCCAUGAGAAUCCUUGUCUGGUUUGAUUUUCAAUUGAGACAUUUUUGGGAACCCUGAGCAGGUUCCAUAUGCUAAUAAUCUUUGAGGUAAGGUGUUGUAGGAUGCCUUGAGAAGCUAAAAACCUAUUACAAGUAAAAGCUCUUGCAUUGUUUUGUGCAAUCUGUGUGCGAGCAAGUCAUGUCUCUAAUAAUUUCAUAGUUUGCUUGAUUGGAAUUUUUUAUCUUGAUAUGGAUUGUUUAUUCUAGAUUCCUUGGUGCCACUGUAGGUUGAAACAGCAAAAGAUUCAGCACCGAUUUUGUCACUGCUUGCUCCAUUAAAUUCUGGAUCAAGGCACUCAUAUUGGAGAGCUCCACCUAGUAUUACUUCUGUUGAAUUUGUUAUUGUUCUCGGUUCUGUUUCUGAUGUCAGUGGGGUUAUCUUGCUUGUUAGUCCUUGCGGCUAUUCUGUGGCUGACACUCCGAUGGUAAGUGCCAUAUUUAUUCCCUUAUUUCCUUGUUGUUCAAUAAAUUUGGUGAUAAGCCAAGUGGCCUUAAUAAUGAAGCCCAGUACCAGGGGUGGUGGGUAAUAGAUAUUCAACUUGUGAAUAUUCCUAAGCAAACACUGAAUCAACAUAUACCUCGGCAAAAGUUCUCUAUGCUAUGAUAAUGGAAGUCAUAUUUUGAAAUGAUUAAAAGAGUCCCUGUGUAGUGCCAUUUCCAACGAAAUUGCAGCUGGGGGUUUAGUUUCAUGUAGGUUAGUUUCCGAUAAUAAACUUUCCAUUUCAUUAAUUGCUGAUGAAAAAACCAAGUAAGAACAGUUUUGUUGCUCAUCAUUUUUGUAUAUUUUGGUAAACUGUAAUUUUAAAUUCUCAACGAUCUUCCCUUUGUAGGUAAGAAGAUGGUCCACUCACUUGAUAUUUAUGAUUGUAGAUCAGGUUUCUAUUGGUUUGCCUUUAUCAUUUGGAACCCAUGUUUGAUAUUAACAGAGAUCACAUCAAUAAUAUCCUAUUUGGGUAGAUGUGGGUGAGGAUUUAAAAUCAAAUUUGAAAUUGAGGGGAAAGAAGAGAAAAGGAACCACAAUAAUUAAACAAAAUAAUAGGAACUAUUCUGAUGAGUUUUAAUCUCGAGAGGAACAAUUUUCAAAUGCACUGCUAGAGAAAUUGUAGCUUUUUGUCAUUAGUUAAAAGGAAAAAGAAUAAGAACUAUCCGGCCCUUUCCUUCAUGAAUGUGUGUUGAGGUUGCUGUAUUAUUUAGUCAGUAUUUGUAAUUUUCUUCCCUGCAGUGCUCUCUGCCUCCUGAAUUUGCUUCCUAUUGCUGUUACAGGUGCAAAUCUGGGCAAGCAAUAAGAUACACCGGGAGGAAAGGUCAUCAAUGGGAAAAUGGGAUGUCCAAUCCCUCACCACAUCUUCUUCAGAUUUGUAUGGUCCAGAAAAGUCUGCUAGUGUUGAAAAAUUACCUAGGCAUGUAAAAUUUACGUUUAAGAAUCCUGUUAGGUGCCGCAUUAUUUGGAUCACAUUACGUCUUCAGAGACCUGGUUCGGCUUCAGUUAAUUUCGGGAAGGACCUCAGUCUUUUGUCUCUUGAUGAAGAUGAAAACCCCUUUGCACAAGUAGACAGACGUGCUUCAUUUGGAGGAGCAGUUGAAAAUGAACCAUGUAUUCAUGCCAAAAGAAUUCUUGUAGUCGGAAGCCCAGUAAAAAGGGAGGGGCUUACCACAUCACAGAGCUCUGAGCAGCUAAGUAUUAGAAACUGGUUGGAUAGAGCUCCACAAAUGAGUAGAUUCAAGGUAUUAGUUGCUUUCACUCUUUGUUCAUUCAUAAUUCCAGCUUUCUGCUUCACUGAUAAACCUCUUUUUUCUCUUCAGGUCCCAAUUGAGGCCGAGAGAUUGAUGGACUACGAUCUCGUCUUGGAACAGUAUCUACCUCCAGUGUCACCUUCACUUGCUGGAUUCCGUCUAGACGCUUUCAGUGCAAUAAAACCUAGGGUUACCCAUUCACCUUCCUCAGAUUCAGAUAUCUGGGACAAAUCAGUAACAUUUUUAGAAGAUAGGUACAUCUCUCAAGCUGUGUUGUAUUUACAAGUAUCCGCACUCCAGGAACCACAUAACAUGGUAACUAUUGCGGAAUAUCGACUGCCGGAGGCUAGAGCCGGAACGCCAAUGUACUUUGAUUUCCCACGACCGAUACAGUCCCGACGAGUUUCAUUCAAGCUUCUUGGAGAUGUUACAGCAUUUGCAGAUGAACCUUCAGAACAAGAUGAUUCAGGAUUGAGAGCUCUACUUGUGGCCACAGGUUUGUCUUUGUCAAACAGAAUCAAGUUAUAUUAUUAUUGUGAUCCUUAUGAGCUCGGAAAAUGGGCAAGCCUUUCUGGAGUUUGAUCAUUAUUUAUAUGUCAGAGAAAGAGUUUUGGGUUUGAUUUUGAUUUUGAUUUGCAUUUUUUGUCAGUUUAUUGAAAUUUUUUCGUGGUAUAAAAUCAGAAUGUAAAGGUAUAAAAAUUCAUUGAUGCUGCAAUGUCUGCUUUUGAGAAAGAAGAAUUCAACGUCUUUUCUAUGCCAUUGUAUUUUCCACUGCUUGUAAACUUGGGCUGUCGAAUGCUCUGUGAACCUUAAGGGCUAAAGUAAUUUUCAAGACUGAAGGAUUUAUUAAUCGAGUUCAAAAGAUUGCAAGUUGGUGAGCGUUGGCAUUUAAAAAUCAAUUGUUAUUCUCUCAAUAAUCUCUCUCUUCUGCCGACACCCCAAGCUCAGAAACCCGUUGUUCCGACGGACGUGUAACACUUCUAGAAAUUAGCAUUUUCUUCUACAUGAAGGUUGGUCUCUCCUCGUGAAGUGUUUUCUUUUUUGAGUGAAGGUGGUUUUCUACUUACAUAUGUCGAGGGUCUUACGAUAUCUAAUGUGUGAAAUUUCUCUCUCAUUUUACCAUAAAGAAAAUGUUUGUAAUGAUCUGAAGCUUGAGUCUUAAAUUAUCUUAAAUUUAUAUUUAGGGUGGAGCUAUUGGCAUCCCUACAUUAUUCUUACAAAAUUCCACUUUAAAUAAAAUUACAAUUAAGAACAAUUAAAAAUUAAACACUUAUAAUUUUUUGUACAGCAAAUUACUUAAUUUAUAAUCAAUUCUUUUAAAAUAUAUAUAUAUAUUUGUUACUUCUUAUCUAACUAAAAUAAAUUGUACAAAUUUAGAAUAAUCUAUUGUUCUUUUUUGAUUUCUUAUUGAUUUAAUAUUUUUAUACUUAAAAUUACUUUGAAAUUAUAAUUUGAAAUAUGUGUUAUUUUAGCCAAUAAUUAACACUUAAAAACUUAUCACCCAUAUAACUUUUUAAUUUGUGUGUAGGGUAAUAAUAAAAUUGAAAAUAAUUAAAAAUAGCACAAUAAUGAGUUUUAACAAUAAAACAAAUCAAAUGAAUAUUUAAAAUUUUAAAAAGUAUAUCUAGAAAAAGAGGUAUUUUCGGAAAUAGUUUGCAUAUAACUAAAAAAAAGUUUUAUGAGGAGAUCAGAUGGGUGCCAAUAGUCCACCUCGUAAUUAAGAAUCUCCCAUUAUAUUGUGAACCAAAAAGACACUUGCAUAAGAAGAAGAAUUUUUCUGUUUGAUUUUAUUUGUGGAUCCAACAUUUCUCAUAUCUUGAGCGCCUUUCCGUAUCAAAUUAAAAUAGUAGUAGCAAAAUUGUAGUGCACAUUCAAUUAAUCAACUAAUAGUCUAAGAAGCAAAGAGAGGAUUACAAGUUCACAACACCAUUACAAAGGAUUCAAAAUUCCCACACGAAAACAUCAAUGUACAGAUAUAAACAAUCCUAAUUGGACACAAGAAAAACCCUUAAAUGGAUUGCUUGCCUUCCCAAUGCUACAUACCCUGCAAACUGCUUACUGGCCAAGAAAAUGUUUUCAAUUUAGUGUAUUUUCAAAAUGCUUAUUUUCUCAUAAUAUUAAAAAAAUAAAAUAAAAAAGAAUUCUUACAUGUUUCAUCAGCAUGAUUAAAAUCAAAGAAGAAAGAGAGACAUAAUGUCUCUGACAUAAUAAAAUUAUAAAAAUUUCAAGAAAAAAAAAGGUUAAAACAUGUAAGGUGGAUGAUUGAAAACAAUUGUAUGAUGGUAACCAUCAUCUUAAACAAAUAAAAUAAGGUAUGUUCAAAAGUAAUAAGGAAUACAUAGACAAAACAUCAUCUUAAACAAAUCAUAAUCUAGAAUUGGAGCAUUUUCGACAUACCUAAGGAGAAAGAAUACGUGAAAAUAGGUGAUUCAUUUGUUAAGGAGUGUUGAUUUGGUCGUCUCUGCAAAUUCUUUAGGGACUCGGUUCCAGUUCCUCUUCAUCAAAACUGUAAUAUAAUUCCCCUUCAUCAGAACUCGAAUCAAAUUCACUUGCAGCAGUUCCACUCGCGCUUGGCAAAUCAUCCAAUUUCCAAACUUCGGUACCAAAAUUGAGAGUAAAAGUGUUGGCUUUGAUCUCGCUGCGAUUUGCAUAUACCGGACAUACUCCGUAACGUUUUAUCUUGUGACCCUUUUGGUUUCGGUAACACUCAUUGAAGAACUUAAGUGAGACAGUUGUAUGAUGGUAACCAUCAGGAAAGCCAACAUUCAAGCAAGGUUUAAAACAAAGUAUGACAUGAUCUGAAUCAAGGGAGUAUUUAGAAUAGGUAGAAAAACCCAGAUCAACAUAUUUGGUUUCAGAGAGAGUCUUUAUUUCUAAGUCGGAUUGAAAGAUGACGUACCAAUCGCACUUGCAACGAGAACAAACUUUCUUAGAAUCAAGAACAGCACAAAAAGCAAACCCGAUUAAGUUUCCGCAAAAAGAUUGCGGUGGCAGUUGAAUACAUAUCGAAGAUUCUGAACUUUGAUGGCUGAACCAGUCAGGAAUUUCGCUCCCAGGUAAAACAAUUAGGGAUCCCCAGAGUUCAGAAAGUUUCUGUGAAAUGACAUUUAAAAAAAGAAAAUUGUAAAUUGAAAACCAUGAUUUCAGAUAUAACAAAGAGGGACAGAGUAAACAAGAGAGGGAAUUUGAUACCUCGUUGAUUGCCUUUUCAUAGCCCAAUCUCAGUGAUGCAAUUGCCAUAUGCCGAAUUCUUAGUCGUGAAUCUGCCAAAAUCUUGUUGUUUGCUUUUCCAUCAAGUUUCAAGCAGUUAGUAAACUCAAAACAAAUUGCUGCUGACUCCAGAGAUUGAAUAAGGUCAGGAGAGGGUUUCGAUAACUUUUCGAGUACGGAUGCAUCUAGUUCUUGUAGACAUGACGGAAUCUCUGGCAAAGAUUGAAGCCGCUUGCAGUUCCUUGCUUUUAGUGAUUGUAGACACAAUGGAAGUUCUGGUAAUGACCGAAGCAUGUUACAACCCGUCAAGUCAAGAGAUUCAAGACACAAUGGAAGUUCUGGUAAUGACUGAAGCAUCUUACAACGCUCCAAGUGAAGAGACCUCAGCCGCGACAGUUGCUUGAUACUUGCAGGUAAACUCUCAAAGUUAUUUCCACUUAGAUGCAAGCCUGUCAGUGAGGAUAGACAGGCAAUCUCUUGUGGAAUUUCCAUUACAGCACAGUUCCUUAUAUUUAGACGUCCCAAAGAAGAUAAACCUAAUAAUAAUGAUCGAGGCAAUGAUACCAAACCUUUGCAUCUAGAGAACUCAAGAAUUCUAAGUACGUUUGAAUCUGCAACAGAGGAUGGUAGUUGACUAAUAGCUGAUCCAGCUGCACAGAUGUAACGCAAAGAUUUUAAAUUGCCAAUGUUAUCCGGCAACUUAUCAAGUUUAGAGCAAUCUUCUACGAACAAUACUUCAAGUCCCGGUAGAUUUUCAAAUGACGAUGGCAGCUCUGUAAUUGCCGUAUGGCCUAAAUAGAUGCGUUUUAAAUGUUCCAUUUUCUCCAAGAUUUCUGGGAAACGCUCAAGGUUCACGCAGCCAUUAAGAAAAAGAUCAACCAACGAUCUCAAUUUACAAAACCCAGUUGAAAUCAUCUUCAGCCGUUUGCAAUCCCUCAAAUCCAACACUAUAAGAUCAGUUAGGCACUCUAUUGAUGAUGGAACUUCUUCUAUUGCAGACUGGAUUAAGUAUAGCCGUGUAAUUUUCCCAGAAAUCUGUGGAAACUCUACGAGAUUAACACAAUAGGAGAAAUUAAUAGUUACUGGACAAACAAAAUGAAGAUUGGUUGGAAAAGACCUAAGACUUUUGCAGCCCAUAAAAUCCAACCUACUGAGAUACUUGAAAUUCUGGAUAGAUGAGGGAACACAAGCCUUUUCUCCUUCCCAAAGUUGCUCAACUUUACUUAAACGCAAAUUCAGUUGAACGAGGUUCUUUGGCUUGAAAUUUGAUGGCAGUGUCCUUAAUGGAUAUGUGUCCCAAUGAAGAUAUCUCAAUUUUUUAGGAAGAUAAUCUAGACCAUUUGGAAGCUGCACUUUAGAGUAUGAAAGUUGCUCUUCAAUGAUCAUACUUAGAAACCUUUCAAUCCCAUAAAACUUAGGUACAUAAAAUUUGAGCAAUCUCAUACUAGACAUAUUUGUGAAGGUUCCGGGGUCUAAAUUAAUGCCUUUUAUUUUGGACAAAUCCAGAAAUAUGCCUUCAAUUGCAUCGGUCCCCUUAUUAAAAAAAAAACAAAGAAUGAGUAAUCCUAAAACAGAAAAGAAACAUUCGUAAACUUUAUUAACUAAGAGCUCCUUAAACAAAAACAAAUUCUGCAAUCUUUGAUUUUAUUUUUUUAAUAUAUUAAAUAUCUAUAUGCGAGAAAAGAAAAUUUUGGGGGCCAUUGCAAAAUUAAACUAACCGAAAAAAAAAAUUCAAAAUUUCUCUAAUUUACAAACCUGUUAUCUUAAUAUCUAGAAGUUGAGAAGACAAGGCCUAUUUGAUUGGUAUAAGAUUUCAAUUUUUUUUUUUUUUUUUUUUUUUUUUUGUCGAUAGAAUCCAAAAUGUUAGUUCAAAAUUAGGGAAAAAAAUGAAAGUCAUUUUUUUUUCCACUAGCUGUAAUUGUAUCCAAGUCAAAUUGAGAUACAACCCUUUUUGAAAGAAUUUAACCAUCUUACAACCUCCUUAAGGUACAUUUAAGAUAAAAGGAGUGAUUGGAGGCAGAACUAGGUGGGCCAAUCAGUCCAUUUUAUUAGCGACUGUUGCUUAAAAAAAAUUAUACUCUAAAACACACUUACAUUUUUGAAAAAAUAUAUAAUUAUAUUGAAGUAGAACCAGGUGGGCCAACCCUCAUGGCACUCACUUUGUUCUGACACUUUUCACUAAAUUUGAAGAAAAAUAAAAUUAUACUCUUCACACUCUUAUUCAACAUUCCAAAUUUGAUAAAAUCGGGAGUUUUCUUUAAAAAUUUAAAAUUUGAAGACUUGUUCUCUUGACACCCUCAGUCAUUAAUUUUACCUAAUUAUGGGUUUUAUGAUUUUGGUUGUUUUGUUCAUAAAAAUGCUUUUACUAAAGGAUGUUCUGGUAAUAAUAAAAUUUAUAAAAAAAACAUGGGUGUGCUGGUAUGGUUGGAAAAAUAUGAGUGCAUAACUCCAAACAAAUAAAAGAUAUAUAUAAAAAAAAAUGGAGGAUUCUUACCUUAUUAUGCUUGAGUACGCGGCGGAUUUCCUUAGGAUCCCACAACCUGCUGCGUUUGCCUGGCUCUUUCUCAGAUUCUUGGCGAACAAUCCGUCGCCCCAUUUCUUGCAAUAAAAUCAUGCAUUUGCAAGCAAUUCCCUGAUACUGAUAUGAGUGACUUAUCAAUAAGGACAUUCACGUCAUUCAGUCCAUAAGACUUAGAAUCAUCAAGUAUCCUUAUCACAAAAUCUUUAUCCUCUCCCUCAAAGAAACAAGCAAUAUCUAGAAAUACACUCUUGACAUUGGGCGUUAAUUCAUUAAAACUAAUCUUUAAUAUAUCAUACAUAUUAUGAAUAUCAGAUUCACAAAUCCGAUUUAAGUCGUCCAAUACGUUUCCCCAAUGGCUUUUCCUCUUGAGGGAGGAACCCAACACUUUAAGAACUAAUGGAUUGCCAUCAGCAUACUUUACAACUCUCCGUGACUCACGUUUGAAAUCUUCAGGACAAUGCUUUUCUUUAAAAGCGAAGUUACAAAAAUGCUCGAAAGCCUCAUCAAAUUUCAAUCCAUUAACCCUAUAUAUUUUCUCCACUGGAAACGUCUCGAGGACAUGUUUAUUCCUAGUGGUGAUGACAAUUCUACUUCCUGGACCAUACUGAUCAAGCCCUCCAAUCAAACCCUCUAAUUGUCCAUCUUUACUCACAUCAUCAAGCACAAUCAACACCUUCAUGCGUCGGACCCUCUCUUUAGUAAAUUGUGGAAUAUUGGGACCAUCUACUUUAAGUUUUUCUCUUAAUAUCCUUGAAAGAAUUUGCUUUUGUAGAUCUUCUAAUCCAUCCCCUCGUUCUAUAUUUCUCCUAACAUCUGACAUAAAGCACCUACCUUCAAACUCUCUGGAGAAUUGAUUGAAAAUAGCUGUGGCAAGGGUGGUUUUGCCUAUACCACCCAUGCCCCAAAUUCCAACAAUUUGGACAGUAUCCCACAAAUCCAUGCACAGAAAUGGUUUAAUCUGCUCAAUUCGUGAAUUUAAUCCAACUAGGCCAUUGGAUGAGUCCGUUGAGACUGUUAUUUUUUCCAUCUUCUUCAAAACAUCUUCGACAAUUUUGCUUACAAGUUGCGCAUCAUGCCUAAUAUGAAGGUGCAAAGAUGCAAAAACAUUGAGUCAAAUCGGGCCAACACAGAAACAGAGAUAAGAUGAAUUAGGAAAGAGAGUUACCUGAAUUUCGUGGAUUCGUGGCCAGCUAGAUGGGAUGUUUCUUUCAGUGCAUCCCUCCACUUCUGAACCAUUUCUGGCUUCUCUUUGAACUGUUGUUCGAGCUUAUCAAAACCGUGCCCAAAAAUUCCAGCUUGAUGCCGAACAUCGGACGGACUUACGCUAUAGAAAACUGGAAUAACGAUUUGGCCGUUUGUGUGCUUGCAUUCAAGAAUCUUGACAAGUUCAUUCAGGCACCAUUUUGAAGAAGCGUAGUCCUUUGAGAAAAUGACGACCGAAAUUUUCGAACCUUCGAUUGCGUUCAAAAGAGCAGGUGAAAUCUCAUCUCCUCGCCUAAGCUCUUCAUCAUCAAUAAACGUUUUGAUUUUCGUUCUUUCAUUCAAAUUAUAAUAGAGAUGGCAUGUAAAGCUCACGCGAGUGUCCUCUCCUCUGAAACUGAGGAAUACAUCAUAAUUGCAACAAGAAGAAGAGGAAGCCAUGAAGGAAAUUUUAGAAAUUUGGUGACAGAAACAGAGAAUUAAUCUUGAGAGUUGAGAGGGGAUAUGUAAGAAUGAAAAUGCGUAAAUAGUAAAUGAUUGAAUUAAUCUGGCGAGUAAAUAGUAAAUAAUUGAAUGGCCGGAGCUUUCUUAGUUUCCUGGAAAUUUCCUGGAGCUUUCGUAUACAUGAUUUGUCAAGUCAAGAAACAUAAUCAUGAUAAUGGGGCAGACCAGGAAGGAAAGAAAAUUUGAUCCAACCAAUAAAGGAAGGAAAAGUAAAGAAAGAAAAUUUGAAAGUAGAUUCAGAGAAUUAUAAAAAGCUAAAGGAUAUUGGAAUUUUGUACAAUUUCUCUAUUACAGUUUGGAUUAAGAUUUGAGCAAGCGGCCAAAACUACAUUGCGUCAGGGCUUUGGUGCCACACUCGUUUGUCUGUUAGUAGCAUUGGAUUUGAUCUGACGGCUGCAGAAGAGACACAAACAUAAAGAGGAGUAACCUGAGGAAAAGGUAAUAAGCCGGUUACCUGCAGAAAAUAAGUGCAUGAUAAAAUAACACAAGUAAUGAACACAAUGGAAGCGUAUAUGCAAGUAAUGGUUGGAAACAACUUGCUGGAAGCGUGCAAGUAUUGGUUGGGCACAGACCGACAUUAAAUUUCGCAAAUAGUGUCUGAAACAUUUGCAAAUACUUAAUUCAAAACGUCAAUAAAUGCUGGAAAAAAUACAUAUUUUUUUAUUUUUUAUUAAGAAUACAUUUAAAAAAAGAAUAAUUAUUAAUGGUACAUAUUUGUAACAAUUAUACCAAAAACAAUUAUCCAUAUAUUUAAAAAAAAUGUUAACAAUACAUAUUUUUUAGAAGUAUACAUAUUAUAUCAUAAAAAAAUUGAGUUGGAGCUUCGACAAGUAGAUCUUAAAAAACUAAGGUUGAAUUUUGGAGGAGCAGAUUCGGUCGUGGAGUAACAUUUGUUUAUUAUUAUUAAUUUAUUUUGGUAGUCCUAGUGAAACAUCGUUGUUUCACAUAGAUGAUGUCGCAGUUUGAUAGACGGGAUGACAUGUGAUUUUUUAUCAAAUAUAUCGGGCCACAUGGCAUUUUUGACUAGGUGAAUGGAGUGACAUGUUAAUUUUUUUUUUUUUUAAUCAAAGGUUCUUCUAUCUUAGAAGACUAGAUUAGCCUUAUGAUGUCAAGACUUGGAAACGACAACUAACUGACUAGUGGAUAGCAGACACAUGUUGUCAACUUAGGGUAUACAAGGAUACAUGUUAAAAGUAUUGUAGUAUAUGUGAUACAAGUGUCAUGGAAGGCUAUAUGAGUGAUAAUUACUCAUUAAACUAUAAGUUGCAAUAAUUUAACACAACAAGUGCCAAUUAAAAUGUAAUAAUUUAAAAAAAAUUAGGUAUUCUCCGUCUGUCUCCCUCUCAAUCAAUGUGUCCUACUUUGAAUGUUAAUAUUUAUUAUCAAACAUAAAAAAAUUCUAAAAUAUUAAAAAAAAAAAACAGAGUCUUCUAGGCACAUAAAUUAGAGUAGUUUCGUGAACAAAGAACUUGAGAAAGAUAAUGGUGGCACUCUCUUAGAAGGAAUCUAUGGGGUUAAUGUUUUCUUCCCUAUGUCUAUUUUAUGUAUCUUAGUUUCAAAAACAAGAUGUACACAAUUAGGGGUUGGUUAAUGCAGUUAAAACGGUGGAAAAAGGCUUAUAGAAAUAAAAUAUAAUUGUAAUGCAGUGUUUGGUAUGAAUAAGUAAACUAAAAAUAAGACAAUUGGGUAUACGAAUUUAUAAUGCGAUAAUAAUAUUUUUUCCCUAAGACGACCCGUAGGGUAAGAUUAUAGACUAAAUUGUUGUGUUAUGUUAAUGAUACGAUAUAAAAGUGUUGUUUUAGAAGCUGUAAAAGUUAGUUAAUGUGAAAUUUGUUUUUAAAGGUAAUUGUCUUGUAACCCCUUGUUUUUAAGGGUAAGAUUAUAGACGCAAUUUGUUUGUUUUGAAAAAAAGUCCCUUAUGUUGAGCUGGACUUUUUUUCGUCUUCACAAGUCCCUUUUGCCGAGCUGGAAUUUUUCUGACAGAGUCUCCGUUUGUUCCCAUAAUAGCGGCGAGAAUCUGGCCGAGCCUCGAUGAUAGCUCGUUGCUACGACACGUGACUGUGUCCAUUGAGUCUCUAUUCGAAAUCCAAAUGUCGACGACAACGGCCGCCUCCACUAACGGUUCUCAAAUCACGCCGUGCGUUGAUGACGUGGCGGUGGCAAUUAACAACAAUAACUUCAACUCGAAGGAGAGAUUCAACGACCGUGAUUUUUUGUUGAAGCAGUCGUAUUCGUUUGGAUUCGAGCGGAGUCUUGCAUCGAAGAGGAUGGUGAUGGAGGCGGUAAUGGCGUUGCCGUGGAAGUACAAGAGGGGGAGUUACUGGAGCAAACAGUCGUCUCCGUUUGGCUCAUUGACGAAGUCUAGAGUCUUCUGGAGCAAAGGAUUAUAUACUUAUCCUCUUUGUUUUCCUUUUACUGAUACUGUAGCUUUAGCCGAUUACCCAUUUUCCAAGUGUUAAACAUGAGCCGUUGUUACCUUUCUUUACUAUCUAAAUGGUCAUUCGCAAAAGGACAAAUGACUAGGGUAUCAAACCCCUUACGCAAUGUAGCUGGACCCUUAGCAAAGCAUUCACCUAAAUCUUACCUCCGCUGUAAAUUCUUAAGUUUUGAAAAUUAUGAGACCUUUAUAUUGGGAGAUAUUAUAAUCAAAUGAAAAGUUAAAAUUUUAAUAUUGUUAAUAAAUGACAAAGCCAUUUCAUUUCUCUUUUACAUGUUAUUAAUUUUUGUAACACGGGGUGGCAACAUAAGCAUAAUCAAGUAAAGCAAAAGGGUUUCAAAUUAUGGUGGUAAAACGUGAAGAAGGAUGCCAACUGAAUAAUUCCUUCCACAAAACGAAAAAUAAUCACAGAAAAAGGAAUCUCUUAUAAAAUGUUUGCGUAUUUUUUAUAAGGUUUGAAACUUUAGGUGGUCGGUAAAUGAUUUCUUAAUUGAAUAAUAUAUAAAAAAGCUAAUUAUUUAUAAUUUUAAAUAAUCUGAAUUUGUAUGUUAGAAAUUUCAUCUCUUUUAUUUUUGAGAAUUUUUCAUAAAGAAUAGAGAACAUAAUGUUAACAUUUAAAGUAACACAUCUCAAUCGUCGAAAUUAUUUUUCUAUUAAAUCCAACGAUAACGAAUUAAUGUCAGAAAAGGACAAAAUUAGUGGUGGCUUGCAAUAAUUGCAAGGUAGCUUUUGUAAAGACAGAAAUGUGAUGGAUUCAAAAAGAAAUUGAAGUGAUAAUGUACGUGGAUCCUUAAAAUAAAAAGCCGAAUCGCUUGGUGGCCCAGUAAAAUUACGAUUUGAAUUUUUUUUUUUUUUUUUUUUACACAAUGUGUCAAGCACAUAAAUGACGAAAGCCAUUUCAUUUCCCUUUCACACGUCAUUAACUUUUGUAACACGGUGUGUUCAUCGUCAAGUGAGGCAAAAGGGUUUCCAUUACAGUGGGAAAACAUGAACAAGAAUGCAUAAUGAAUAAUUCCUUCGAUAAAGCGAAAAUUAAACAUAAAAUAAUCCUAAAAUUUAAACUCUAAUAUCCUUCGAUAAUGUAUUGAUUAAAAAUAAUCCUAAGAGUUUCCAAUUGAAACUUCCGUAAGUAUUUUUAUUGUUUUGGAUAAACAAAUUGCACUAGGAUAAAAAUUUGGUAAAUUCAGAGGAUAAUAGAAAAUAGCUAUGGUUCAAUAGGCCAAAGAUUAGAGAACAAACAAGAAUUAGUUAUUGAUAUACAAAAGAGAAACACUCCAAAAUUUCAAGCAAAAAUAGUUUCAUAUACCAUUUCGAUUUUGGAAGGGGUGAGGUUUUGAAAUUCAAUAGUUUCCUCUAAAAUCAAAAGGCAGCAAUUAAGUUAGAAAGAGCAAAGAAGACUUAUUGGUACCUUAUUGAAGCUGAACAUUAUGGAACUUUCAAUGUCAUUACCUCACUGUUCAAUUUUUAUUGAGAUUUGUGCAAGCAUUUACCUAAAUUUUACCUCCGCCUGUAAAUUCAUAAGUUUUGAAAAUUUUGAGACGUUAUAUUGGGAGAUAUUAUAAUCGAACUAAAACUUAAAAUUUCAAUAUUAUUAUUCUUUGAAAAAAAAAUGAGAUAUCAGAGUAAUAUCACAUAGAAUGGUAAGCCAAAAGUCUAAUCAACCACAUGCAUAAAGCUAACUAGAACAAGUGAACAGAGAAACGCGUGGGUCCCUAAAAGAAAAGGCAAGCACAUAAAGAAAACGGAAAACAAACGCCAGAGAAAAGAAUUUCUUAUAUGCCUUGAUAUUGAUUAAUAUUCAGCGAUAGCUUAAUGCUUACCAUCAAGCAACUUUGAAAGCAGGAAGCUAUAUAUGACAAGAAAUCAAAGUAAUGUGAAGGAACAUGAUGAUGAAAUUGCAGGCCAGCACAAAAACACCCAUACCCCUGAUUUGUUUAAAUGUACACGAAGACCUUAAGGUUUGGUAAAAGAAAAUUGAAUUUAUAUUGUAUUAUAAUACAAUUUUUUUUAAACCAUCAAUGAUAAAAUCUUCUUACUUUUUUCCAUCCUUUGGAUCAAUAAGUACAAAUUUCUCAUCUAAAUCUUCAUACUUUUUACAAAUGACUUUUGUGCCAUAGAUUUUUUUUUUCUUUUUUUGGUUUUGCCGAAAAAACAAAACAAAUUCAUAAACAACAUUGUAUUUCACCAAUUAACAGUGCAAGUGUCAUUAUAGUUUCCACAUUUUAGUUCUGUUUUUUUUAGUUUCAUUUUCUUUCUGUUAUGUAACUGAUGUUUCAUUGCUAUAAAAUUAAUUGUCUGUUUCUCUUCACAACUGUUAUUUUGAAUGAUUUUUUCUGAAUUUUAUAAACAAUUUGUAUAUGACAGGAAAUGAAGCAGAGUGCGAGCAACUUGUAUGGAUUCCUAAAAGGUCUGGUCAGAGUGUUCCUUUCAAUGCAUACAUCUGGCGGCGAGGGACUAUUCCAAUAUGGUGGGGUGCAGAAUUAAAGCUUACUGCUGCUGAAGCAGAAAUUUAUGUUGCAGAUCGGGAUCCUUAUAAAGGAAGUCUGCAGUAUUAUCAGAGGUUGAGUAAUCGAUAUGAUGCUCGAAACUUUGACUUAGCUGUUGGGGAAAAUCAGAAGAAAAAGCCUUUUAUUCCAAUUGUAUGCAUUAACUUGCUUAGGAAUGCGGAAGGGAAAUCAGAAUCUAUUUUAGUUCAGCAUUUUGAGGAAUCUUUGAACUAUGUCAGAUCAACUGGAAAACUUCCUUAUACUCGAAUUAUUUUAAUAAAUUAUGACUGGCAUGCCAGUACAAAAUUAAAAGGUGAACAACUUACAAUUGAAGGAUUAUGGAAGCAUCUAAAAGCACCCACUCAGGCCGUAGGCAUUUCUGAAGGGGACUAUUUGCCAUCACGGCAACGACUUAAUGAUUGCCGAGGUGAAGUCAUCUGCAAUGAUGACUUUGUGGGUGCCUUUUGCUUAAGAUCCCAUCAGAAUGGAGUGAUACGCUUUAACUGUGCAGACUCUCUUGAUCGGACCAAUGCUGCUAGUUAUUUUGGUGCUCUGCAAGUAUUUGUGGAGCAAUGUAGGCGGCUUGGGGUCUCCCUUGACAGUGAUUUUGCAUAUGGCUAUCAGUCAGCUAAUAACUAUGGUGGAUAUACUGCUCCUUUGCCACGAGGAUGGGAGAAACGAGCUGAUGCAGUGACAGGAAAAACAUAUUAUAUCGAUCACAACACUAGGACCACAACAUGGAUUCAUCCAUGCCCAGACAAACCUUGGAAGAGAUUUGAUAUGACAUUUGAGGAGUUCAAGCAUUCAACAAUUUUAUCACCAGUGUCUCAGCUAGCAGAUCUUUUUCUGCUUUCUGGUGAUAUCCAUGCAACCCUUUAUACUGGUUCAAAAGCAAUGCAUAGCCAAAUUCUUAAUAUAUUCAAUGAAGAACCAGGAAAGUUCAAACAAUUUUCUGCAGCACAAAAUAUGAAAAUUACUCUGCAGAGAAGAUACAAAAAUGCAGUUGUCGAUAGCUCUCGUCAGAAACAGCUGGAGAUGUUUCUUGGAUUUAGGCUGUUCAGUUCAUUUUUUUGUGGUAGAAAUGUCGUCAUUUUAAAUUUAGUGUAUUUUCAAAAAGCUUAUUUUCUCAGAAUAUAAAAAAUAAAAAAAUAAAAAAAGAAUUCUUACAUGUUUCAUCAGCAUGAUUAAAAUCGAAGAAGAAAGCGAGACAUAAUGUCUCUGACAUAAUAAAAUUACAAAAAUUUCAAGGAAAAAAAAGAAGUUAAAACAUGUAAUCUUCAGAAGCAUAUAAUAAAAGAGCACUUCCACAAAUUACUACAAUUUCAUGCAGUAGAGAUUGAAGAGUUGAAUUCCACUUAUAGACACCGACCUCUUGUUUUGUCUAAUGUUAAAAUUACAACCUCUUGCUUUGACUUAUUAGCAGGUUUCAAAAGUAAUAAGGAAUACAUAGAUAAAACAUCAUCUUAAACAAAUCACAAUCUAGAAUUAGAGCAUUUUCGACAUACCUAAGGACCACGAAUACGUGAAAACGGGUGACUCAUUUGUUAAGAAGUGUUGAUUUGAUCGGCUCUGCAAAUUCUCUUGGGACUCGGUUCCAAUUCCUCUUCAUCCGAAGUUCCACUCGCGCUUGGAAAAUCAUCCAAUUUCCAAACUUCGGUAGCAAAAUUGAGAGUAAAAGUGUUGGCUUUGAUCUCGCUGGGAUUUGCAUAUACUGGACAUACUCCGUAACGUUUUAUCUUGCAAUCCUUUUGGCUUCGGUAACACUUAUUGAAGAACUUAAGUGAGACAGUUGUAUGAUGGUAACCAUCGGGAAAGCCAACAUUCAAGCAAGGUUUAAAACCAAGUAUGAC
rnacentral:lncRNA from 1 species